rnacentral:lncRNA from 1 species
GCUGAAUUUGAUUUUUUAUUGAAUAAUUUGAUAUAUUUCUUGAAUCAAUUUGGAGCUUCUACAACUUGUCAGAGAUCAGUUUCUCCAACAUUCCUUUCCGCGCCAAAAGAUAACCAAGCGGUUGAAUAAGAAUUGAUAUAUACAACAUAAAUACAAGAGUUGUUUUGUCUUUUUACAAUAGGAAUAAUAUAUAAUGCUCGUUAACACUUGCUGAUGAGAAAGUAAAUUCCUCAGAAAUUAAAUGUUUCAGCCAACCAAGGAAGCAGCUUUUCAUGGACCAACUCAGGCCUNNNNNNNNNNNNNNNNNNNNNNNNNNNNNNNNNNNNNNNNNNNNNNNNNNNNNNNNNNNNNNNNNNNNNNNNNNNNNNNNNNNNNNNNNNNNNNNNNNNNNNNNNNNNNNNNNNNNNNNNNNNNNNNNNNNNNNNNNNNNNNNNNNNNNNNNNNNNNNNNNNNNNNNNNNNNNNNNNNNNNNNNNGUGGGCGUGGGUACUAAUCGAAACAAAUGCGUCAAGUGCCCCUUCCUCAUUGGCGGGCUCUCGUAUGAUCUGCAGUUUUGAGGUCGAUUCAUGAAUUAUGAGACGCCAUUUUUGUAACAGGUUAAAAUGGCAUAUAAGUGGAGAAUAUUAAUACCUCAACCAGUGUUUCAUCCACAGAUUCCUUAUUUGCAUAAAUGGACAGUAAAAUAUUCCUCAGUGUUUCCCUGAAGCACCAAUGUAUACACAUCAUAGAUUUUUUUAAUUUUGACUCUAGUGUUUUAGGAUAAUGAACAAUGGACUGAAUUAAGAGAAGAGAAAAUACCUUUGUUUCACACGCUCAAAUAUAGCGGAAGCAAUUGGCCUUUGCUUCAACAAAAAAUCAAUGAACCAAAGCAAUGGUAACAAUAGCUUGAUUCUCCAAUCAUCAACAAUUGCCUUGUUGUUCAUGCCACCAGCACAAUUCAACAGAACAAGCCCUCGAACAAGGGUUUGACUAGAUUCUUAUGGUAGAAAAUAUAGCAGGUUUAUCGUAAACCAUAGAUACCAAAAAGGAUAAUUAGGGACAAGUGUUUCUUUGCAAGCAAGUUGAAGAAUAUCUGAUGUCCAAGGGGAAGUUAAAAUAAAUAUACCUGAGGCAGCGAUAACACAAGCUAGGCUUCCAACAGAAUUACCUAUAAGCACAGUUGGCUUCUCAACAACUUCAUCCAAGAAAUCCAAUAUUAGCUGUAUCAGUGAAUCCCACUCAAGUUAGCAAGGAAAAUAACUAAAGGUCAAGUGAUUGACGACAUAAGUACAGAGAAAGAUCCAACUUCUGGCUAGGGAACAUUGCACACCUGAGCCCAUGCCUCCAUGGUAUAUGAAUAACCAGCUGGCUUAUCUGAAGCACCAAAUCCAAGAAGGUCAAUUGCAUAAACCGUGUAGCUCUUCGCCAGGGUGCCGAUAUUCCUGAAAUUACCUCAGAGAUGACAAGAAAAAUAUCAAUUCCUCACAUUAUUUAAUAGGAUAAAGGAGUAGUGAACACACAAAUUUUCAUUCCCCUCUUCUACGGAGCGGUAAAAUGAAUACUUUUUCACUAGAUUAAGAAUUGGAAAAUGGAAGAAGCCUAUACCCAUAAAAGGGUAAUAUGAAAUGGAACCCUGAAAUUCAGAUCACUGGUUUGUCAUCAUCUAGGUGCAAGGAAUAGAACUAAGUGUUAAUGCCAAUGCACCAUGAAAUAAUGAAUAGACUUUACUUUCAUUAUUCUUUUGCUUCAUUGAUCUUAAUUAAUUAUUAGAAGUAUAACACAUAUAAAUCCAUCCCUGGAGUUCAUAAUACAUAACAGAGUCAGAGAUAUUACAUACAUAAGGUAAAGACAUGCUCCAUACAAAAAAAAAAUAUUACAGUCGAAAAUACCCAGAACAUAAUUUGAAUUGAAUUCACAAUAAAGGAGCUACAUUUUUAUGCACCCAAUAAUCAACCCGCUACACAAUUCACAACAAGAAAGAGCAAUCUUAUCUCGCUAACCUGCGCCAGUGAGGAAUGGAGGCACCAAAGCCAUGGACAAGGAGUAGAGGAGGAGAAUCGGGAUGUGAAUUUGGAGUUGAAGAAACCAAGUAAUUGAUGGAGUACUGACCCUUCCAUUUCCACAUUUUGCAACUCUCCCUUAUCUCAUUAACCUCCAGUUCCAGUGCAGCAGAAGCAGAAUCCCCUCCACUGCUACUGUUAGUAUAACUGAUGGUAACAUUUUGUCUCUUCUUCUCCUUAUUCCUCUGCUGCAACUCCAACUGCAACUGAAACUGCCAAAUCUUAUUGCUCAAUAGGGGCAAGCGCAGGCCUUUUACAUCUCCAUUUCCAUUUCCAAUCCUGAGUGUUGUUAUUGGAAUAAUGAAAGAGGGAGCCCGAGCCCUUACCAUCCACACGCUCAUUCUUUUCUUGCUUUUUCAAUUGAAUAUUUUCUGUGGCCUGGCUUGGCCUGCUCCUCCCCUGCUUCCACCUCUAUGAGACUGUGGCUAUGACAAAAACUUUUUAUGUCCUUAUUUAUUUAUUGGGCUUAUUCCACUAUUUUAUGAAAAUUUUACUGAUAUUCCUCAAAAAUCAAAAUGAUAAUACUUCGUCUAAAAAAUAAUUAUAAAACAUACAUGCUAUGUUUUAAAAUUUUCAAACAAAGAAGAACUUUGUAGAGUUAAUUAACUAGAUUUAUUUUAGUUUACUUUCUUGUGAUUUAAAUUAUUUUAUUAUAUUUAGCUACAAAGAUUAUUUUGUCAUGAGUUUAAAUUGAUUAUUUUGCCCUUAUAAGGUAAAACUAUUAAGAAUUUACUUUAAUUUCAAUAUUUUUCUAAUUUUAUUCCAAACUCAUUGUUUCUAAUACUACUUUACUAGUAUGAGUUUUAAUCUUUAAUUAAACUAAAAUAGUAUCUUUAGGGCACGAUACUCAUGUAAAUUAUUGGGAUGUCAAUUUUAUGUUAUUUACACACUAAAGUAGAGAAAAUCACAAUUAGAUUUUAUUUUAAAAUAUUAUACUAUAAGCCACAAAAUUAGAUACAUAAAUUAUUAGAUACAAUAACUCGUGUUUAUUAUGGUAAUUUAGUCGCUAUAUAUCAUAAUAAUAAAAUACUAAAAUAAAACUUGUAUUAAAGUUUAUGAUUAAAUAUGGUCAAAGAACCCAAGAAGAAAAUCAAUAGAAGGAUCUAAUUUAUUAACUAUACGAAAUUUUUAUUAAUUUGUAUUUUUUAAAAAAUAUUGUGAAUUCAUUGCAAUUAAUAUCUAGAAAUAGGGUUGAUUUAUAAAAAUAGUGGGGUGUAAAAAACCUUAUCCAAAUACUCCAUAAAAAGUGAAAAUUAUCACCUUUUUCGAUGUACUCCUCUUGAAUUUUUUAUUCCUAAGGAUAAACUUCAAUUCAUUCCCAAAUAAAAUGAUAAUCUCUAAUUUGCUUUCAAUGAAACCUCAAUUUAUUCUUUAUUUUCAUACAAAAGAUGAGGGGCAAAUAAGGAAUGUAUUGAUGGAUUUUCUUUUUUUUAAUCUUCUUAACAAUAAAUGGGGUAAAUUGAUAUUUUUAUACUUUUAGGUGAUAAAUUAAAGAUUUUCAUUCUAAAUUGGGGGCAAAUUAAAAUCUAUCUUAUUUCUAAAGGCACCAUGUGACUAUUUUGCCUAACCGAGAGAGCCAUUAUUCAAACACCAAUCUCUUUUUUUUUUUUAACAAACACACUUUCAUUUAUUCUUUAAGCUUUUUUUUUCCCAAAAAAUGAUGAAUAGAUAUUGAAAAUUUUGUUUUCAUUUUUUUAUUGAAAAAAUGAAAAACAACAAAGAUUACUGCUUCCUUGUCCAUACUUUUUCGUCCUAUAUUACCUUAAUUUUAAUCGUUUUCUCUAUUAGACACUAUUAGACACAUUUUUAAAUUCAAAAACACAAAGCAUAGUGCAUCAUUUUCAUUAUAGGCAUUAACACCUGACGUACACAUUCUCCAAAUGGGAUUAAUGGAAAAAAAUAAAUAAAAAAAGGUGACUCCUUCGGCCAAUCUUAUAGGUUCUAACGUUUUGAAGGUAAGUUUUAUCUUGUAACAUUCCCACAAAAUUUAAAAUCAACUGGGACGAAAAUUUUGAAAAUACUAUGAUUAGCACAAGCAUUUCAACAAUACAGGAUGUAAUAAAAGCUCAUUGAGUUGAAACUUGAAAGCAAAAUUAGGGCAAGGUCAUUUCUUUAAAAGAAUAAGGCAAGAUGCACCACAUGAAAUACCUGUGACCAAGCCUCAAAAGAUUCACCAAGCCCAGUAUUUUGCUUGCCCACGGCAUAAUUACACUUGGCUUCCCAAACAAAUAAUUGCUGGAGCUCGGACAAUGCAAGGAUUCAAUUUAACUUCAUAAAUAUCAGCCGGAGCAUAAUUACACUUGGCUCCCUAACAAAUAAUGCUGGAGCUCGGACAAUACGAGUAUUCAAUUUAACCGUACAUAGAUGUGCGGGGUUUUGGUGGUAAGUAAAAAGACGUGCCACUAUCAGUUGAGGAGUGCAUAAGAGGAUUACAUCUAUCAAAUACUAUCCGCCCCCCUCGGCCAAUUCUUCCAUGAAAUUUGUGAGUUCGUGCUAUAGUGCCAUUCCUCGUAGAAGAAUCUGACGGCGGAACAAUACCUGCAGCGUCCAAUUUUUCUGGCACAAGGGGUUUUGUGAACAACAAAACUGGCUCGAGAGGAUCCUGAAACCCCACAGUUACAUUUUCAAAAUGAUGCACUGCUGAUAUUCAGAAAUAAAACAAGGAUAAAACAUUUUCUAAAGUUUACUUAAAUCAUUUUUCUUUCCAACCACAGAUAGGUCAAUAAGUCAAAUACUGGAGCUGACAGAGCGCUGGCAGAAUUAACUACAAACCCACCAGAUUUAUCGUGUUAAUCGAUUGUUUUCAAUUAACACGGUAACCCGGCUCGGGUGUUACCUCUGUUUCUGUCAGUGCUCUGUUGAAUAUUUCUGUUUCAAAAUCAGCAUUCAUAUAUGUAAGUAGUAUGGCAACAGCAAAAUAUCAUGUGUAAUAAUUAGGCUACUAGUUCUGGGUCCAGGAAUAGAGAUAAUCAGAUUAGGAGCAAAAGCUGUAUGUACCAAUUUAUGUAGCCAUGCAUGUGGCACAUGUCGCCGCCUGAACUCUUGCUUCAUGCUUGCUGUAGGAACUGGAACUAGGUUGGAUUCUGUGAAAGGCUGAUUCUCAAUUGCAGUAGAUUGCGAAUGUGGAUGGCUAGGCGCAAGAUCAUCUGAGUCCAUAAAUUCAUCCUCACUUAAACCGAACUUGCAAGAGACAGAUGGAAAUCCAGGAAGUGCCACAUCUUCAAGGAGCUCAAUUUCAUGCUGAUAAUUCAAAGGAGUCGGGCACAAUGUGAGCAGAAAUCAAUAGAUUGUACAUGCACCAUGGUCCAAAUGCAGAGACCAUUUGAAGUUCGGGCCAUGUAGGAAUUAAAUUUUAAUAUGCAAAAAUAAAUAAAUGAAAUUAAAAAAAAAAACAAAAGUUCUUGCAUAAUAUUCUUGGAAACUUCAUUGAGAUAUCAUUUUGCCCUUAGAAUAAGAAGGCCAUGGGCAAUCUGCCCCCAGCACAUUCACCAUAAAGAUCCAGUCUUUUUCAUCGUGACUAAUUGUUAAAAUCUCUUCCAUCCGUUAUUGUUAGCACAAGACAGUUAUUGCACAAGUUCCUAAAACUUCCUAAGAUAGAAGGCUAUUGACAACAUUUCCAACAGCGAUGCAAGAUGAUGCAAUGUAACAUCAUAGCAUACCUUGAAUUUCAUUUGGAUCCUUUGUAGGUUAACUUCCCCCUCCAUGACCUCUCUCUUUUUUUCUUCUCUCUGCAGACAUGACAUUCUAAGGUAAUCAGAACUCCACAUUCUGAAAUCUGAAGCAAUGAAAACGCCAAAUAAUUACAGAAAUUGGUAUUACCGGAAAAAUAAAAGAUCAGUGAACAUUUAUUUUGCUAUUUCAGUUAAAAAGAACACCUUUAUCAAGGCCUCAAGUAUACUCUUUGCUUGGUCAAGGUUGCGUCUGACCUGAGAAGAGUAAAUCCAAAAGAGAAUAUUUCAAUUUUUAAUGAGAAUUAUGAAAAGAUAGUGUACAUAAAAUUUGAACCCCCCCCCCCCCCCCAACCCCCCCAAACAAAAAGAAAAAAAGGUGUUACCAGCAUGUAAAGGUAGACCUUUGGAAAAUAAGAACAUAUUUUUGUUUCUUCAGCAUCAUCACAACAAUAAUUCACCACAAAAAUGAAGGACAAUCUUGUUAUCAAAAGCACCGGAAGACCAGGAAAUAAGCAAAGUAAAUUUCAGCUAAGGAAACUGCAGACAAUAUAUAGUCAUUGUCUUCACACUAUUGUUCGGGCCCUUACAUAUUAACUUAGUGGCAAAUUUAUUUGACAUCAGAGCUAGUUUAAACCAUGAGGCCUUGUGUCCGGCUUCUCCCACGAGAUUACAUCAGUAUCUAAUUCUUCUUCCCGUCUGUAUUUGGGUGAUUGCGCAUUAUUGCAAUUGUCUCUAUUUCUAUGUUCUGUCUCUGCUUAGCCUUGAUCCAUAUGACAGGUACUUUUGCUAGUAGUCACACAUUUGAGGGCCUGUUAGAGAUUUUAAUACUAUUGUUUGGGCUCUAACCUACUAGCUUAAGGUUUUAAAUCAAGCUAUAAAUAAAUAUUCAUAAAUAAAAUUGGAGAUUAAGGACUAUUACAGCAAAAAGGACAUAAAUAAAACAACAUUAAUUUUUAACAAGUUAAAGUCUUGAAUAAAAAAGAACUUGGUGGCAAGAUUAUCCAUUAUCUCAAUUUUCUUCCAGUCUUUCAUUAGAAUGCAAUAAGACAAGCGUUUACACAGAAAAAAGUCAUAGGCUCCUCCAAGGGAAUACAAUGUAUCAAGCUUGGGAAAAUGACUUCAUACAAAUGAAUUGAGUAUAUUGUUUUAAGUUACACAAAGUCCAUAGCGAGGAAUCAGGAUUGACAUUAAAAUAAAGAUAUAGUGCUUACCUGGCGAAGCUUUUCAAAUGAUUGCACGUUAUUCUCCCUCCUUUGCAUCUGAUCAAAAGAUUGGCCAGCGUUAGCAUAUUUGCCAAUUCAGUAGCUUACUUAAGGUCUACAAAAUAUGGGAAAUAUUACUUCCCUGCAUCCCCAUAACCCCCUUCUUUUUUGCGCCCCCCACCCCCUUUUUUCUCCUUUCGAAAAUAAAAGUUUCCAAAAUUACAUACAAACACAGCUAUCUCAGCCACAUACCCUUCGUGUGUGGAGUCUGUGAGCUUUCUCCCUCGGUCUGAAGACAUUAUAUGGGUUGGUAUCAUUAACUGGUGGCGGAGGCUGUACAAGUAGUAUUAAUUAUUAAAAAAAAAAAAAAACUGUCAUUGUCCACUCCAGAAUGCAAAACAAAAACAAAUUAUAUUAGAGAGAUACAUGCACAGAAAACACACACAAACUCAAAGGUACAAAAAGCUGAUUCUACAAUCACCAGCCCGCCCAAAACAAUAUUUGCAAGUACAAUAUUCAAGUUCUUUUAUUUUCAAUGGUUUUGAGGUAACAUUGUAAUGGCUGGUUCAGACCUAUAUAGGGGUGGAUAGGCAUGCUUUGUACAGAAUGGUCCUUAUCUGUUUUUGAAAAAUUAUGUAGAUUUUGUAUCCCUCCCUUUGGCAUUUACCACUUUGGAGGACAGCUGACCUACAUUUCUGAUGUACAAUCCUUCAUCUAAAUCAUCUCUAAAACAUUCUGGCUUUUUACAGGGGGGAAAAAUUCUAAAAAAGAUACAACUUUACACACUGAUAAUGAAAUUUACUAUUUUGAUAAAUGAAAACGAUGGAAAAGAAAUUUGAUGACACCGCAUGUGUCAAACUGCCAAGCAGUGAUCAACAUAAGCACUCUCCAUACAUAACUAAUUGAUAACACUAACCUGCAAACGCCGCAAUAUAGGUUUCUGCCAUCGUUCACGCUGGCCUCAAACAUGAAAUAGCACAAGUGAAAAGCACGUACAAGUACUCACAGUACAGAAAAAACUACUUAACUUGGUUUGCACCAAUAUUUAUGAAUUGAUACAUCAAGUUCAAUGAAACAUUUAAAAUUUUAAACCAUACCUUUUCUUUCCAAUAGUGAUAAACAGACUGGAAGACUGCAUAUCCAACAGUGGUCUGAUCUUUUAAGGCCUGACAUCAAAAAGGGGAUAGGGAAUAGCAAUUGUCACAACUUCUUGAAUCCUUAAUAAAUCAAUCAACAAAGCUACAUAGUGAAAAUAAAACAAAAUGCAGAGACAACCAAAUAUUUUAAACAUGACUCUUUUUCUUUUUCUAGCACUAAAAACUAACAGUUCUAGGCUUAAACGAUAAAUUUUAAAAUGUCAUGCAAAGGAAGGCGUAUACCCACUAAAUCGUAUGAAUCACUAAACAGACAGUAAAAUCACCAGAGACAGACAUUAGUAUUGACUCUUAAGCCAUCUGCAUUCGCAGGUGAUUGAAAAAAGACUAAAUUGCAUGAGUCCAUACAAUUUCACAAACAGCAAAUAGUUAGCAAAUGAUCUGGACAAAUUAGUUUCAUAUAACUAACUAUGUCUUUGGUUAAUCCACAGACACAAAACAACCUUUAAAAUGGAAAUACACAAAAAGUAACUGAGUAGGCUGCUGUGUGACACAACAAAAGAAACAGUUGUGGAAUGUCUAUUGUUAAGUGUCAAAUAGCAGAAGCAAGAAAGGCACUAAUUUACUAAAAGUUCCACAGCCAAGGUCCUUAAUCCUUACCUGCUAGUUCUCAGAAUCUGUAGAGGUCACGGUCUGUUUCAUUACAGUGCGCAGAAAGUAUCUUAUAGUUUUUGUUGUUCUUGUUUAGUGCCUAAUACUCCUAUGAGGUUUGAAUAUUAAUAUAUAUAACUUCCUAUUUCUUAACAAAAAGGCAGGUCAAUCUAAUUGAAUCCAUCUCUUUUGACAGAGACAAGUUUCUGAUCACAGGUAACUCAAGUAACUGGAAUUUAGGAACAAACAAUUUCAUAUGAUAUAGCUAGUCAAGGAACAAUGUGAGGUUGAGCCAUAACCAGCACUGAAAUUAGAGAGCAUUCAAACAGUCAAAACAAAGUAUCACCUCAAUAGCAACACCUAGUUGCAGUAGUAUGGGAAUGGGCGAACCAAGAGUGGGUGUUAUAAGUCCUGCUCUUUCCCGAGCUUUAUGAUCCAACACCUCCAACUUAAACAUAAGAGUCUCAAAUCUGUGGUUCAUGCAUGUAAUCGAAUGAAUGAAUUGGAGAUGAAUAAGAUUUACUGUAUCAUCUUUUAACCCAAAUUAAAUUACAUAAGUUGAAAUUGCAUCCACAUAAAAAUCAUUAGAAAAAAAUUAUAUUAGAUAGAUAUGGUGAACUACUUUUCAGGGGGAAGAAGUUUUUGAUCUCUAUUGAAUUCGUCAAGCCAAUCCUCGUCUUCAUUGUCUAAGUCAUACUCAACAAAAUCCCCAAGCUCAGCCCGAGCUGCCAAUGCCAAUAAUUGAAAUUUGACAAGCAAAGUUAAGUUAAACAAACGUUAUAAUUAUCAAAAUAAUCUGGAUAGAAAAUUUUACAUCAACAACAACAGACCUCCUCUCGCACGUAAAUAGGAAGUUGGCUGAUCAAAUGUCUGAGAAUAGUCCCGUUCAUACGUGUCAACAACCACAAACUGAGGUGUGGGUAUUUCAGAAGCUGACUUCUUGCUAGGGACUUGAUGCACCUGAUGUAUAUACAGUAAGUUCACGGUGAAAUCAACAAAAUGAAACAGUUUUAAGUAUUUUGUAAAUGCUGAAACGUACCUCUUGACUGUCAUGGUCAAACGAAGAGGAAUUGAGACGGAGGAGGUGUGAGUUGCGUGUGGUGGUUGCAGAGGGAGUAGUAUUAGCGGCAGUAGAACUAGUAGGAGGAUUCGUGUCAUUGUUGUCGUCUUCAAAGUCCUUAAAUGACUUAACUAUGGGCAGUUUCUUGUGUAUGUCUAGCGGCCGUGGCCGAAUUGAUAGCCUACUCAUUUCCCUUUACUACUUGAUCUCAUUCAAAUACAAUCCUAAAACAUGCAUUAAAACCACAAAAUGAUGAUUACGACAAUGACAACAACAUUAAUAAUAGCCCAUUUAUAAUUGAAAAGAAAAGAAUAGCAGCACAAAUUAAAUUAUACAACAAAAGUUUUGUAUAUUGAGGUUAGGACAAGAUCUCUGAUAUUAAAGUUAUCUGGCGUUUCUGUUUUCUUUUUCUGUUGGUCUAUUGGCGAUGCUGAUUCUUUGAACCAGAACCAUGCUUUACAGGUUUUCAAUGGACCACAAAUGACCUAGAUAAUCUUAUAUAAAAGAAAAAUAUAAAACAAUUCCACCUCUAAACCUAAAUCUACUUUGUAAUCAUAUCAAUUCACAUCAAUAUAAGCUGGAAAAAAGAAUCAGAACAAGCAAUGAGCACAAAGAUCAAAGACUAAAGCUUCUGCCCUAGUAAUAUUAUAAUAUAGAACAAACUAACCGAAGUAUAUCGAAAAGAAGAUCAAAACAGAAGAAAGGAAAAUAAAAAGUAAAAAAACAAUAUUACUUCUGCGAUGAAGAGCCGUUUCAAAUCACACUUACAGAGCAUAAAUUAACAUGCAUUAACAUAGAGAAAUUAGCAGCUGAAAGGGGAAAAAGAAAAAUCAUCUUUAUCGCAAUAUAAAUCUCGGGUCAAGGGCCAUCGACCCGGCAGUGCUUCGUUGGUCCAUUUAUUUUGGAUCCUUGUGCGAUAUUUCACUUCAUUCGCAGAAAACCCGUUUUCGAAAAUGCGAAGAAGAAGCUUUGAAAGAAAGCUUAAGAUACUCACCUUACAGCGUAAUCCAAGGGCUUUGAGCCAGUAUCAGUGAAGCGAAAAAAGACACCAAAUGUUAGCUCUAUUUACUGGAUUGUAGGGUUUCUCCCGCGAGAAUAGCUCAGUGAAUCGCCCAUUCGUUUACCCUGGCAUAUCUUUUUUGAGAAAAAAAAAAAAAUUGUUUACCCUGGUAUUAAAAUGUUUUAACGGUCAGCACUCAGCAGGACGGCUUUAGAGUUUUUGGGUGCUGACCGCUUUAGAGUUUUGGGGACCUUAUUGGGUUUUAUGAGAUGUUUUUUAUUCUUCAACUUUAAUACCUAAAAGAAAACUAAAAUUUGUCAAAGUCUGUUUAAUAUUUAGUUAUUAAAUUUUAACAUAAUUAAGAAAAUCUUUAAAAAAUUUUAAAAACAAAACCUAAAAAACUGUGAAGAAGAUAUUAUUUUACGUCUAUUAUAAUUAUUAUAAAAAUAAAUAAAUAAGAAAAAUAUUAUUUUAAAAUAUAAUAUCUAGAGUUGUAACACAUAAAAAGUUAAAGAAGAUGAAUUGAUGAUCAGAUAAUGGAUAUGUACAUUAUAUUUCAAGAGACUAAUUUUUUUUAAAAUGACCUAAUUAAUGUAAUAAUUUUCUUUGUAUUGAUUUUUGAGAUUACAAGAUUUUUAAUUGAAAAUAAAAAGGAAUACUAAAAGUCUAAGAUUCUAAUGUUAAAUAAUUAAGAUUUCUUAGAAAAUUGAAAAUUUAAAGAAUUUAUAUUUUUUCCUUGGAAAAACUAAUAGUGAAUGAAUAAAAGAUUAGACAGUAUUAUUAAUUAUAUUUAUGUAACACUAAGAUUAACAAAUAUGGAUAGGCUUUUUCACAAUACAUAAUUUAAAAAAAAAAUUCAUUAAUUAGAGAAUUAUUAAGGCCUUUUUAAAAUAUAGAGUCUUAGGCGAUUGUCUUAUUUGCUUAUACUUAAAGCCACCAAACUUGGUUGAUGGACUUGUUUGAUACAUUUGAAAAAAAAAAAGAAAAGAAACUUCUAGUUUAUUUGAUAAAGUAUCAAAUAUCGAUGACAAAAUUAUAUGUUCACGGUGAUCUAAGUAGUAGUUCAAAAUAGCAAAAUCCAAAUCCGGAUUCGGAUGUAAGUGCGUCCAAUCUGGAUCCAAAUUUAUAUUUUAAAAUCCACAUCCGCAUCUAGAUCCACAAAAAAACAUGCAAAUCUAGAUGUGGAUAAUAGUCUUGUAGAUUAUGGAUGGAUUUUCAAGAUAUCUAGAUCUGCAUUAUGUAUUCAAAUAUAAUUUAAAAUUCAACAAAUUUAUCUACGAAAAUCAAAUAAAAUCGAAUCAUAUUUCAACAAUCAAUAAUUCAACUCCUAUAAUAACAUACAAUACCACCAUAAUUCCACAAAUAAAAAUACCGCAAGAUAAAUCAAAUAUAAAAAAUGAUAUAAAUCCAAGCUUAGCACCACCACAAAUAAAUAAAAACAACACAAAUCCACAUAGAUUACAUUUUAAACCAUCGCAAAUAAAAACAUCACCAUAAAUCCACAUAGGUCUGAUUUUCUUCAUUUAACUUAUAAAAUUUUUUAAUUUAAUUUUAAUUUAAUAUUUAAUUAAAAAAUAAUACAAAUCUUGACAUCUGAUUUUUCGAAUGCAAGUGAUCUGAAUCCGCAUGGAUUUUGAAUUUUAACAUGUAGAUCCGCAUUUUUUAUUGUACCGAUCCAAAUUUUUCCAAAUUUGAAUUUUGCAAAUCUUUGCAGAUCUAGACUGAACCCAAAUCCUUUUGCCAUCUGCAAUAGUGAAGGCAUAAAGAUUUGUGGCAAAGACAGCCAAUCGGCACAUCAAUCAGUUUCCUCAUCAACCAUUUCACUGUCUGUCUUAUUGUCCUGUCCUUUAAUGUUGAUGCCGUUUUUGCUCUUAUUCUGUUCUUCAAAUUUUCUUCUUUCACUUCCAUAACUAAAGGGAGAAAAUUUUUAGGAAAAAAAAAACAAGACCGAGAGCCAGACAUGGAGCUCACGGCAGCCGUGCCGUCCGUGGCUAACCUUGGAUCUCGUGCUAGUAUUGUUCACAACCACGUGUGUACCUCAGACUCGCAGCUCUGAGUGGAUCAGUGCAACAUAAUACUAACGUAAUUGGCUGUCAAGAUUUGUAAACACCGAGACAGUUAUGAGGUAUCUCUUCAUACUUCAUGCAGUGACCUUGUAGUAAUCUCAAAAAGUGAUAUAAGAAACCAAAUUCGGCCAGCACAUAAGGACAGCUGAGUGGAUCAGUACAACAUAAUACUUCUAACAGAUGCAAAAUUUAUCACAUUAACAUUAUUAGAUUGAUGUGAAAUAGAAUAAUAUAAAAUAAACAAAGCAGACUAAUUCCACAUUAAUCAAUCCCAGUGAUCUAGAGUUGUCAGUUGUGUGCCAUCUUCACGUCGACCAAUGUAGUAGAACCAAGCCAAGCAAAUUAGGAUGUCAGUGAGAAUAAGACCAACCACAUCAAAAACAAACUUUGGAGCAAAUAAGCCCCAUACCUGCAAGAAAAGGAUGAUGAAUGGUUGUCAAAAAGUCACCAAAAUUAUGAAGUUCGAAAAUCUACGUGACCAUGAAAGAAAUUCAUUACCAUUAGAUGCCGUCUUUGUAUGAUGACACAAAUGAUGGUGGCUAUGACUGAGGCGGCAGUAAUAAGUCCAUACAUCAAAUACAUCUAAACCAUCAUUUGUAAAAAGAAUGGAAAAAAAGAAAAAAAAAACUCAAUAAGCCUUGCUGCCAAUUAGACAAGUCAAGCACAGGAUAAUCCAACAUAGAUGGCCAUAAUACCAAAGAAGAGCAAAAAAUGAUACAUUUAUGACACAACAUUCGGCUGAUAACCUUACUUGAGACAACUGCAAGUGAAGGAGUCUUCUAUCCUGGUCAGUACGACCCAGCAAUUUUUGGCGUGCAACUAGAAAUGGAAGUCCAAAGACUGGAAUGAUGUGAGAAAACCCAAAGGUAUCAAUUGUAAGAAGGAUUGCUUGUCUAACGAGGACGAACUCAUCAUACCUGAAAGUACGUGCCCUCCCAAAAUUAUUAUCUACAGAACCAUGGAAAUGAGCCCCAAAAUGGGAACAGCAAUAAUGAUGGUGAAAUCAUCAGAAAGAUAAAAUUUAACACAUCAUUCACAUUUGCUACUUUUCCAUUGAGAUUUAAUAUUGGGCCAGCUAGUUCACCUAUUUAUGAUGCAAAAGAUGCAAAUAUCCAAGACUCACCCAAUAAACGCAGCACCAUACCGGAGUCCAUCGAAAGCACACCUGAAGAGAAAGUUGUUACAGGUUAUGGAUCAUACAAACACAUAGAUGACUUGAGCUUUCCUGAACCAAUUACGAUAUUAUAAGAUCUCCUUGUACUAGAAUAAUAAAGCUAUUGAGAAAUAGGAUAAACCGGUUAUAUAAGUUUGUUGGAGCUAAGUUCUGAAACCAAACAAAGAGUAGAAGAGAUAAAUCCAUUAGUAUUAAUAGACCUAAAAUAACAAGCAUUUACUAGUGUCCGGUGACGAAGAAGAGACAAUUACAAUAUAAUAAGAUCUCCUUGUACUAGAAUAAUAAAGCUAUUGAGAAAUAGGAUAAACCGGUUAUCUAAGUUGGUUGGAGCUAAGUUCUGAAACCAAACAGAGUAGAAGAGAUAAAUCCAUUAUUAAUAGACUUAAAAUAACAAGCAUUUACCAGUGUCCGGUGACGAAGAAGAGACAAGUGGCUAACAGACUCCAUUGUGUCACAGAAAGAGGGUCAAAAGUUAGGAUUCCAGCCACUUUAUCAGUAGAACCCCGUUCUAUGUUUCCCAAUCUCAUAAUACAAUAACCUGUCGAGGGAAACAUGAUCAAAUCCUUUUGGAAAAAGUGCAAAACAGUGAUGCUCGUGAAAUCUAUAAAGGAAAAUGAACAUUCUUUAACCUGAUUAAGAAAACAUAAAAUCGAAGGCAAGAGCUAAAGGAGCACAGAAGAGUGGAAGACAAUGUCUCGUAAAGAUGUGAUAAAUAUCAAGUUAAAAGCACCAAUACAUAGAGAUAGCAAAAGUCACCUCCAGUUAUGGUUACUAAAGCAACCAAGGGCCCUUGCUUUCCGGAUAGAACAAUGAUUGUAGAACUGCAGGAAGAUAACAUGGCCAGUGUCUUAAUAAGCAAAUGCAUUUUGCUUUCUAGAUCUCUGUCCUUAUGAAAAAGAGGACUAAAUGCCAGCAAUAAAAGUUGUCCAAGUCCAAUAGCAUAUAUUAUCCUUGGGAUACAAUUUCUUCCAAUCCCUUGAAGCAUCAGCAUUGAACUCAAUACAUCACUUUCUGAUGCCCAAUGUACAGCUAUGAGGAUAUAACAUAAUAUAGUACCCAAUACAACAUACUUCCAGAUGCUGCGACAAGAACUCCUAGCCAUUAUAAUAUACAGCAAGUAAGCCAAAAAAAUGAGAGCUAAAAUUGGUAUAAUUUCAGCCAUGUAUGUCCACACAGGAUGGCCUGGGUCAAUUUCAACCAGCCAUGAAGAAUGGGUACUCAUAAAUAGAGAAGUCGCAGCCUGCUUUGACAACCCAACUUCAAUGGUAAAUCGUAGAAUGGUAAUCAACAAAAGAAAGAUGAUAGCCUGCAAAUAUAUAACUCAACAUCACAAUAACUUUCAAUGGAUUAUCUCAUUAAACCCCAAAAUCAAUACAUAUAUCAAGAAAUUAAAACUAAGUUUGUUUGUAACUUAUUAAAAGCAAGUACAAAGCUUACUGAUACCUACUUCCAUUAGCAUUUUCUCUCUCUUGACUGAAUUACGUAAUUUGAACAUGGCAGUUGUGGCUAACAGAAAACUUGCCACUUUCCCUUCUUCCACUGAACUCAAAGUUUAAAAUAAUACAUAUUAAAGGAAAAAGAAUCAGUCGUCAGAAUAGAAGGUGCAAUCAUGGAACCAGAAGUCAGACAACUUACAAAUAUAACUAUUUGACAGGAAGCUGCAUGCACGGAUCACCACCAUAAACAAAGCAAAAACUAACUUCACAAAUAUCUCAGAAUCUCCAAACAAAAGAGAAAAGCCGUUUACACUUUUAGUCAUCAUAGCAAGGAAAUAGAUUGGUAAUGAGAUCAAAAUAAUCGCAAAACCAAUUCCCAUCAUCUUCAAGUCAAACUCAGUCCAUUUUGAUCGUGCCAGCUCAGCAACAUUCAGUAGGAAUUUAAAAUAAGCAUCAAUUUUCCUUUUAAGAGGUAAGGAUGAAUAACAGCUCUCAUCUUUAAAUGACAACAAAUUCUCAGAGCUACAAGACCAAUUCUCCUCUGCUUGAGCAUACAUAUCUGAUAUGUGUAACAAGUCUUCAGAGGAAAAACCAAUGACAGAUGAAGCUGAAUAGACAUCAAUGUAUCUUUUCACCUACAUUAGCAAUGCAUAACUGGUGAGAAAGAAGAAAAGAACCAAAAAAUAAAUCAAAUCAAAAGCUGCUGUCUGCUAAUAAUACAAAACCUCAAGGACGCCUAAAAUCACCUGCCAAGAAUUGAUGCAGAGUACAUUGCAAUAGUUCUGCAUCCAUUCUUCCUCUUUUUGAUUUGGGCAAUUUCCCUCGAUGUUGUUCUCCAGAUUCCAUGUACCAGCACCCAAAGCAUAUAGCUCAGGGCUGACACGCCCAAUACUGAAAAGAAGAUAACCUUAAAAGAAUAUCAUUUCUGAUAUAAAAAAUAAAAAAUAAAAUUAAGAACGAACAUGAAAGCAAAUUAAUGACACAUCGGGAUAGCAACAAGCUAAAUAACUACUAUGUUUAUGUUUUCUCUCUUACCAGAGGAAAAAUCAACACAUAUCUUAAGAAAAUGGAAGUUAAAAUAAAAAAUCUACGUUUUAUUAUUAUAUUUUGAUACCCAGGAAUCCCUCAACAUUUGUAUGUUCACUGAGUUUAAGUUGGGCAUUACUGCUAGAAAUACCUACAUAAAGGGUAGGUGCUAUUGUUCAUAAGCUCACUCAAGAUAACGAAAUUAUAUUGAACUUCAUGAUGAAAAACAGAUCAAGUGCACUCUGUGGGCAUGUUGUUGACAGAAAUCUUAGGGCUACAAGCAACAGUUUUGUACCAACAUCACUAGCCUGGCCAAAACAAAUUAUGGCGGACUUUAAAGGAAAAUUAAGUCAAGAUGUCAGGUCGUUAUAAAUUUUUGUAGUAGUUAAUAAAAAAUAAUGACUACAAUAACAGUAAUGGGAUGCUUACACGGCACCUUCCAAAAGGAAAGGGGACGCCAAGCAAGGCUGACACUGUUGCUGCAAAAUCAAGCUGUAGCAGAUUUUACUCAAUACAUCGUUUUAAGAAGGGAAAAAAAAAAAAACAAUUCCAAUUAGGUGACGAGAGAAACCCAAAUGAGCCACCCCAGGAAAUAUAAAAUAAAAUAAAACAACUAUUCUAACCUGUUGGAAGGAGCUGAUGCAUGUCUUUUUCUGAUCCUGAAAUUGGAUGAUGAAAAAUGAAAUUGAUGUAAACAAUUAGCAUCCUAAAGGGGUCUCUAAGACAAAAAUGAUGCUAGCAAAUAUGUAGUCAUCAGAAAGCAGAGAGAAUACCAAAUCUAUUUCACAAGAUGAAGAAUCGAAUUCAGAUGGCAUGGUGGAUGGAGGUUUUUUAAAACUCAUGGCAAAAACAGAUGUUUCAACCUGCAACAUGCAAGUCAAGUUAGCAUGACUGAGGAAUUAGAUAAUUAACUCAAUUUCCCAUUCUACAAACAAGAUUGACAUUACACCUCUUCGGCACUUCCUCCACCAUGAUCACCAUUAAUAGUUUGCCCAUGGUCACCCAUCACAAGAAGGAAAGUAUUCUCGUGCAAACCACCCGGUCCAGACUGGUUAUCCAGCACUUCAAUUACUUUCUGAACAAAAAUAAAAGUUGGUCCAAAAACAUAAACAGAAAAUGUAACAAGAGAUAUAAACUCAAAAUAAAUUCCUAUGCAACAAGAAAGGAAACAGAAAAGGUGAACGGAUAUGUCAUUUUAUGUGCCUAAAGAAAAUGUUUUCAAUAAAUCCCUUAUCAUGGAGAAACCAACAGAAAAUUAUUCAUUAAUAAUGAAAAAGACCAACCACUUCUUUAGGCAACAGGUGUUGCACCUCAAGAACCAUUGAUCAAUUUACCAACAAACAUAGACGAAAAUUUCCUGGAAGGAAAAUGCAAGUUCAAGACUAUUUUAAGUGUAACCAAAAAGAAAAUGUAUGUCGCCAACAAACUCACAUCUAAAAUUUCAUUGUACUGCUCCAACUUUUCUAUCAUUGGAACAGAAUCUACACCAAGAAUAUGUCCAGCAUGAUCCUGAACCAAGUAGAACAUAAAAAUUAGUUUAUCUAAAAGAGCCUGCAGAAUUACACAACGGUAAAUUGUGUGAAUGUAAAACCUUGGUAACUUGAUGCAUGUUGUCAAAAAUAUAGAAGAGGAAUAAACUCAUAAUUUGUUGAGAGAAAUAGACAAUUAGGAGAAUGAGAAAAAGGGCAGAAAAAAAAAAACAGUAUUUGACCAUAUUUGCUUCAAAUAAGAACAACCUAGAUCUAUACUAUUCUUUUGGAUACCAACUCCCCAAUUCCUUUUCAAUGCCUUUGAUAACGAUAAAUUCCUUAACCCAAUUCUUCAAUCCAAAAUUCUAUACAAUAAAAAAUUACUCUCAAUACAAUGGAGAAAAGGUUGCAAAAAAACUAAAUAAGAGCUAUUUAUUCAGGUCCUUGAAUCUUCAUCUGUAGAAAUGCUUCCCUGGAAUUUUACGGUGUAUAAUUUUUAUGGGCAUAGCUUGUGUCAAUAAGCUUCAAAAUGUUCCAGGUUUAUACCUAAAAGUGACCAAAUAUGUUUUACAGAGAAAGCGUGUUUACCACACCAAGAAAAUGAGCUAUAAGAACAUCCCAAUCUUCUUCGUACAAAGAUGGAAGUAGAUGCUCAAUGCAUCCGUUGUCUACAUGAAAUAGAAAUACCAUCAAAAUCUCCAUAAUGGAAAGAGAAGAUUAAAGUCGAAUGCACAUAAGAACAUUAAAUAGCCUACCGUAUGAAGAUCUUUAACAUUGAAAGACGGGUAGGGAUAAGAUUUUUUGAAAUGAUGAGGAAAUAACUGCACCCAUGUGUCAUCUCCCAUCAUCACUACUCGCUUUCCAUUUGAAGCCAACUGAAGGUGAGUCAUAGAUUAGAAUAAUUUAUACAAAAUAAGAAGUGCUCCAGGUUGCAUAAACAACAUGUAAUCAAAUAUUUUCAUAAGGAAUACCAAUAUACCAAAAAUAAAAAUAAGUAAAUACGACUUCCACGAAGAGAGAUCAGGAAACAGACCUGGUGUAUCAAGUUAUCUUCAAGAAUAGCUGGAGCACCAAAACUAUUUCCAACAUCAAUAAAAGUUGGCAGACCACCAGUUGUCAAACCCUAUAAAAAAAGGGGGGUAAAAAAAGAGAGACGAAGACAUAACUAAAGUCAAAGAAACUGUAUAUAUGAAACAUGUACAUCAUGCCUUGGGAACUGGAUUUUAAAGAACCUAAUAACUUAGCAGAGAAAGAGCAGAAAUGACCUUCAAUCUUUGCAAACUAGUAGUAGGUGGAUCAGCAAUUGCUUUGAAGAUAUGGGCAGAUGUUUUAGUAGAUGCCAGCUUCUGAAGCACUCGCAAUUUAUCCAUCCAAGGUUUUGAUUCUACAUAAUUUACUUGGGGUUUUAAGCUUGAGCAACAAAUAAAUCAAUUAAAACACUGAGUUGGGAAUAUGUAAAGGGGAAAAUCUGGGUUAUAAAAUUCCACAUAUUGAGAGACAGGGUUGUUUUUAAUGAGAACGGAAAAGUAGCGACAAAGGAGAGUAAAAGGAAUACUGACCUUUGAAGAAGGUACUGGGAGCAACGAAAUCAAAUCUGAAUAGCAAAGCAUGAAACAGGAACACAUAUCAGAUUGAACCAAUUUCAUAAGUAUUAGUUUUUAUUAGAGGUGUUCCGGAUCGGAAUGAGUACCUGAGGGCAUCAAGAACAAUAAUGACAAGACGAUCAACAGCAGGCCUUGUCCAACAGUGUGAAUUAGAUUGGUUUUGAUAGGGAUUUGAUUGACCAGUGAAGCAAGGGGAUUCAGAAACAUCAGAGCAAUUGCUGUAAUACGGGAGCUCAGUUCGAGUUAACAGAAACCCUCGUGUGAAUAUGAGUAUGCCUACUAUGUGUAACAUGGUCAGCAUCACCAUUAUCCUCCAUUUCCCUCUCCUCCACCAAUCCCCCACCUCCAUCAUUUAACUUUUUCUUAUCUUCUGUUAUACUCUACCAAGCGCGAAAUAAUCAUCUCAAAAAAUUCAGUGAGUGAACAUAGAAUGGGAGCUUCAGGGACAGAGAAAUCUGUCAAUUGAGCAAGGCAACUUAAGUUAAAUGUCACUGUCAAGCAAUUUGUAGUAUAUAUGCCUAGAAAGCUGGAUAUUGUCAAGAGUAUCCUGCAAUCUACAAACUUAACCAUUAAAUUCUCUUGAAGAAACAACAAAAGUUGACAAGUUCCUUGCUUUCUUUAUUUAUUUUGCCGCCAUGCCGAGACUGAGACUAAACCCAGAAACAUAAACAACAAAUUAAAUAAAAAUCAGACAAACAAUUAAACGGAAAUAAAGGCAAACUCAAAUUAAAUUCAAAAACACAGGAUAAACUGUCUCUAUCUUUCUCAAAUCCUCUAACUUUUGAUUCUCUCUGAUUCACUCUCCAUGUGAUCACAUCAAAAUCAAAAGCUAUAUUAAAUUCAAGAUCAAAACAGUAAAACAGCUGGAAGCAGUACGUUGUACAAAAAUCCAAACACCUCAAUUCUGAAUCAUUUAGCAAUCCUGGGAGAAUAGACCAAACACAAUAGUAUAAGACUACAGUAGACUAAGCAUUUAGAGUGUUUUAUUAUAUUGCCAUUUUUUUAAGGGAAGCCGAAAUAUAAAAAUAGCAUUUUAACAAAAUGAAUACAUUAGUUUAGUGUUGCUAAACUAAAAUAAACAGUCUACUGUCCUGGAUAAAUACAGAUUCAAGCACAAAUCAUAAAUCACAUUGACACGAAGCCUGAGAGGUUGUAAUAGCAUACAUUAUGGACAAACACAAUGCCAAGAAACCAACAAUUUUAUAUUGAGAAACAAGACGCUGUGUUUGCAUGAAAUAAAUCGGCGCGGCUACCUUGAUCAAAAUUCGGCAACUGAAGAAAUUAUUAAUUAAGACUACGAAACUUGAAAAAUGAGAAAUGAAAAUACCAUGAGAUGAUGAGAUAAACCGCCGGCGGCGUGGCUGGCAGUCCUUGCGGCAGUCGUCGCUAGUCAGAGAGUCCGGGAUGGGUGGCUGUUUGAAGUCUGAAGUGGGAUCACCGUUUCGGUCUUCGACAAAGAGAUGAGAGAGGCUGACAAGCGGCACGGCAGCCAGCUGUCGUCCGCCUCCGGCCGUGGCGGGUGGCGGGUGGAGUGUUAUCGGCGGCGGAUGGGGUUAUGUCUGAGAGAGUGAGAGACGAGAGUGAUGGUUUGUUUGUCUAAACUAUUUAGAACUUCAGGGCUUCUGCGUUUUGAAUCAAAACUCUUGAUUGAAUUUUUGUUUUUCCCUUAAAAUGAAAUUAUUAGUCGCCCAGAGAUUAGAUUAUCAGUUAAUCAUCGAUUACAAAAACAAAAAAAAAUUAAAAACUUUUAUUUUGCAUUCGUCCACUUUUGUGUGUCAUUUCUAUUAUAUAUUUAUUUUUUAUUUAAUAUCUAUGAAGAGGUCAUUGGGCCCUCGGCCAGGUAGUUGGAGUUGUGAGGACAGCGGUUUAAACUUCCACAAAAGUACAGUGAGGGUUAAAUAUUUAUAAGUUAUUUUUAUUUGUAAAAUAUGAGUGAAGAAAAAAUAUUCUUCGUAUGUGAUGGUUAUUUAUUUGUUGGGCAUGUACUUUAUAGAAUUUAAUAUAAUAAUAUAAGUUUUAGUUAUAUAUAUCUGAUUGUGUGUAAUAUCUAUUAUAUAGCCGUUGUAAAUAUUUGUGCAAUAUAGUAAUUUGGUGCGUAACCAAUAUUCAAAAAAAAAAAAUCUACGAAGAGUAGUAAUUUUUCAUCUGAUAAAUAUAAAUUGAAUUAAUUUUUCCUUCCUGAUUAAAUAUGAUCCUUUUUUUUUCUUUCUUUAAUUUUUGUGCUUUAAAUUACAGGUACGAGUGCUUAAAAACAAAGUGCACAAUUAUUUCACUCACAACAUAUAUUGAGUAUUUUUAUUUUCUAUGAAUAAAUGUAUCUUUUAGUGAACAUAAAAUAAAAGCCAUAGUAAAACUCAUGCCAUGCUCAAAGAUAAUAUCUUAUUGUUAAUAAUAAGAAGAGGCAAAUUUAAGUUAUUUUUAAAUAAUGAAAUUAUACUCACUGAAGUAAAAAUGAAAAUAAAGGUUUCGAAUGUACAGGAUGCGUUUGGCGCGCGCGGGUCAAUCAAGAUGUGUUCUGCGCAAAUGGUUCGGACAAAGGCGGCCGAAUUUGACCACUCCUGAAGCCAAGAAAAGACCCGCCCUCGUCGUGGGUCUAAGCGAGUCUGUAAUUUUCUUUUUUGAAAACAAAUUUUAAUUUAUUUAUUUAACGUAGUUUAAUUAUUUGAAAUUAUUUUAUUUAAUAUUUAAUAUAUAAUUACCUCCCAACGACCAGCAUCACCGCCUGGCGCCUGCCAUUGUAUUUUGCAGCCAUCUGCCAAUCUUAGAAAUCAAUUGCUUAGUAUCAUUGCUUAGAGAUUGAGAAAAAAUAAAAUAAAAAAUCAGACACUAGAUAUGACUUAAACAAAAUACUGUAUUUAUAAGCUUCGAUGGUUGUUUCGUUUUAAAAUAAGAGUAAUGAUAUUUAGCCACAUCAGCAUAUAAGAAAGCUAAGCUAGAAACGUCAGGUUUCUUGUGCCAUUUUGAAUUUUUAGAUUUGAAAAUUAAAAAUGGUCUUUAUCAUUAAAAAAUGGUCUUGGCCAUUUCCAUCGCCGACCAGCCUUACAACUCUCCUCUACAGUAUACUUGAUGAUUUUGGACUUUUUUUUCAUCUGCUCAGAUAAUUAAAUUUAGUAUGUUGAGGAAAGUUUUGAUUUUUACUGGGUCGGGAUAGAGGUAAGUGGAUUUGAUAUUGUUGGUGUUCAGUCUUUUGCAAUUUUUUUUUUUUACUACUGGUGUUUUGAUUUUUUUGGUAUGUAUAUUUAAAAAUGAGAAAUUAUCACCGGUAUACACUAAAAUAUCACCGGUAUCCCCUAAAAUGUCACCGGUAUCAAACGUACUACAACACUUUUCACUUGUAUCACUCGUAUACCCUAAAUUGACAAAAGAAUUCUGGCGUCCACCUUUCCGUUUACUACCGUUAAGACAUGCUGACGUCAUAGGGGUAAUAUAGUCUUUUAAUAAAGAAGAGGCUGCAAAGAAAGACGGCGUCGUUUUAAUACCCCGAAAACGCUGCCGUUUCACUGUAACAAAAAAGACAAAACAACGUCGUUUUUUAUUUUGGUUAAAAAAAAAAGUUACAGAGAAACGACAUCGUUUCACUGUAACUCAAAGACAAACAAACAGAAGUGGUCCAUCCUCCCCAUUCUUUAUUCACAUCGAGAGAAGUUUGCAUGCAUAUGAACAACCGGUGCAAGACUGUAUGCAUGGCAGCCAUUUUUUUACUAAAAACCCUCAAUAUUUGACCAUCAAACAAGUUUAAGUGAUAGCUGUGGAGAUUGAUUUGGAACUUGACAGAAGAGUAAGUUGAUUUCAAUCGAAUCCAGCGAGCGAAGCAUCGAGUUGUUAGGUAUGUUCAUAUAUAUAUAUAUAUAUUCAUGCAAUAUAUCUCUUAUCUCUUAUUUAGUCAAUAGAUGUAAGAAAUAAUUUGAAAUUAUCCGAAUUUAUGAGAAUUUAAUUUUUGUUACAAACCCUAGAAUGUUAACAACGAAGAAAUAAGCAGUGGUUAUUUUUUGGGUUAUUUAUAUUCUUAUGUGAUCAAUGUUUUAGGUUUAUAGAAGUGCAUUUAGAUGGUAAAUGAUAUCGGUUCUGGUUUUUGCAUAUUGAGGGUCUAUUGGCUAUUACAUGUAUUUCGUUAAAACUAAUUGGGGCUUUUUUCAACUUGCAUAUUAAGGGUUUGGUUUUUUGCAUAUUGUAUGAUAUUUAUUUCCUACGCUGUGUGUGUAAAGCUUAAAGAAUCCAUAUUUAAGCACAUUCCGUUAUUUUUGGGAUACAGUAGACAUGUUAACAAUGGAGCUAGUGAUUUCUUUCAAAGGAGAAAAACAUCAUGUCGGUAUGAUUAACCCUAAAGAUUGGACUGUUGAUAGAAUAAAGGCUGAGGCAUUGAAGAUAACUACUGUACAUGAGUUAGAUACAGUUGGUAAAAUCUUAUUGACUGUUAUGAACCCAAAUAGUAAAGUCAAGGUUGUUUUAGAUUCUGAAUAUGGGAUGAAAUGUUUAUUUGGGUUUCAUAAUUUGAUGGGUGUUACUACAUUUGAAGUUGAAGUCGUGCCUGUUUUAUGCCCUCAAAAUCCAGAUGCUCCGUUAAUACAAUCAUUGCUGUUUAACUUAGAAGUACACAUGUCUUCAGAAGUUAUAGAUAUCUUGAAUGAUGGAGGUACACCAGAAGUUAGGCAUACAGAUCAAGAAGGGGGGAGUAACAGAGAUGAAUUCAAUGAUAUGCAAAGGGGUUAUGGACACGAAGCUACUGCAACUAUUCAUGAGGGUGAAAUUGAUGAAGACAAACUAUUAUCAGAUUGGUCAGACAAAAGAAGUGACAGUGAUGGUGAGGAACUUGUUGUGCAACCAAUACCUACUAUGCCUGUUGAUGAUAUUGUGUCUAUUGAUGACAUUGACGAUAGUGAGGGCAGUGAGGACAGCCAAUGCGAGAGUGAUAGCGAUGGAGGUGGAGAUGGUUUACUAGAUGAUGACACUAGGGCAGUCAAAAUGGUUGUGAACUCUUCUGAUGAUGACAUCAAUCUUGGCAGUGUGAAGUUUACAAAAUAUUUAGAGAAAUAUGAGUAUAAAUUAGAUGCUGAUGGGAUACAUAGGCUGAGAUUAGGUGAUGUGUUUAGGGAUGUGAAUCACUUUAGACAAGUGUUACAUGAGGUUAUGAUUAGGAAAGGGUUUAAAAUUAGCAUAAAAUAUAGUGAACCGCAGAGAUAUUUUGCAACUUGUAAGGAGGCUGGCUGUCCAUGGUUUGUUAAAGGUGCAAGACUGAAUGAUAGGAAUGGUUUUUGGCUGCGGGGAUAUCAGAAGAAGCAUGAGUGCAAGCUUACCAAGAAAUCUGUGAAAGUUACUUCAACAUGGGUUGCUGAAAUGAUAAAGGGACAUGUUGCUAUUGAUGCAAAUGUCAAGAUAUCUCUUCUCAAGAAUUAUAUGCAAGAAAAAUUCAGGUUGAAGAUUGAGAAGCUCACAAUGUAUAGGGCUAGAGAAAAAGCAAGGAUUCUAGUAUAUGGUGACCAUUCGAAGGGCUAUGAGAAGCUGUUUCAGUACGCUGCAACUAUUCAUCGGGCUGAGCCAGGAGCCAUUUGUAAAGUGUUAUGUGAUGCAGUCACUGUUCCUGAGAAAUGUCUAUUUCAAAGAUUUUUUGUUGCAUUUCCAGCACAAAAAAAUGCUUUUCUGAAUGGCUGCAGACCGUUCAUUGGAAUCGAUGGGUGUCACCUAAAGGGAAAAUAUGGUAGAGUUUUGUUGGCUGCUGUUGCUUCAGAUGCUAAUAAAUGGAUAGUUCCAUUGGCAUUGUGUGUAUGCGAGAUUGAGAACACAGAAACAUGGACUUGGUUUCUUGAUCAUUUGCAUAGCUAUUUAGAUGAUGGAAGGCGGGUAACAUUUAUUAGUGAUAGGCAAAAGGGGCUGUUGAAUGCAAUUCCGAACACAUGGCCUACUCAUAGGGCAUAUUGUAGGCAUGUGUAUGCUAAUUUUGCGAAAGAACAUGCUGGUGCCAACUUGCAGACUCUUUUUUGGAAGGCAGCAAAAAGUAGUAAUAAGCAUGAUUAUGAGGAGGCAAUGGCACAUAUCAAAGAGGAAAAGUUAGCAGCAUAUAAUUGGUUAGAAAGAGAGCUGCAGGGAUACACUUGGUCUAUGCAUACAUACGACAGAAACUGCAAGGUAGAAAAGACUGAUAACAAUGCCUCUGAGUGCUUCAACAGUUGGAUUCUGCCUUAUAGAGACAGGCCUGCUUUGUCAAUGCUUGAGGAAAUUAGAUGCAGACUGAUGAAAAGAUUUACAAAGAGAAGAAAUGAGGGAAAUACUUGGCAAAAAACUAUUGCUCCUAGGAUUUACAAAGAGUUGGAUCAAACUUUCAAGAAAGGAGAAAAAAUGAUUGUGCAACCCUCGAGAGACUUGAAUUUUCAAGUCAUGGAUAAAUCUUAUUAUCCAGCUAGGAGGUUUAUAGUGAAAUUGGAGGACAAGACGUGCGAUUGUGGUUAUUGGGAAAUUGCCGGCUUACCUUGCUGUCAUGCUAUGGCUGCCAUAGGCUAUGCAAGGCAUGAAAUUGAAGAGUAUAUUCCAUUUUGCUUUACCAAGCAAGCCUACAUUAAUACAUAUUCAGUUAUGUUUAGUCCAAUUCCUGAUGAGCGGACAUGGGAGCGUGGCGAUAGGCCCUUAAUUGAUCCCCCAAUUGUGUGGAAAAAGAUGGGGAGGCCAAAGAAAUGUAGGAAGAGAGCAGCCACUAAACCUAAAAAACGCAGCAUGAGAUUCUUUGUCAAUUGCUCGGUUUGUGGUGGCUCGAACCACAAUGUAAGAUCUUGUCCAUUGAGACCAUUGGUUGCAAGGCCAAGCAAAGCUACAAGCACUAAUUCUCAGGUAUCUAUUUAGUCCAUUAGUUUUAUUCAUUUAUGUUUAUUGUUUAUAUUGUCAUCUAACACAGAAGUUGCGUUUUUUCAGCUGUCAAUUGGAAAUUCUUCAGGCCAGUCAGCAGAUCCUUUAAGCCAGCCAUCAAAGCCAACCAGAAUGAGAAAUACAGCGAGGAGAGACCAUGUACCAAGUGAUCGAAGUAAAAGCUCCAGUGCUGGAUCGAUGAAAAGAAAAAGUGCAAAUGCUGUUGGAGUUGCUGGAACAAGCAAAAAAAGAGGUUGAAUUUCGUUUCUUUUUGUUCAUAUUUCAUAAUUGCAUAUAAGGAGCUUAAUUUAUUUUCUUUUCUGUAAUAUAGGAAAGACUUCACAUGUCAACCUAUCCCAAGUCAGCCAAUCACAGAAUCCAUCACAAGCGUCCACUGUCACAGGUGCUUUGUAAUGAGUCCACUGUCACAGGUGCUUUGUAAUGAGUUUGAUGCUCAUUUUGCAAUGUUUUGUUGGAAACAAUCUAUCAACUUCAAUUUCCUUAACUGUUAUGCUAGUUAUGUGAUAUCAACUGAACUUAAUUAUGCUCUUGCAUGAGCUAAGCUAUCGAAUUGGUUUUUGGAAUAUGUAUUUGAAGGAGAUAUGUUGCUAUCUGCAUAUUUUGGAUAUGUUAUGAUUAGAUUAAUAUUUUAGUUGAUAAUUAUGACUGUUGAAUAUUUCUUGAAUACAAACUUUGUGUGUUACAUUACUUUCUCAUAAGGACAAUUACAAAGACACACACUAGCACAAUUAGGAUCCAUUUAAGCUUUCCUUCGAUGCUUUUUAGCCUUUUCUUUAUCUUAACCAAAUCAUCAUUCAGCUUCAAGUUUUGCCCUGGCAUUGCGCCAUUAGUAUUAGGAUAUAUGAGAGAUUCCACAGUGAACCAUUCCCAAAAUCCACAAUGCCUCGCUCCACAAUGCUUCCACCUACAUGACCAAAACAUUGCAUUAGGGUUUUGCAAUGUAGUUGACACCAGAGCCACUGCUUGCACGCCACACUUGCAGUAUUUUGGUUGGCAUUUUACUUUAUCAUAUCUGGUAUGUCCACUAUCAGCAGAACUCGAUGCUUCACUGGAGGCCAUUUUCAUAUGAAUUGCUUGGCAUGUGAUUGCUUGGCAUGUGAUGGAUCAAUGAUUUGUUAAUGUGCUUCUGGUUUUUAGUUGGAAAAGAGUAGCAAAUUGGUUAAAUUUAAAGAGAUUAUCAGGUGUGUGGUGGCUAAUUUCUUGUUGCAAAUUGGUUGAAUGUUGCAAACUAUUUUUUUUGUUGUGUUUUAGGUCAUUAUAUAGCCAAAAAUGUAACCGUUAUUGGCUCCCAACGAUUACAUUUUCAAUUGCUUCACUUUCAGGGCAAAAUUGUCUUUUUAAAUUAAAAGGGUAAAAUAGUCAUUUUGCUCAAAUUCCGUUAAGUUCUUAACAGUAGUAAACGGAAAGGUGGACGCUAGAAUUCUUUUGUCAAUUUAGGGUAUACGAGUGAUACAAGUGAAAAAUGUUGUAGUACGUUUGAUACCGGUGACAUUUUAGGGUAUACCGGUGAUAAUUUCCCUUUAAAAAUUACUAGAAAUUAGUUAUUUGAAAUGUAGAUUUUGUUUGUUUUUCUAUUUAUUAAAUCUAUAGGAUUUGAUGAAGUAUGUCUAUGUGGGGUUUUGAUUCUUUUAGGAUAUUAUUAGAUUUCACAGCUGAUUUUGAGUCCAAUUGACAUAUAUUGUUUCUGUGUUUAUAUAUAUAUAUUAUUUCGGCUGCUUAAUACUAGCGACUUUUGGAGGCCUGUAUGUAUGUUUAAUUGCUGGACAUAUCUAGGAAUUAUUAUUUGGUAGCUGAGAAAUGAAAUAGAAAAAUGAAAUAUUAAAGUUGUUUUUUCUUUUGAUAUAUAAUUUUAUCUGAGUUAACUAGAACGUUUUGUUUUUAGAUCUUUGUUAAACUUUUUAGUGGUUUUAAAGUCAUUUAAGCAAUUGGCCUUUGCUUCAACAAGAAAUCAAUGAACCAAAGCAAUGGCAACCGUGGCUUGAUUCUCCAAUCAUCAACAAUUGCCUUGUUGUUCAUGCUGCCACCAGCACAAUUCAACAAAACAAGCCCUCGAACAAGUGUUUGACUGGAUUUUUAUGGUAGAAAAUAUAGCAGGUUUUCGCAAACCAUAUUAACCGAAAAGGCUAAUCAGGUGCAAGUGUUUCUUUGCAAGCAUGAUGACGAAUAUCUGAUUCCCAAGAGGAAGUUAAAUUAAUAUACCUGAGGCAGCAAAAACACAAGGUAGGCUUCGAAUAGAAUUACGUACAAGCACUAUUGGCUUCUGAGCAGCUUCAUCCAAGAAAUCCAAUAUUAGUUGUAUCGGUGAGUCUCACUCAAGUUAGCAAGGAAAAUAACUAAAGGUCAAGCAAUUGAUGAUAUAAGUACAGGAGUUGUGAAAUAACUUUAAAGGAAAAUAAUUGCUUAUCCUUAACAUUUGUGGAUGCCUACAAUUAUAUGUUCACAGAAGUAAAUAGAAUAAAAAAAAUAGUACAUUAUCAAUAAGAAAAGUUCACUACAAGAUGAAAAUUAUUUUUUGUCAUUUGUGCCUUGUGUACUAAAUUUUGUGUUAUUUUAUUACAUAUAAUAUUAUUCUACGGAAUGCGGGAAGAAAAAAAGUGGGGUCGAUUUAUUGUAAGCCCCAAAUUCAACCGAAGAUCCAAGCGCAAGUUUCAAACUAAACCAACCCAAAGUUUGGGCAACAGUCCAACGCAACCCAACUAAAAUCAUUUUAAUUUGAUUUUAGUUUGGGUUGACUUAGGCUUUGAUAAAUUCACAUGUUGUAUACCAUAAUUAAAAUAAAGUAUCAUUUGUCAUACAUUUUGUUGAUGCGAGAUUCUGGUUCUCCUCGUUCUACGACCAGGCUCUCUGCUCGAUCAACUUCACCACGACCAGGAGGUCUCCUCGUAAGGCUUCUUCUCCAGAGCCUCCUGCGCACACAGACAAGUCAGAGUACGCCGGUUGUUUUCCUGGCGCAAACCCUCCGACGCUCAAGUCAGAUAUGAAGGUUCGGAGAACGCUUGCCACAGAUCUUAUGGCUUUUUCGUAGUUUUCUCUUCUUUAGAAUUUCUUUAGCUCUCUUCUAAUCUCAAAAUUGCUAACCCUUUUACCUUCGUUGGCUACCUUUUUAUAGGCUUCCUCUGAAUCCCAGUUUUCCGCAGUCUACGUCCGUUAUCUUCCCACCUCUCGAACGUGGAUUCCCCAUUUCCGUAGUCGUGGGUGGUUGCGUGGCCUUCGUGCCUAGAUUCUCGGGCUGGAGAGCAUGCCUCGCCAACUGUCGUUGACCGGGUCUCCUCGAAUCAACCCUCAGCGAGAAUACAGCAGGAAUGGCUUUAUGCCUCUUACAGGAAAUUGACCUCGCAGAUGACGUGCUCGUGGAUGAGCAGGAUAUUCCUGCCCCUGUUCCCCUGCUACCUGGCUCUUACAGGACAUACCUGCUCGCAGAAUUCUGCCACUAAACAUCUGCUCAUCACGUCUGGUCUCGUCGGAGUAUUUCCCUCAAACAUUGGUCCCCUAGUUUCUGGUGUUGGGUAAUGUAGUGCACCAGCAGUAGAAACUUGACAGUACUUGCUCGCGUGGGAUUGGAAAAGGCUGCCAAGAGUCAUAUCGCAUUUAAUUGCGGACGAGGUGAUGUGGCAGAAAUCUGCCCCUCUAUUCGAAUUUCAAACCAACGGUUACCAGGCCCUUAGGAUUUGGUGCCGUUAAAUGCUGGCAACCCAAGAGUCCGUCCCCAUUAGGAAACCUAAAUCCUUUCAAACAACAAAUUCAUCAUUCCCUCCGUCUCCGUCUCUGUCUCUCCAGCAAAGAAGCUCCGGUAUACAGGCCUCCAUCUCUGUCUUUCACCGACUGAUCCAUUACUUCAUGUAUUUCUUCUAUCUCCUUGGUCUUGGAUAGUUGUAGAUAAUUUCUCUUCUCUUUGCUUUGCUUGGGGUAGUAGUUGGCGGUGGCGUUUUGGUUAUUAUUUAGGGAAUGUCGAAGGGUAAGGAGAAAGUCGUCGAGAUUGAUGACGACGAAAUAGGUUUCUUGCCUAAUCUAGUCACUGAUCCUGCUUUUGACCCCGGGAUCCCCUUAGAACCCAUUAGGUCUAGUGUCGGGACUAGUGCUAGGAGAUUGUCCCCCUAAACAACCUCUACGAGCGGAAGUAAUGAUGAGGAGAGGUCUUCUGGCUCUGAAGGCACCUUGAGUGAGAAUGGGGAAGGUGAUUCUGGUGAGGUGUCUCCAUCUGGAACAUCACGACCAGAAGAACGGGGUACAGUAGGGGGUAGAGCCUUGUCGCGUGAUUAUGCCAUUGAUUACAUGUCGUGCACGACCACGUUUGACGAGCUCAAUGACCUCCGACUUAGGUAUAGUAUUCCUGGUGAGAUACCUCUUAAGAUCCCAGGAAAGAAGGAUACACCUAGCCGGCCUCCUAGGGGAUACGUUACCCUGUUUCUGGAGAGCUUUAAGUAUGGGCUGAGGUGUCCCUUGCAACCUUACUUUGCCCGAAUACUUAACGGGCUAAAUCUGGCUCCUGGUCAGCUGAACCCCAAUGGGUGGAGAGUGCUCUCUGGUCUGUUCAUAUUGUAGGACAGAUGUUGCCAAAGCGAGCCCACGGUUGAUGAGGUGAAGCACCUGUACCAGCUGAAGAGCAGCCCUAAAGAUGCCGGCUGGUACUACUUCCAAUCUAGUACCAAGAGCAGGAAACCCAUAACUGAUCUUCCAACUGGUGGUGGUGGGACUUGGAAGAGGAAAUUCUUUUUUGCUGGGGGUCCUUGGGGUCAAGUUGCACAAAUAGACGGGAAGGAUUGUCGCGUCCCACCCCGUUUCACGGUCCCAGGUUGCCUGCUCGCUUUAGAUGUCUUGUAUCCAUAAUUGUUCUUGCUGUAUUGGUUUGUCUCUAACCAAGUGUCUGUUUGUGCUGUAGUUUCUUGGGGUGUUCAUUUCCCGCUCAAGCCUGGUCAGCUUAAACGGGUCGAGGCUGUACUGGCCAAUUCCUGCCCAAGCCGAGAACUGCUAACUACGUACAACUUCCUCGAGUCUCACUUAAUACUUCCUGGCCAUAAGAUGGAGGACGCUGUGAUUGGGGCUCUAACCAGGAAACGUUCUCGUCCUCCAGCCACGAAGAGCGACCAGAGUAAGGACGCUCCUGCUGCAAAGCGGGCCAACAUCGUGCAGCAGGUCUCUCCCUUGAAGACUUUACCUCCUCCUCCUGCCAAAACCGGAGAAAUUAGUGGAGCAGCCACUGAUCCUGCUUCCUCUUCUCCUCCUGUUGGGCCUCGGUCUCGUCUACCUGCCAACCGAGCAGAGCACUUGGCCCCCUAUCUCAACGAGCUUUCCAAACUCGUGAGCAAGAAAGACCUCGAGGAUUUUGAUGGUUGUACCCUGGGCGAGCUGGUGGGAGCCAUGCAGUAUAGCGCUUUCCAUCUCAGCUGCAUGACCACCUACUAUAAGGCCAAGGUUGGCCGUUACGACAGGAAGAUGAAGGAGGACAUUCAAUCGGCGACGACCAGAGCUGACGUUGCCGAGAAGAAAGCGGGGGAGCUAAACGUUGAGAACCUCAAGCUGAUAGAGCAAGAAUCUCUUGCUCAAGCAAAAGCCAUUACCCUCGAGGAAGAGCUGACCAAGGUCAAGGAGGAUCUGCAAAGGCAGAGGGCUAUGUAUGAGGCUCAGCUCGAAUCUCUCCGCGAUUCCCACCGAGCUCAGGUCGAGAACUUGGAGAGGGAGGCCGACAACCAAUACGACCAGGGACUUCGGCAUUCCUAUCGUUGCAUUAUGGCCGUCCUCGGGAAGCAGCAUCCUGAUAUGAAGAUGGAUGAUCUUGCAGCUGGUGUUGCUCAACAUAUGGACGAGGAAGUAGCCAAGGAAGAUGCCGAAGGGAUAGAGCAGAUCGUGAUUGAGGAGGAAAGUUCUCCUCCUCGUUCAGUCCCUGCUGACGUUGGCGAGGUGAGCACCCCUGCUGUCGUUGCCGAGGCGAGCACCCCCCCGGACGCAACUGGUGAUACCCCCCCCGCACCUGAGGAGGUUCAGCCAUCCGAUGCUGCUCGGCCUACUGAUCCGCCAUCUUCUUGAACAUUUUUCUCGCGUUGUAAUGAACUACUUUGUUGGUUAUUAAUAGAUUAAUGAAAAACUGCUUUUGAUUACUUUCUUGAGUUGUAAUCAUGAAUUAUUUUUCCGUUUGAGAAUCUCCUCGUCCUUGUCUGGUCGAGCAGGAUCGGGCUUGGCAUAUGGCUUUGCCACCUGCCUUAGAAAAUUUUUCGAUGUUUGGGAUUCUGCUCGCCUCCGCGCGGUCGAGCAGAUCCCGCCAUGUUUGGCUUCUGUCUCGCCAUAAACUGGCUGUGAGACUUGACGAGCCUUUGCAUGCCUCAGAAAUUUUUUCGAAUGCUUUGGAGUCUGCUCGCCUUCACGUGGUUGAGCAGAUCCUGGCAUGCUUGGCUUCUGUCUCGCCAUAAAACAAGCUUUGAGACUUGACGAGCCUUUGCAUGCCUCAGAAAUUUUUUCGAAUGCUUUGGAGUCUGCUCGCCUUCACGUGGUCGAGCAGAUUCUGGCAUGCUUGGCUUCUGUCUCGCCAUAAAACAGGCUUUGAGACUUGACGAGCCUUUGCAUGCCUCAGAAAUUUUUUCGAAUGCUUUGGAGUCUGCUCGCCUUCACGUGGUCGAGCAGAUCCUGGCAUGCUUGGCUUCUGUCUGGCCAUAAAACAGGCUUUGAGACUUGACGAGCCUUUGCACGCCUUAGCAAUUUUUUCGAAUGCUUUGGAGUCUGCUCGCCUUCACGUGGUCGAGCAGAUCCUGGCAUGCUUGGCUUCUGUCUCGCCAUAAAACAGGCUUUGAGACUUGACGAGCCUUUGCAUGCCUCAGAAAUUUUUUCGAAGCUUGGGAUUCUGCAAGCCUUCUCGUGGCCGAGCAGAUCCUGGCAUGCUUGGCUUCUGUCUCGCCAUAAACAGGCUUUGAGACUUGACGAGCCUUUGCAUGCCUUAGAUGAUUUCUUCAAAGCUUGGGAUUCUGCUAGCCUUCUCGUGGCCGAGCAGAUCCUGGCAUGCUUGACUUUUGUCUCGCCAUAAACAGGCUUUGAGACUUGACGAGCCUUUGCAUGCCUUAGAUGAUUUCUUCAAAGCUUGGGAUUCUGCAAGCCUUCUCGUGGCCGAGCAGAUCCUGGCAUGCUUGACUUUUGUCUCGCCAUAAACAGGCUUUGAGACUUGACGAGCCUUUGCAUGCCUUUGAUUCUUCAAGGAUUGGGAUUCUGCUCGCCUUCUCGUGGUCGAGCAGAUCCUGGCACGCUUGGCUUCUGUCUCGCCAUAAAACAGGCUUUGAGACUUUGAUGAGCCUUUGCAUGCCUUUGAUUCUUCAAGGAUUGGGAUUCUGCUCGCCUUCUCGUGGUCGAGCAGAUCCUGGCACGCUUGGCUUCUGUCUCGGUAUAAAACAGGCUUUGAGACUUUGAUGAGCCUUUGCAUGCCUUUGAUUCUUCCAGGAUUGGGAUUCUGCUCGCCUUCUCGUGGUCGAGCAGAUCCUGGCACGCUUGGCUUCUGUCUCGCCAUAAAACAGGCUUUGAGACUUUGGUGAGCCUUUGCAUGCCUUAGGAAAUUUUCACAGUUUCAAGCGAAUGAAAUUCCUCAUUGAUUCAUUUAUUACUGAGAUCGGCUUACAUGAGGUUGCUUUGAAAUAAGAAAUCAAAAAUAGAAAACGGACCCGAACAGAAAAAAAUUUUAAAACAUGAAUGAGUCUUACUAGAAAUAUUUCCUGAGGUGUGCCGCGCUCUAGGGGCGUUUCACCUCGUGGCCCUCCGUGCGAACCAACUUGUAGACUCCGGGUCCGACUAACUGCCAUUCCCGGCUUCCACUCGGGUACCAAGGUAUGUUAUCUGCAUUGCUUCCCUUGCUGCCGAGGAGUAACAGCUUCGUGCGAUUCUCUGGUCUCCUCGUACCACUCCAACAACCCCAUUCACCCGGUACUUGAGAGCCAGAUAAUGGUUGGACAGCACCGCUUUGCUCAUCCUCAGAAAUGGCCGGCCUAGGAUCAUCUGAUAAGGACCUUCCUCAUCCACUACCACAAAGUCCAGUAUCAUUGUCCUUUCUGUCGGGGAGCUCCCAAUCGUGAUAGGCAGCUCGACCACGCCCAGAGGGACCAGCUUUCCUCCUCCAAACCCCUUCAAGGAGGUAUUGGUGUAUUCCAACUUCCGGUCUGCUAUUCCCAUCUCCUCCAAGGUUGACUUAAAUAACACAUCAACUGAACUCCCUGUAUCAACCAGUAUCCGGUCACACUUCUUGCUAGCGACAGUAGCCUUGAUGACUAAAGCAUCCUCGUGGGGGUAUAGAAUUCCUUCCUCAUCUUCAUCCGUCCACAUGAUUGGCACUUGCCUGACCCUUGCUCGUUUGGCUGCUGGGGUGUUGAAGAAUACCUCUUUACUAGUCAUGGCGUAUCUAGCAUAGUUCUUCCUAGAUCUGUUGGAAUCUCCAGCCAAUGUCGGGCCCCCAGCAAUCACCCUUACUGUAGGCUGCUCGUGCCUCAAAUUUCUGCCACUCUGCUCCCCUUCACAUGUCGAGGCCACCAUCGGGAAAGUCCCAUCUACAAACUCGUCCAGGUACCGAUUUCUCACCAAAUUUUCAACCUGGGUCUUGAGAUCUUUGCAUUCUGCGGUGGUAUGGCCAUGAGUGCCAUGGAACUUACAAUGGCGUCCCCUAUCCCUCCUGCCCGGUAGCUUUGUUAUUGGGGCAGGGAGGUACAGCAAUCCUCGGUCCUUUAUGGCCUCGUAUACUUCGUCCAGGGACAUCUUCAAGGAGGUGUAUCGCCCAUACUUCUGGUUCUGGUCAAUCAGGUGCACAGCCCUUUCUCUAUUUGAUCCGUUCUGAGUUGGAGGCGAUGGCAGCAUUUCUGGUCUGCUCCCUCUACUACUGUGGGAGUGUUGAUGAAGACUACCAUAUGCCGAAUCAUGCCUUCUCCAAGGCUCCUUAGCUGGGGAACGAGGAGGGUGCGCCCUGUUGCGCUGAUACUGUGGUGGCCUCUGAUGAGGCUGGUGAGCUGUUAUCCGACCUCCUGUUCCACUACCUGAGGCCUGGAGGUCCCUCCUCCUGAUCGGCCCAUUUCUCGGUAAUGCCCUCUUCUCUUUCUUUUCCAGCCCCUCCAGCUGGUCUGUCUUAAUCCGAGCUGCCUUUUCUUCCUCGAUCUCUAUGUCUCUUUUAGCCUGCUCGUAUGCGGCUGCAUACGUCUGAAUAGCUGGGCUUCUCAAGUUGUACCACAACCUUUCUAUCUUCACUCCCUCUUUCAAUCCCCUUAGUGCCUGAGGAUGGUCGAAGGCUCCCAAAUCGAGGACAGCACGAUGAAACCUCUUGAUGAAUUCCCGAAGGGUUUCUUGCUCCCCUUGCUUCAUGCUUUUCAGCUCCAUCAUGUCAUCUUCUGGUGCCAUUGCCCCACGAAACUGCUCUGCAAACUCCUGGCACAUCUGCUCGAAGGUUUUAAUGCUCCCCCGAGGAAGUUUCCUGUACCAUUCUCGUGCACGUCCCUCAAGGGAUAGUGGGAACACCCUGCACCUUUGGGAUUGAGAUAAUCCUUGUACUCCAGUUAUGUCGUUGAAACGCUCUAUGUGCACCAGCGGAUCCGUUCGUCCCGAAUACCUAAGGUCUGGGAGGCGGAAAUCUCUCGGAAUAACUGCCCUCAUGAUCUCUGUUGCGAGCGGUGAUUCUCCGUCCAGCAUUAUCCUCCAACCAGGAGGUCUGCUCCUUCCUUGCAUGUCGUCAAUUAUCUGCGCUAGUCUGCGCACUUCCUCCUUCAGCUGCACUGCGCGACCAGGGUCACGUGCUGCAGCUUGAUCCCGCUCUUGCUCUACAUCAAGCAAGUGUUGCCUCAACUCCGUUUCCUCUGCAUUUGCCACCCCGUCGUCCUCGUCAAAAAUCUGUCUUGCCGGGGAUUGCUCUUCCUCUCUACGGAAUUCUCCCUGCAGAGGUAUGUUACCUCUCUCACCACCAACUCUCUCGGUGGUUUGACUUCUCCUCGUACUAUCGGGACUUGGAGCCACUCCCCCAACUCUCAUCCUUUCCUCCUGGGUUACCCUUCAUUCACUCCGCAACUCAUGCAGGAUGUUUGUCAGGGUCUCCAUCUGCUUUUCCAUCCGUUCCACCCGGUCGAACAUGGCUUUUUCCCGUGCUUCACUGGCUAUCUCCCUCAGAGUCACGGAAUCGUUAAGCCUCAUAUCACUCCCUUGUGCACUACUUCCUCCUGUCUCCAUUGCUUUUCACUUGCUUCACUCCUCUUCUUGCUAUCAACAGAAGCUUUUUGAUCAGCUCCCCACAGACGGCGCCAAAAUGUUGAUGCGAGAUUCUGGUUCUACUCGUUCUACGACCAGGCUCUCUGCUCGAUCAACUUCACCACGACCAGGAGGUCUCCUCGUAAGGCUUCUUCUCCAGAGGCUCCUGCGCACACAGACAAGUCAGAGUACGCCGGUUGUUUUCCCGGCGCAAACCCUCCGACGCUCAAGUCAGAUAUGAAGGUUCGGGGAACGCUUGCCACAGAUCUUAUGGCUUUUUCGUAGUUUUCUCUUCUUUAGAAUUUCUUUAGCUCUCUUCUAAUCUCAAAAUUGCUAACCCUUUUACCUUUGUUGGCUACCUUUUUAUAGGCUUCCUCUGAAUCCCAGUUUUCCGCAGUCUACGUCUGUUAUCUUCCCACCUCUCGAACGUGGAUUCCCCAUUUCCGUAGUCGUGGGUGGUUGCGUGGCCUUCGUGCCUAGAUUCUCGGGCUGGAGAGCAUGCCUCGCCAACUGUCGUUGACCGGGUCUCCUCGAAUCAACCCUCAGCGAGAAUACAGCAGGAAUGACUUUAUGCCUCUUACAGGAAAUUGGCCUCGCAGAUGACGUGCUCGUGGAUGAGCAGGAUAUUCCUGCCCCUGUUCCCCUGCUACCUGGCUCUUACAGGACAUACAUGCUCGCAGAAUUCUGCCACUAAACAUCUGCUCAUCACGUCUGGUCUCGUCGGAGUAUUUCCCUCAAACACAUUUUAUACAUUAAACACAUAAACGUCCUCUCUGGAAUCUUUGUGGGCAACGCAUACGUGGUAUCUUCACUAAUAAGUGUUGAAUCUUUAGCUUCAAAGGAAAGAAACUAAAAAGGUUUGUAAAUUUACCCCACUUCUACAAAAUAAUUAUAAUGAAUUCACAAUAUUUUUUAAAAAAUUCAAAUUAAUAAAAAUUUUGUCUAGUUAAUCAAUUAAAUCCUUCUAUUAUUUUUUUAUUAGAUUUCUUUGAGUAUAUUUGAUCAUAAACUUGAUAUAAAUUUUACUUUACUAUUUUAGUAUUAUGAUAUAAAAUGGCCAAAUUGUACAAUAAACACGGGUUAUUGUAUCUAAUAAUUUAGGUAUUUAAUUAUGUGAACUAACAUUUUUAAAUGAAAUUUAACUAUUAUUUUCACUAUCUUACGUGUAAAUGAUGUAAAUUUGACAAGCUAAUAAUUUAUAUGAGUAUUGUGCCAUAAAGCCAUUAUGUUUGUUUAAUUAAUGUUUUAUAAUCAUACUAAUAAAGUAGUAUUAGAAAUAAUGAAUUGCUAUAAAAUUAGAAAAUAUUGAAGUUAAAGAAUUAGUUUGACCUUAUAAGGAUAAAAUAAUCAAUUUAGACUUAUGUCAAAUCAAUCUUUAUGAUCAAAUAUAAUAAAAAAAUUUAAGUCACAAAAAGUAAAUUAAGAUAGAUUUGUUAAUUUGUUCUCCAAAGUUCUUAUUUAUUUAUUUUUUUAAAAUAAUGUGUACUUUUUGUAAUUGUUUUUUAAAAAUGGGGUGGAUUUGGAGAUAUCAUUAGCCAACAAAAAAUUUAGUAAGGAUUAAUUUGAUAAUUGCCCAUAAAAAGAAGGCAUGUAGGUGGUGGUAGGGAAGCCUUUUUCCAUUCUAAAAUUACAUGUAAGAAUCUAAUAUAAAAAAGAUAAAUGUGUUACAGGAUGUGGAUAGAAAAAUUGAUCUUCAUUUGGGGAUUCUUGAUCUUCAUUCUUCACUCCACUAAAAUUUAUUAGAGAAUGAGGUGAAAAUUAUGGGCCAAAUAAAAUUAUUAACAUAUAAAAAAAUUUAAAUUAUUAAAAAUAAUAACUAAAAAAAUACAUAUUUGUUAAGAAUUUUGGAAUUAUUUUUCUUCGAGUAAUAAUAUAGCUACAAACUCUUGUACAAACUUAUCUUGUACCAACUAAUGUGGCAUGAUAAAAUUGGUUAAAUUAAAUAUCUCUUAACUCACGUGAUUUAUUUUCAUUAUUUUGUAUUUUUAUUCAACUAAUGAAUUAAUGUCACAUCAAUUUGUACAAAAUAAAUUUGUACAAGAAUUUGUGAUUGUAUCAUCACUCUCUUUUUUUUAAUCUCCAUAAACACAUCAAAAUUAGGGGUGGGAACUGUGGAGUCCACAACCCGCCAAAAAUCUCUAGUCGGCCAAAUUGGACUUUUUAUAGUCAGUCCUCAAAGAAAUUUUGAGAAAGGCAGCAGACAAUGAGUUGAAUGAAAUUACUACGAAACUUCCUUGAAGAUUCAAGGUAGUAGUGGAGGAUUCGAGCGCACAGACACAUUCAAUUCAGUUGAACUGUUUCUAUUAUGGUUUCUUCAUCUUCUUCUCAUCCAUCCACCAGUCUGUGUUUGAUGAGACCCCUAAACAUCAAUUAUGGUGUUUUUGUCAGAUUCAGAGGAGAAGACACCCGUGACAAUUUUACUGGCCAUCAAGUAUGGGUCUUUUGGGAUUUCAAUUUCGAAGCUUGAAGAAAGAUUUAAAGAGAAGUCAGAGAAGCUGCAGACUUGGAGGAAUGCUUUGAAGGAAGCAGCCAGUUAGUCUGGCUUUAAUUCUUAUAACAUCAGGUGAAAAGUUACUUUUAAUUUCGCAUACUAAUAUUUAACACUGUAAAUAAAAUUCACGCAGCACUCUUAGUUAAAUUUUCCAGAUGUUAAACUACACUUUUAAAUUUUUUUCAGGAAUCAAAUUCUAGACUUCUUGAACGUCCCCACUUUUGAACUCCUAUAAAAGAAUUUUUACAGAAUUAAUAAUAAAAGCUCCAAAAGUUUGCAAUAUACUUUAACAAAAUUAAUGGUGUUCUGUCGUUUUUUCCAAUCUCUCAGUCAUUUACCAUGACCAAAAAUAAUAAAUAAAAAAAUAAAAAUAAAAGUAAAAAUAAAAAUCUCUCCCACAUAUAACAUAUCCCUAUAAUUUAAGAGUUAUUAAUUUAUAGGGAGAUUGUAAAGUUCGUUACUUAAAUUAAUAUAUACCACUUAUACAGACUAUUUUCACAAUAUUUAAUAAGUCUCUUGGUACCAUCAUUUUACAAUAUUAUCCUUAUGAAAAAAAAUCAAAACUAUCAGACCUGAGCUUCCGGUCUCCGUUAACUGAAUUUUGGUUGUCGUUGACCAGUACGGGCAAUUCAGUAAUUUCACAAACUUUUGGGAUAAUGUUGUAAUUUCUGAAAUUGGUGGAUAAUUUAGUAAUUUUGGACUAGGGCGGUUAGGUAAUUUGAGAUUUCAAGGGUAAUUCAGUAAUUUAAGUUAUUAAGGGCAUUUUGGUAAUUUCAAAAUUCAAGGGUAAAUUCGUGAUUUCGUACCUUAUGGUUAUUUUUGUAGUAUGAAUUAAGGAUAGUUUAGUAAUUUAGAAUUCUGAGGACAAUUUGGUAAAUUAUGGUGUCGACGGCAUUUUGGUAAUUUUUGGCAUGCAGGGGUAUUUUGGUAAUUUCAUUCAUACGGGAAUAGUUGAUUUUGGGAAAAUGUUUGUUUCGAGCUUUAUUGCGUAAAUUUAGUUGUAUUUCAUGUUACAGAUAACGAUGUCGUUUCCUUAAUUUAGGAGGAACCGCGAACGAGAAUCAAUCCGCAAACGUAACCGAUACUUGAGUUUGAGUGUAAUCAUUGUGAGUGGAAUAUACAAAACCUAUUUUUAUAGUUAAUUAUGAUAGUAAAGCCUAUUUGUGAAAUGAGUAUCUUAAAUAUUUUGAUUUAAUGAUUUUCUUGAAAUGGAUUUUAUUCACGCAAUGAUAUUUUAUUAAAAUGUUUGGUUAAUAGUUUUCCAUAUUGAUUUGAAUAAAGCAUGAUAGUAUUCUUAAGACAAGAAAAAUUCAAAUGUGUUAAUGAAAAGAACAGUAUGAUUUUCAAUAUGAUUAAAAAGUAUAUGGUUAUGAGUAUAAAGAUUGUUUUUGAAAUCAUUAGACAGUACCAUUCCCCUUCAGAUAAUGUGAUACAGAUGAGAUGAGAGUCCUUUAGGGCUCGUCUGAGUACAUAUAGAGGCUUUGGGCUGUGUACUUGGACGCUUUAUCCUUUGGGGACCAGAUUAUGCAGAUACGAGAUAUGAGAUAUGAGACAUAUGAGACGACAUUUUCCUAUCUACCCGUUGCAACUCCGGGGCAUGACGAUUUCCUGAUUGCCCGUCCAUCGAGGUCUGGGUAUGACAAGAUUAUUUGCUUGGGUAAUUGUUUGGUGACAGUUUUCAGAAUUACAGUGUUUGAGAUUACAAUAUGUUAUGAUUUCAUUGAUUUUAUGCAAUAUUAUGUAUUAUUGUUAUAUUAGUACUUGAUUUAAAUUACAUGAGUUUAUUUAAGUUCUUAUGAUAUUUUGAUGAAAUUGAUUUGAGACAGAUUAAAUUAUUUUAAAGUAAAUUUAUUUUCAAAAAUUAUUAUCCACUCACUGAGCUCAUUGAGUUUUAUACUCACCCCGUUUUUAUUAUAUUUCCCCCCAGGAGAUUUGCAGGUACAUUAGUCGACCCAACAACAAUAACUAUUUUUGAAAUUGUGGCCACAUGAUGGUGCUAGGAAUCAUAGAUGUAUUGUUGGGAUAUUUUGGAUUGUAUAAAUUAUUACAUAUUUGUGACUAAGGAUACUCUAUUGUAGUUGACAUUAAAAUAUUUGGGUGAUAUUUGGUAUGUUGAUUAAGGAAGUUGGUCGUGGAGGUUGGUUGAAUAUUGAAUUAUUUUUAGAGUGCUAAUUUUAUAAAUUGUAGGUUUGGGAAUGUCAUCAUUGUAGAGGAGACUCUACCGAAUAAUCUUUAGUAAAACCCUUAAAUAUUAGAUUUAUUAUCGGUUCAAUUAGAUGGGAUUAGAUGACUCGUCCUGAGGUUUCGGGGCAGGUCGUUUUAUCUAUACAUUAAAGGCUCAUAGACUAUUAGAUACAUUGAAGCCCAUAAUACUAAAAAUCUUAAUAGAUAUCUUUUAAUUGGGCUUAAUUUUAUAUGACAGUUUGCAACACAUAAUUAUUCACAUAUAAUCCCAGCGUUGGGUUAAGGAUUUAACAAUCCUAGAUUAAAAAAUCCAACAAAACUAUUACUUAUUUAUUUUAUUUUUUUACAAUAGUUUACAUAUAAUUCAAAGUCCUGUACAAUUGUCUCUCUAUCUUCACAUUAAACAUAAUUAAAAAGGAGAAUUUAUUUCAACAUUUUUUAAUAUGAACCUUUGAGACUUGUUAUCUCAAUUGUCGUAUAAGAAUUGAUUUGAUGUUGGGUUCCAGCAGUACCAGCUUACUUUUACGUAUCUUGGAUGCUAAGUGUAUUGCACAUGGAUCUGGUACUUUGAUGAUAUGAUCAAAAUUGGAGAUUGGAUUUUAGGGUGAGAUAACUGGCUUUUCUCUUUUGAGGGUAAGCUUGUACUUUUAUGGCAUGUGCUUCUUCCAUACCGUUACAUAUCUUCCAAGUCCUCUGAUUGCCUACGGUAGUCAUUAAUCAUCUCGAGCAAUAGUUCACCAAUUUCUUAUUAGGAGAUACAAAUUCAAGACGGCGCAUCUACUGGUGCAAAUUACCAUAUGUUUAAUUCCUUGUGGAUGAAAGUGGUUUGGGAAUUCAUUUUCUUUUUCAAAUCUGGCAGAUGCAUUUGAGUUAAAAAUGUGGUAGAGAUUUCGGGACCAGCAAUCUCUUUGGGCUUCACUCAUGAAGUCCAAGUAUUGCAAAACCUUACAUCCCAAAAUGGUUCGAUUUCACUAUUCUAUUUCCCUAUUUUGUCGACAUUUUUGCUCCAUUUGUUAUGUUGCUAAGCCUCAUAUACACUGGCUAAUUAGAUCUAGUGAUAAUAAUUUCUUGUAUGAUUGUUGUUUGUGGUUUAUACUUCUCUUUCUUUUUAAAAUUGGUACUGCUUCUAUGGUUCCUGUGUCAUUCUUUUGGCGAGGAGCAGUUUAGGAUAGGAGCAGGCUAUUGUCUGUUCUACUUCAAUUGUUGAGUAGAUUUUGUUGAUCACUAUUUUUGCUGUUAGACCGAAUAUUCUUCAUUGGACUCUAUCUAGGGAUGGGAAUUUUUCUAUAAAGACUAUUUGGGAGCUUGUUCGUGGGUCUCGGAUCUGGAAUGAGAUUUUUACUUAUAUUUGGCAGCAACAUAUUCCUAAUGAGGUAUUUUUUGUUAUUGUGGUUGUUGUAUGGUUUCUUAGCUGCGAAUGAUGCCUUGGGCUUGCACCAUUAAGAUAUUCAGGCAGUUAUUUUGUGAAUUGCUCAUUAGUUGCGCAAAUCUGACAACGAUUUUACUCGAUGAUUGGUCUUUGAUACCUUCCUUUCUAUCUCCUCAUACGUUGCUUGUUCACUGGCGGCAUUGUGCCCAUUCUUCGAGACAUUUUCGAGUCCUUCUCUCAUGCUUCAUCCUGUGGCAUGUCUUGAAGCCUUGAAAUGCUUUUAGAUUCGAUUCUAGUUGUCAUUGCUUUUUGAGUGGUUUCGGGCCUUAGACUCGCUAGCUCUGUUUUUGGUUUUAAGUUAUCCCAAUUGAGGGGUGUUUUGGAUACCCAUAUUAGAGAGGGUUUGUAGAUAUUUUGCCUCCUCUUUGACCGGUCGCUUGGUUUCCUAGUUGAGGCUACCGCCUGGCGUGAUGAAGUUAAAUGCGGAUGGUUACUCUAGGGGCACCUCUGGUAUGUCUGCUGCUGAAAGUGUUCUACAUGAUCAUUCGGGAGUAGUAUUAGUUGCUUUUGGUUCUUUCUUAGGGCACCAAUCAAUACUGUUUGCUGAGCUGUUGGCUAUGCUUGAAGGAUUAGAUCUUGUGCUCAGCUUGGGUUUACUGUUCUAGAGUUGGAAUCUAACUUGGCCACUGUGGUUUCUUUAGCUACUUCGCUUAUCUCCUGGGUUGGAUUCAUGCUUUAUUUUCUAGUCCUUUUAUUACUAUCAAACAUGUCUUUUGAGAGGCCACUUCAGCCACUGACUUCAUGGUUGAUUAAGCAUGUACUCAUAAGACUCAUCAGCGAUUCUUCAGCUCUGGGGAUCUUAUAUCUGGUCUAUUUGGCAUUCUUCAUUUAGAUGCUCUCGAGUUCCUUUAUGUUCAACAUUGAUUUCCCUUUGUUGGUUUCUUUUAUAGUUUGUUUUCCUUUUUUUUUUAAAGAAGUUUUGGUUUAUGUCCCCCUCUUCAUAUUCUUUUCAUCAUCUAAUUUUUCUUUCAUUGUAGGUAGAGGUUUGGCCUAAUCCCCCACCUUCAUGAUGGUUUAGAUUAAAAAAGAAAAAACCAAUUUGACGUUAGGUUUGAAUAUCCUAACUAGAGAGGGGCGAGGAUUGCUAAGGAUCCUUUGGUAAUGAGAUUCACAAGAUUUACACAUAAAUCAACUGGAAUAAUAUCGAUUUGUCAUCCUCACAAAUGGUGGAAAUCAGAGAAUCCACUUUUCGUAUGCUUAAAGUUCUUGGGAUUGAAAAAUUGCAACAAGCUAAAAAUGUGUCAUAAAGAUUUUUUCUUGGAAAAUGUUAUAAGAUUCUUCUACAGUUUUACCCUUUUCACCUAUUCCUCUUUCAAUGUGAAAAAAAAUGCAAAUUAGUUUAAACUUUAGAGAAUUUCAGAUGAAAUUAUUUCUGCAUCCAAUUAGAUUGUAUCUACUUGUUUGUCCAUUAUCAUAAUCUUAAUUUAGUAUAUAAUUGUAAUUAUCCAAAUAGGGCUUUUAAGGGGUAAAUAGAAGGGGUGCUAAUAGUCCCACUCUUUCCGCAAUUAUUAUUGUCCUCGAAUAUUUCUCCAACAUUUUAUUUCAUAUUUGACUUCUGCUACUAAUACUAUAACAAAAGACGCUUUUUGACCAACAAAGUGUUGGCUCCACUGGAAAUGAAGUCCCCUUAAGUGGCUUGACUGGGUUUGCUCCCCAGUUCGAGUCGCAGGGAAGUCCCCUUUGUUGGGAGAACAUGUGCCUCUCGAUUCGAGCGGGGACUUCUACUCUGGAUUGUGGUACGGGCUUAAAGGUGCCUCCCACAGUUAGGGCCCUCCCCAGGAUACCUCGUGGUCAAAACCAAAAAAAAAAAAAAGACGCUUUUUGAAUUACAUCAGUUUCUAGUUGCAUUUUAUUGAUAAAUUAGCCGAACGCAGAUUUUUUAUUUCAUAUUUGACUUCAGCUACUAAUAACAUUGUUUGAUGCAACAUUUUAUUUCAUAAUUGACUUCUGCUACUAAAACUAUAAUUCAAAAGAUGCUUUUUGAAUUACAUUAGAUUUUUUAUUGAAAACGAACAAAGGGAUUAUAUUUUACAAUUUAGGAAAUAACUAUAUUUAAUAGAGAUAAUUUUGGGAUAUAGCAUUUACUUUCUAUUGAGAUAUUUUCAUAUAUUAGAUAAAAGUUUACUUAAAAAACAAAAAUUAGACUUCACACGUUUAACAAAUAACUCGAAGGAAUAUGAAUAAGAAUUAUUAAAACAAAAAUGAUAAAUAAGGAUAAUUUUAAAAUUAAAUGCAAUUAAUUGAGAGUUGAUGACUAAUGAGAAAAAUUGGGGGAAAAUAUUAAAAAAUCAACCAACUACUCAUGGUUGAUAGUCAUGACCCACUCAAUUUGAGAAUUAAAAGGACAAAAGCCAUGUGUUGAAAACUAUGGUGUUCAUGGGGAAAUUUCAGGUAAAAGUCUAAAAAGCAGUGAAAUUAUCGUGCAGCGCACGGUGCCUGGACAAUGAGAUGAAGUUGAAAAAUUAUCACGAAACUUCAAGGAAGAGUGCCAAUAGUCUUACUCAUAACGCCGUGUCUAACUCAUAACAUAGAGUAAGAGUUCUACGAAAGUAACGGCAGAGUGCCAAUAGUCUUGACUCAUAACGCCGUGCCUAUAAUUUCAACUGAAAAAAUCUGCCAAGUCGAAAAAUUAGGUGGGCGUUUCAAUAACCCUUGAAUAUUCCAUGAAUCAUUGUCCAGGAAGCUUGGAAAAUGAGAUAUCAGGUCAAUAUAUGCUGCAGAGUCACGCUCAUUUUGGCUUAGUAAUUGUUUUCAUCUGAUCACAAUCUCUCUCUAAUCAAUUCAACUGCUUCUGUUGAUUAUGGCUUCUUUUUCUCGAAACAACAAGAAGUAUGAUGUUUUUGUAAUAUAAGCUGCCUUUUUUUAAGUGGAACUGCAAUUGAAGAACUGCCUUCAUCAAUUGAGCUUCUACUUAGGCUGGAGUACUUGGACCUUUCAGACUGUAAAAGGCUUAAGAGUCUCCCAAGCAGCCUAUGUAAGUUGAAAUCUCUUGAAAUUCUUGAUCUCAGUGGUUGCUCAAAUCUUCAGAGAUUGCCCGAAUGUCUUGGCCAGUUGUCCUCUCUAGGAACAUUGCUUCUAGAGAAAACCAAUAUUGAGAGAAUACCAGAAAGCAUCAUCCAAAUUUCUGUGUUGACUUACCUCCGCUUAAGCUAUUGUGAGAGGCUUCAAUCCGUACCAAAGCUUCCAUUCCUUAUACGAUGUUUAGAUGCCGAUAAUUGCACAUCGCUGCAAUCAUUAUCAGGUUUAUUCCCAAGUUCUGAAUUUUAUAUAUAAGCAGUGUUUUUUUACUAGAGCAAUAAUUUGUAUUCCCAAGUUCUGCAAUCAUUUAGUGCUAUUGUAGCAUUUUCAGACCGUCAUGUAGAUGAUGACAGAUGGUUUUCAUUUUCUUGUGAGUUCAAAAUGAAAACCGAAGAUUGUGAUCCGCAUGUCACGCGGAGAUUUCUGAAGCGCCUUGCUUACGUAGAAUCAGCUCACUUACUUUUGGGGUGCUAUUUUUUCAGUGAGGAGGAUUUCCAUGGUUUUUGGAAAUAUAAUUGCGUUCCUGAGGCAGUCCGCUUCUUUUUUGAUGAUUUUGAUCGUUUUCCAUCUUUGGAGUGCGAGUGCUGCGGGGUGAAAAAAUGUGGAGUCCAUUUACUUUACAUCCCAGAUUCUACGGAUUCAAUGGAAGUUCCAAGCAGAUGUUUCAACUGUUACGAAGAAGGCUUAAGAUUUUCAUGAAUGUAAUUUUAUUUUUUUCUCUUUUGCUAAUCACUAUUAAUAAUUAAAAAAAAAAAGCCAAGAUUAGUCUUGGAACAAAACAUGCAUGUAAUAAUUUUCGAGGGACGUGGUGCAUGUAAUAUUAGAUGAAGGGUAUAGUGAAAGCACGUAUUUAGCAUUGUAAAAUUACUGGCCUUCUUUUCCUGCAGAUUUAAUCUACUUGGCGUGUUAUUUUUUUCCCUAUUUUUUUUUUAAAUGCAGGUGUUUCAUUCAUGAUAUUUUAGGAUAACGAAAAAUGGACUGAAUAGAGAGAAGAGACUUCGUUUCACAUCUUCAAAGAUUGCAUCUGCAAUUGGCCUUUGCUUCAACAAAGGAUCAAUUAGCCAAAGCAAUGGAAACAAUAGCUUGAUUCUCCAAUCGUCAACAAUGCCUUGUAGUUUAUGCCGCCAGCAUAAUUCAACAGAACAAGCCCUCUAACAAGUAUUUGUAUGUAUGUAUGAUCAUUCAUUCUCAAUCAACCACCAAACUGAUGUCUACAAAGCCAUGAGGAUUGUCUCACAAGUCCCUUAUUUUCCCUCUCUUUUGGCCGGAGACCAGUAAACCAUUUGAAAUACGGAUGUGUAAACCAGAAAAUAAAUCACGAAGUUACACACUAGUCUGCUUUCGCACUCAUUCGGAACUAUAAUUGAUACUUGUUGAUGCGAGAUUCUGGUUACGCUCUUCCUACGACCAGGAUAUUUGCUCGAUCAACCUCACCUCGAUCAGGAUCUCUCCUCGUAUGCUUUCUUCUCCAAGUAUUCCUGCGUCCACAGAAACAAGUCAGAGCACGCCGGUUGUGUUCCCGGCGUAAACCCUCCGACGCUCAAGUCAGAUAUGAAGGCUUUUGGAACGCUUGCCACAGAUCUUAUGGCUUUUUGAUAGUUUUUCCUUCUUUUAGAAUUUCCCUUUUCUCUGUUAUAAUCUCAAAAUUGCUAACCCUUUUACCUUCGUUGGCUACCUUUUUAUAGGUUACUUCUGAGCUCGGGCCUCCCCUCCAUUCGCGCUCGUUAUCUUCCCACCUCUCGAACGUGGACUCCCCAUUUCCGUAAUUGUGGGUGGUUGCGUGGCCUUCGUGCCUAGAUUCUCGGAUUGGAGAGCAUGCCCCGCCAACCGUCAUUGACUGGGUCUCCUCGAAUCAACACUUAGCAGGAAUACAACAGAAAUGGCUUUAUGCUUCUUACAGGAAAUUGGCCUCGCGGAUGACGUGCUCGUGGAUGAGCAGGAUAUUCCUGCUCCUGCUCCCCCGGAUACCAGGCUCUUACGGGACACACCGGUUCGCAGAACUCUGCUAUCAGAUAUCUGCUCAUCAUGCCUGGUCUCGUCGAUAUGGUAUGGUGUAUAAAUUAUACUAAAGUGAAGGCUGGAUCAAUAAGAAAUUCAAAAUGUUUCAUCACAUUUGGGGCUUGAUGAUGCCAUAGAAAGACCAUACCAAUUAUGACGAACAGUAAAAUGUGAACAAGAACAAGCAUACAUUUAAGAAAGCAGAGAAGCAUGAUUAAAAUAAAUGAUUCUUCUCACUAUUCUAUGUUGUUGGAAAUGGACCAAAAUAAAAAAGAAACCAUAUAUGGAACGUCACAACAAGAAUAUUUGUGCAUUUGUACAUCAUAGGAUAUUGGGAAGACAUCAGCAGAAAAGUGCAAUUUUUUUUUUUUUGGGGGAAAGGAACAGAGAAGUGCAAGUCAAAAAGGAGAAAAAAUAAAAACAGAGAGAUUAAAAGGAAUGCAAUCUAAUUAAUCGUCUAAGGAGGCUACUAUGCUACAUUUAGCCAUUCGUUGAAUAGGCAACUUGUCUUCUAGUACAACUUUAAAUUUACCAAGAUUGAGAAUUUUCCUUCGGAAGAAAAGUAAUUUGUAUAGUGGCCAUUACCAUCUUCAUCCCAACGGUAAGCAGCUCCAUACUAAGGAAAGAGUGAAAUAGGUGUGCUUUACUUGUAGAAGCUCGUUCCUGUCCAGAGUGAUUAGUAAGUUGUUUCACCAUGACCCCCAUUAUGGUGACUGGAAAAAGAAAAAAAAAAAAUUUGCCCAACACAGAAGUGGCACCCAAGAAGUCCUACUUAAGAGGCUUCAUACCCUGCACAAAUCAGAAAGUUUUUAAAAAUUUUCAUGUUCCAGGUUCCAAAUGAAGAUUGCCCAUUAAAAAAUUACACACAUAAUGUAUGUAAAGCAAUUAAAACAGAAAAACAAGGAUAACCCAGAAACAAUCCAACCAUCAAUAACAUAAAACUUUUGUAAUUCUGGUAAAGUGAAUGAGAAGCAAAACAUACAUUUCACGUAAUAAUGAAGAUACAUCUUUUAAUCAGUUUUUGCUCUUAUUUUAUUCUCGUACUUCCUUCCAAUAACAAUUCAUAAUGCAGGUUGGUAUCUUGAAAAAUUAUAUCAUACAUUUCUCUUAUCAAUGGGGCAGGUUGCUAUUGAACAUUAUUCAUAAACAAAGAGCCAAAUAUGCUUUAAAGCUACUUAAAAAUAUGCCAUCAGGCAUUGACGCAGACACUCAACAACAAAAAAACAGAGUUAUCAGCACUUAACAACACAAAAGUAAAAAAGAAAAUACUCUCACUCAAGUAUUAUAUUUGUUGCACAAAUAAGAAAGACGAUAACAAUUUUAAAUUAACCAACAGGUUGAAUCUUAUCGUAAUACACACUAUCAGCUAUGAAUCAUCCGAUAGAAUCAUCCGUGACAAUGCUCCAGUGCUUAACCUGCCACAUUUAUAAAACCUUAUUUCAAAUAAAAUUACAGUUAAGGGCAAAGAAGAAAUAAACACAUGUAGGAUUUUUUUCCCAACAAAUUACUUACAUUAAUAAUCAAUCCCUUUUUUUUUUAAUUUCCUACCAUUUUAAUUCUUAUCUAACUAAGAUAAAUUGUAUAAAUAUAGAAUAAUCUAUUUUUCUUUUCGUAUUUCUUAUUGAUUAAAUAUUUCGUACUCAAGAUUACUUUCAAAUUACAAUCUAAAAUAUGUGUUAUUUAAGCUAAUGAUUAGCAUUCAAACUUUAUCACCUAGAAAACUUUUUAAUUUGUAUGUAGGAUAACAAUAAGAUUGUAAAAGGGAUGAAAAAUAGCACAAUACUACUUUGAGUUUUAACAAUAAAAAAAGAUUAAAUGAAAAACUAAAAGAGCGUCUUGGAAAAUAAAAUAAAUAUAACUGAAAAAAAAGGUUUCAUUAAGAGACUAGAGGGGUGCCAAUAGUCCAACUUUUAAAAUAAAGUUUUAUCAAUUAUUGAUCCCUUUUUCUGCAAUUAUUAUUCCCAACAAAUAUUUCUCCAACAUUUUAUUUCAUAUAUUUACUUCUACUAUACUCUAACAAAAGACGCCUUUUUGGACUACAUCAGUUUCUACUUUCUAGAUGCAUUUCAUCCAUUGUUCAAUUUCUCUAUUUUUUUUUCUCUAAACAACCACUUUCUGUCAGCUCUCUUAAAAUUUAUUAAGGAAUCUAUGUUGAAGACCAUUUCAUCCUUAGUAUUGUGUAAAUGUAUAAAAAUACAUUUUACACUUUCAAAUUUAAAAUGACCUUCUUUUAGCACAAAAUUUUAAAACAAAUACCUCUAACUAAGCAACAAAAUGUAGAACACAUGAUAAGUACCAUAUCAGCCAUAUAAAAAGUGAAUCACACUAUGAUAUAUGUGCAUUUAUUUUGAAAAAUCAUCACGUAAAUAAUGGUUAUAUUGAAUCUAAGUAAGUGAAUAUCAUACAUGACACAACCCGGCCCAGCCUCUCUGCCGGAUUCGAGGUGAAUCAUGUGAUCUUAUAUCUAAAGCUUGUGAAAUAAAUUUAAUUCAUGAAUGCAUAACACUAGUCUCGGCCUUUGUUAUAAACAUAUAAUAACAUAUGUGACUCAUUCAAAAAUAUAUUCAAAACUUGCACAAUUUACAUCUUACUGUACAUACAUACACUUUAGAUAUAUACAUAUAAACAUAAACAUGCUCAAAAUAUAAGUUAUGCAGUAAUGCGUGUUGUAGCCCAACAUCAACUGAUUAGAAACUGAACUGCACAAAAUCCUAUGAAAAUCUUAAAGAAAUGGGGUAAAUAUGAAAAUAGUAUACUUGUGGCUAAAUGAGUGGAUAUAAUUAUAUAUAUAUAAAUAAAUUAGCGCUCUAGUGCUUGUACAUAAUUGUAUGACAUAACUUCGCACUGAACGCAUUACACAAGCAAACAUGAAAUCAUAUAUUUAUACAUGAUAAAACUGCACCAAAUAAUAUCUAGGAGAAAUAACUCUUCAAUACUCACUGGAAUCAUCGUUGCACAAGUAAAGUAGGGGAAACACCUCUCAAUACUCAGCCGAAUUAACUACAUCACAAGGGCCGAGUAAUCUAACUCUCAAUACACAUACAUAGAGCCUAUGGGGAAGGGUACACAUAUGAUAUCUGGCAAUUACAUCUCAUUAUUCAAUUAAUCAUAUAAUAUCAGUAUAUAUAAUCAUGACAUGAUACUAAAUCAUACUAUCAAGCAUCAAUACUUUGUAGAAUACAUAUAAGUAAUAAUAGUAAUCCACUCACAAAACAUUUUUCACUAUGGGGUUUGUUGGAGCUCCUAUAGAUUCCUUAAUUCUUGAAUUUCUCCUAAAAUAUAGGGUUAAAAAAUUAACUAUUAGAACUGAUAUAAAAACUUUUACAUAUGACAUUAACUAAAUCAUAAUUGUUCAAAUUUCUUAAAUACGUUACCUACUGACUUACUGGAUAUAGAUAUAACUAUCCAACUCUCUUUCCUAUAAUAUUUCCUCUCAAUUCCUCUUUUCAAAAUUAUUUUUCGCUCUCGGUUUUUCUUUUCUUUAUUUUUUCUUCUUCAUCUUUUAUUCUUCUGUUCUUUUCCACUUCUUCUUCAUCUUUUCUUCUUUUGUUCUUUUCCUCUUCUCUUUUCCUUUUGUUUUCUUCCCUUCUCACCUUUUCCUUUCUUUUUCUUUUCUCUUUGAAUUGCUUUGUUUUAGUUUGAUUCUUGAAAAUGGUGACAGUUGCUUCAAUUCUUUACUUUAUACAUAUCCAUUACCUCCAAUCAUGCACGACAAGCACAUAGCAUGCAUGUGCUUUGCUUUAAGCCGAUAGCUUGCUAAUUAGCCACAUGUGCUCCCUUUUGGCUUGCAUGUGCGUCACAAUAAAUGCAUUAAUUGGUUGUAUUAUUUUUAAUGUAUUAUAGAAUUUCUUUUAAUGAAGGACGUAGCCAACAAUUUUAUCCAGUUAAACAUGUUCUUUGACAUAUAAUAUAGUUUAUGGUCAAACAACUCAUAAGUAGUUGAAAUUAAAUUAUUUUCUAAUCUCAAUUUUCCUUUCCUCUCAAUUUUAAAAUACUUUAAAAGAUUUUCAAACAUAAGAUACAAUGGUAUACAAUUGAAGCCUAAUCCAACAUUGAAAGAUUAAAUAAAAUUAAUUUUCAUCACUACUCAAGAGACUUGAAAGGACAUUAAGGUAGCAUUUAUUUUUUAUUUAAAAUCUGAAUAGGUCAGAAUUUGAUUAAAAUCUGAAUGGCCUUGAAUAUAAAGGUUUCAAUAACAUGUUAUUUUUUUAAUAUCUAAAAAUUAAGUGGCAUCUUGUUUGAUUUAUAAUAAGAAGGGAAAUUAUCAUUCGUAUACCCUAAAUUUGUGCUUCUAUAAAAAAAUAUUACAACACUUUAAGGGUGUAUCAAUCAUCCACCCUAAAUUGACAAAAGUUAUCUGCCGACCACUAAACUGUUAGCUACCAUUUGAAAGUUAACGGAACUGUAGCUAAUUAACAAUUUUACCCUUGAAAAUUAUCACUUGUAUACCCUUAAAAUAACUUAUUAUCACUUCUAUACCCUAAAAUUAUCACUUGUAUCAUAUAAAAAGACCAUAUUACCCCCCUGACGUCAUCAUAUUUAAAUGGCAAUUAACGGUUUGGUGGACGGCAGAUACAUUUUGUCAACUUAGGGUGGACGACUGAUAUACCCUGAAAGUAUUGUACUAAAUUUGAUAAUGGAGUAAACUAAGGGUAUACGAUUGAUAAUUUCCCUAAUAAGAAAACACAUUAAAUGUGGUUAUUUAGCGGUUAUGUCUUUAUAGGUCAAAACGAAUAAAAGGGAUUAGGCUUCGUAGUUUAUGAAAUAACUAUAUUGAAUUGAAAUAUUUUUAGGAUAUAGUAUUUAUUUUCCAUUCAAACAUUUUUUUUCAUUUCGGCAAAGGUCACAAAAAUUUACUUUUUAAAUUCAAAUGUAAAUAUCUAAAAAUCAGACAUAUGUUACAAAAAAAACAAAUAGCUAAUUUUUUAAAAAAAAUUAAACUUCAUAUGUUUAAAAUCAACGCUACGAAACAUGAAUAAGAGCUAUUAAAACAAAACAAAAAAGAAUAAUUUUGAAACUAAAUACAAUUAAUUGAGAGAUGAGGACCGAUAAGAUAAAUUCAGAGAUAAAAAGUAACAUAUCACCCUACUUAUUGCUGGCAGUUAUGAGCAUUAAAGCACAGAAGCCGUACCAACAAAGUGGUGGCUCCACUGGCAAUGGGGUCCCCUUAAGUGGCUUGACUGGGUUUGCUCCCCAAUUCGAGUCGUAGGGAAGUCGCCUUUGUUGGGAGAACAUGUGCCUCUCGGUUCGAGCGGGGACUUCUAGUCUGGGUUGUGGUACGGGCUUAAAGGUGUCUCCCACAGUUGAGGCCCUCCCCAGGAUAUCUCGUGGUUAAAACAAAAAAAAAAAAAGCGCAGAACUCGUGUGUUGAAAAGUAUGGUGUUCGUGUGGACUUUUCAGCUAAAAGUCUACAAAGCAGUUGAAUUAAUCAAUCGUCGUGGAGUGCACGGUGCUUGGACAUUGAGAUGAAAUUGAAAAAUUAUCACGGAACUUGAAGGAAGGUUCAUGGCAUCGAUUUAUUCUACAGAGUCACGCACAUUUGGUUCAAUAAUUGUUUUCAUCCGAAUCAAAAUCUCUCUCUAAUCAAUUCAACUGUUUCUGUUGAUUAUGGCUUCUUCUUCUCGAAACAACAAGAAGUAUGAUGUUUUUGUUAGUUUCAGAGGAGAGGACACCCGAGACAACUUUAGUAGCCAUCUCUAUUCUGCUCUGAGUCGACAAAAUAUCCAAACUUUCAUUGAUGACCAACUUAACAGAGGAGAUGAAUUUUCGGAGUCACUUGUGAAUGCAAUUGAAGCAUCAGCCAUUUCAGUUAUCGUCUUCUCAGAAGGGUAUGCAUCUUCCAGAUGGUGUCUCGAUGAACUUGUAAAGAUCCUCGAGUGCAAGAAAGAGUAUGCACAGAUUGUGAUUCCGGUUUUCUAUCGGGUUGAUCCAUCAGACGUGAGAAACCAAACUGGGAGUUUUGGCAAUUCAUUUUCGAAGCUUGAAGAAAGGUUUAAGGAGAAUUCAAAGAAGCUGCAGACAUGGAGGAAUGCUUUGAAGGAAGCAGCCACUUUGUCUGGCUUUCCUUCUCAGAACAUCAGGUGAAAAGUUACUUUUAAUUUCGCAUACUAAUAUUCAACACUGUAAAUAAAAUUCACACAGCACUCUUAGUUAAAUUUUCCAGAUGAUAAACUACACUUUUAAAUUUUUUUCAUGCAUCAAAUUCUAGACUUCUUGAACUUCCCCACUUUUGAACUCCUAUAAAAGAAGUUUUGCAGAAUUAAUAAUAAAAGCUCCAGAAGUUUACAAUAUAUUUUAACAAAAUUAAUGGUGUUCUGUCGUUUUUUAAUCAAUUUCAAUCUCUUACUCAUAUACCACUAGGAAAAAAAAAAUCUCUUCCACAUAUAACAUAUUCUUGUAAUUAAAGAGUUAAUAAUUUAUAGGGAGAUUGGAAAUUUCCUUACUCAAAUCAAUAUAUACCACUUAUUUUGACUAUUUUUACAAUAUUUAAUAACUCUCCUGGUACCAUCACUUUACAAUUGGACAACGAGCAAUCUCCCUUAUUUCAAUUUUAUGCAAAUCCCUUCUAUUUGAAGUUACUGCUGCUAAUUUUAUGUAUUUGGUAGGCUUGAAUCGAAACUUAUAAACGAAAUUGCUAAUCACAUUUUAAAGAGACUGCUGGAUCAAGUUUUUCGGCGGAAUGAUAACAAAAACCAGCUGGUUGGAGUAGAAUCAAGAGUUGAGGAAAUUCAAUCUCUACUAGGUGUUCAGUCGAAAGAUGUUUACGCUUUAGGGAUUUGGGGCAUUGGUGGUAUAGGCAAAACAACAAUCGCUAGAGCUACUUUCGACAAAAUCUCUAGCGAUUUUGAAGGUUCUUGCUUCCUUGAAAAUGUUAGAAAAGAGUCACAAAAACCGGGAGGAUUAGCUUGCUUGCGACAAAAACUUCUUUCAAAUUUAUUGAAAGAUAAAAAUGUGAGUCUUGUUAUUGGUCUUAAUUUUAGAAGGCUCAGCCGCAUGAAGGUUCUGAUUGUUUUUGAUGAUGUGACUGGCUUCAGCCAAUUAGAAUCUAUAAUUGGAAGUCUUGAUUGUUUGACGCCUGUGAGUCGAAUCAUAAUAACCACCAGAAAUAAACAAGUGCUUAGAAAUUGGGGGGUGAGUAAAAUAUAUGAGAUGGAGGCAUUAGAAUAUCAUCACGCUCUUGAGCUUUUCAGUCGACAUGCCUUCAAACAAAACCAUCCUGACGUUGGUUACGAGAAAUUUUCAAGCAAGGUAAUGAAAUAUGCUCAAGGUGUUCCUUUAGCUCUUAAAGUGUUGGGUUGCUUUCUAUAUGAAAGAGAAAAGGAAUUCUGGGAAAGUGCAAUAAAUAAAUUGCAAAGAAUCCUCCAUCCAAGUAUCCUAGAGGUAUUAAAAAUAAGUUACGAUAGUUUGGAUGAUAAGGAGAAAAAUAUUUUCCUUGAUGUUGCUUGUUUCUUUAAAGGCGAGGAUGUAAAUCUAGUAAUGAAAUUCCAUAAUGCAAGCGGUUUCUACCCAGAAAUAGGAAUAAGUGUUCUUGUUGAUAAAUCUCUCAUUGCUAUUGGUUCAUACAGCAAGAUAAGAAUGCAUGAUUUACUACAAGAGCUGGGUAGGGAAAUUGUUCGACAAGAAUCAAUUAAUCUUGGAAACCGCAGUAGGUUGUGGCAUCAUGAGGAUAUCUAUGAAGUUCUUACAUAUAACACGGUAAGCAGUUUGUUGUGGAUAAUUAUUUUGAAAUAUUCUAGCAUUUACAAACUUGAUAUGAAUAUAUUUAUAUAUGCUCGAACUGAUGAGUCUUAGAAUUAAUAGAAGAGCAACAAUGAUUAGAAAAAAACCAUAUCCGUUAGAUGACGUAGCAAUAAAUUAUAAAUGCCAUGACAACUUGCAUAAUCAUUUGCAAGCAUAAUUGAUAUGCCAAUUUGUAUAGUACACAGACGGAAUUUUUAUAUUAAGUAUUACUUGUGUUAUUAUGUUUCUUUGUGCAUUUGCAAUUAAAAGUUUAACUGCCUAGCAAUAACUAAAAACAUGAAUUAUUGAUUUGAGAAAUGAUAAAGAGUCCACUCCAAUCCCACAUAAACUCGACUAAAUAAUAAAUAAAAAGUUGAAUUAUUAACUAAGCUACCUCUAAUUGUGAAUUAGUGAGAAACUUGCCCCAAAAAUUUGACUUGGAGGGGUUGAAGUGCGAUUCAUUGGUGGAAUACACAUAUAUUUCAUUUGAUUUUAACUUUAUUGCUUUUUCAUUUAUUUUUAGGGAACAGAAAAAAUUGAGGGCAUAUGUUUGGAUAUGUCAAAAGUAAAAGAGCUCUGUCUUAAUCCCAAUACUUUCACACAGAUGCCUAAAUUGAGAUUUUUAAAGUUCUAUAGUUCAUCAGUCAAUGGAGAGAACAAAUGUAAGAUAUCUUAUUUGCAAGAUUCCGGAUUUGCUGAAGUGAAAUAUCUUCACUGGUAUGGAUAUCCGUUGAAGUCAUUGCCGUCAAACCUUGGUGCAGAGAAACUUGUGUUACUUGAAGUGCCUGAUAGUGACAUUGAACGACUUUGGGAUUGUGUGAAGGUAUGCAUAUCUUAUUAUAUAUGUGCAAUCUUUCAAUAACAACCUUAAAUUAUUAUACGUGGUAACGAUUUUGUCUUGGCCUCUUUUUUGACCGAGCAGCAUUAUAGUAAGUUAAACCAGAUAAUCCAUGCUGCCUGCCAUAAGCUAAUUGCCAAAAUUCCAAAUCCCACGUUGAUGCCACGUCUGAACAAGCUAGUUACGUUGAAUCUAAGAGGUAGCAAAAGCCUGAAAAGUCUUCCAUCUGGACUUGGAAUUUCUUACCAAACUUGAUCUUUCGGGCUGCUCAAAACUGAAAAGGCUUCCAGAGAUCUCAUCAGGUAAUAUAAGCUGGUUAUUUUUAAGUGGAACCGCAAUUGAAGAACUACCCUCAUCAAUUGAGCUUCUACAUAGGCUCGGGUACUUGGACCUUUCAGAUUGUAAAAGGCUUAAGAGUCUCCCAAGCAGCCUCUAUAAGUUGAAGUCUCUUGGACUUCUUAGUCUCCGUGGUUGCUCAAAUCUUCAGAGAUUGCCCGAAUGUCUUGGCCAAUUAUCCUACCCAAUAAUAUUGAAUCUAGCGAAAACCAAUAUUGAGAGAAUACCAGAAAGCAUUAUCCAACUUUUCGUGUUGGGGUACCUCCUCUUAAGUUAUGGUGGGAGGUUGGAAUCCGGACAAAAGCCUUCAUUCCUUGAACGAGGUUGCUUGGCACUGCAACCAUUUUUAGGUUUGUUCUCUAAGUUAUGAAUCUUACAGGCAAUUUUUUUUGACCGGAGCAGUAAUUUUAAAUUGGAAGGUAAUUCUACUGCAGGAAUUAUUGAAGAUACCCUGAGAAUUCAGCAUACGAACCAUAUGCCCGAUGUACGUUUGCAAGAAAUAUGGCAAGAAGAUUGGCUAAAUGUGUGUCUUUAACUCUCUCUACUUACAAUUUCUACAAUCUUUUUUUUUUUGGGUUUAAAAUUAUGUUUUUUUGGUACAGAGAGGUUUUUCCAUGGGCAAAGGUCAUAUAGUACUACCUGGGAAUGAAAUUCCAAAGUGGUUUGAGUUUCAAAGUGUGGGAUCUUUUAUAACCUUGGAGAUGCCGCCAGAUUCCUUCAAUAAUAGCAGAGUGCAGGGCAUUGCAUUUAGUGCUAUUUUAGCAUUUUCAGACCGUCACGUAGAUUGUGGCAGAUGGUUUUCAUUUUCUUUUGAGCUCAAAGUGAAAACCACCAAAGAUUGUGGUACGCAUGACACACGAUUACUUCAUAGCAGAGUUAAUUAUGUAGAAUCAUAUCACUUACAUUUGGGGCACUAUCUGUUCUGUGAAGAGAAUUUUAAUGGUUUUUGGAAAUGCAAUUGCAUUCUUGAGGCAGUCCACUUUAAUGUUUUUCCCCCUUUGGAGUGCCAGUGCUGCGGGGUGAAAAAAUGUGGGAUCCAUUUACUUCACACCCCAGAUCCUACGUCAAUGGAAGACCCAAGCACAUGUUUCAACUGUAACGAAGAAGACUGAGAUAGGUGUCAUUUUCACUCAACUCACCUGAGUUGUGAAUCCAUUUGCUUAAACAUGUAUGCACUUUUUCAAGUAUCUCUACCAAUUCCAUAUUUGGAAUGGUGCAUUUGAUUCCAUAGUUGAUUUGGUAUCGUCUAUGGUUAGAAUUUAUAUUUACAAAAAUGACUUGUAAGGAAAGGAUUGAAGAUGCCUGUGAACUUAUAUUUCGAUUUAGAUUAUUGUAUCUUUUUCAUGUAUAAAAUUGGAUCCUAUCAUUCACAUAUCAUUGACAUGAGCAAUAUGGAUUACUAAAUCAUUAUUCUUUAUUAUUGUGCUGAAUUUGAUUUUUUAUUGAAUAAUUUGAUAUAUUUCUUGAAUCAAUUUGGAGCUUCUACAACUUGUCAGAGAUCAGUUUCUCCAACAUUCCUUUCGGCGCCAAAAGAUAACCAAGCGGUUGAAUAAGAAUUGAUAUAUACAACAUAAAUACAAGAGUUGUUUUGUCUUUUUACAAUAGGAAGAAUACAUAAUGCUCGUUAAAACUUGCUGAUGAGAAAGUAAAUUCCUCAGAAAUUAAAUGUUUCAGCCAACCAAGGAAGCAGCUUUUCAUGGACCAACUCAGACUUGUCGUCAUGGGGGCAAUGUCCUACUCCUUCCAAUACAAUUAGCUUCACAUUUGAGAGUUUAGAAGGCAGAGAUGAGAAGUAUUUACCAACAGGUCCAUCGAGGGGUGUGAAUGGAUCCUUAUCACCCCAUAAAACUAGUACAGGUAUAGAGAUUGAUGGCAUCAAUUGAACUGGGUUCGGCCCUGGUGGGCCUGUUACAAUCGAAACAAAUGCAUCAAGUGCCCCUUCCUCAUUGGCAGGCUCUCGUAUGAUCUGCAGUUUUGAGGUUGAUUCAUGAAUUCUGAGUAGCCAUGUUUGUAACAGGUUAAAAUGGCAUAUAAGAGGAGAAUAUUAAUACCUCAACCAGUGUUUCAUCCACAGAUUCCUUAUUUGCAUAAAUGGACAGUAAAAUAUUCCUCAGUGUUUCCCUACAGCACCAAUAUAUGAACAUCAUAGAGUUUUUUUUUUAAAUUUUGACUCUAGUGUCUUGGGAUAAUGAACAAUGGACUGAAUAGAGAGAAGAGAAAAUACCUUUGUUUCACACGCUCAAAUAUAGCAGAAGCAAUUGGCCUUUGCUUCAACAAAAAAUCAAUGAACCAAAGCAAUGGUAACAAUAGCUUGAUUCUCCAAUCAUCAACAAUUGCCUUGUUGUUCAUGCCACCAGCACAAUUCAACAGAACAAGCCCUCGAACAAGGGUUUGACUGGAUUCUUAUGGUAGAAAAUAUAGCAGGUUUGUCGUAAACCAUAGAUACCAAAAAGGAUAAUUAGGGACAAGUGAUUCUUUGCAAGCAAGUUGAAGAAUAUCUGAUGUCAAAGGGGAAGUUAAAAUAAAUAUACCUGAGGCAGCGAUAACACAAGCUAGGCUUCCAACAGAAUUACCUAUAAGCACAGUUGGCUUCUGAACAACUUCAUCCAAGAAAUCCAAUAUUAGCUGUAUCAGUGAAUCUCACUCAAGUUAGCAAGGAAAAUAACUAAAGUUCAAGUGAUUGAUGACGUAAGUACAUAGAAAGAUCCAACUUCUGGGUAGGGAACAUUGCACACCUGAGCCCAUGCCUCCAUGGUAUAUGAAUAACCAGCUGGCUUUUCUGAAGCUCCAAAUCCAAGAAGGUCAAUUGCAUAAACCGUGUAGCUCUUUGCCAGGGUGCCGAUAUUCCUGAAAUUACCUCAGAGAUGACAAGAAAAAUAUCAAUUCCUCGCAUUAUUUAAUAGGAUAAAGGAGUAGUGAACACACAAAUUUUCAUUCCCCUCUUCUACGGAGCGGUAAAAUGAAUACUUUUUCACUAGAUUAAGAAUCGGAAAAUGGAAGAAGCAUAUAUCCAUAAAAGGGUAAUAUGAAAUGGAACCCUGAAACUCAGAUCACUGGUUUGUCAUCGUCUAGGUGCAAGGAAUAGAACUAAGUGUUAAUGCCAAUGCACCAUGAAAUAAUGAAUAGAUUUUACUUUCAUUAUUCUUUUGCUUCAUUGAUCUUAAUUAAUUAUUAGAAGUAUAACACAUAUAAAUCCAUCCCUGGAGUUCAUAAUACAUAACAGAGUCAGAGAUAUUACAUACAUAAGGUAAAGACAUGCUCCAUACAAAAAAUAAAAAUUACAGUCGAAAAUACCCAGAACAUAAUUUGAAUUGAAUUCACAAUAAAGGAGCUACAUUUUUGUGCACCCAAUAAUCAACCCGCUAGACAAUUCACAACAACAAAGAGCAAUCUUAUCUCGCUAACCUGCGCCAGUGAGGAAUGGAGGCACCAAAGCCAUGGACAAGGAGUAGAGGAGGAGAAUCGGGAUGUGAAUUUGGAGUUGAAGAAACCAAGUAAUUGAUGGAGUACUGACCCUUCCAUUUCCACAUUUUGUAACUCUCCCUUAUCUCAUUAACCUCCAGUUCCAGUGCAGCAGAAGCAGAAUCCCCUCCACUGCUACUGUUAGUAUAACUGAUGGAAACAUUUUGUCUCUUCUNNNNNNNNNNNNNNNNNNNNNNNNNNNNNNNNNNNNNNNNNNNNNNNNNNNNNNNNNNNNNNNNNNNNNNNNNNNNNNNNNNNNNNNNNNNNNNNNNNNNUCUUUUCUUACUUUUUCAAUUGGAUAUUUUCUGUGGCCUGGCUUGGCCUGCUCCUCCCCUGCUUCCACCUCUAUGAGACUGUGGCUAUGACAAAAACUUUUUAUAUACUUAUUUAUUUAUUGGGCUUAUUCCACUAUAAUAUAAAAAUUUUACUGAUAUUCCUCAAAAAUCAAAAUGAUAAUACUUCGUCUAAAAAAUAAUUAUAAAACAUACAUGCUAUGUUUUUAAAUUUUCAAACAAAGAAGAACUUUGUAGAGUUAAUUAACUAGAUUUUCUUUAGUUUACUUUCUUGUGAUUUAGAUUAUUUUAUUAUAUUUAGCUACAAAGAUUGCUUUGUCAUAAGUUUAAAUUGAUUAUUUUACCCUUAUAAGGUAAAACCAUUAAGAAUUUACUCUAAUUUCAAUAUUUUUUUAAUUUUAUACCAAAUUCAUUGUUUCUAAUACUACUUUACUAGUAUGAGUUUUAAUCUUUAAUUAAACUAAAAUAGUAUCUUUAGGGCAUGAUACUCAUGUAAAUUAUUGGGAUGUCAAUUUUAUGUUAUUUACACACUAGAGAAAAUCACAAUUAGAUUUUAUUUUAAAAUAUUAUACUAUAAGCCACAAAAUUAGAUACAUAAAUUAUUAGAUACAAUAACUUGUGUUUAUUAUGGUAAUUUAGUCGCUAUAUAUCAUAAUAAUAAAAUACUAAAAUAAAACUUGUAUUAAAGUUUUAUGAUUAAAGAUGGUCAAAAAACCCAAGAAAAAAAUUAAUAGAAGGAUUUAACUGAUUAACUAUACAAAAUUUUUAUUAAUUUGUAUUUUUUAAAAAAAUAUUGUGAAUUCAUUGCAAUUAGUUUCUAGAAGUAGGGUGAAUUUACAAAAAUAGUGGGGUGCAAAUACCCUUACCCAGAUACUCCAUAAAAAGUGAAAACUAUAUUACCUUUUUUGAUGUACUUCUCUUGAAUUUUUUAUUUCUAAGGAUAAAGUUUAAUUCAUUCCUAAAUAAAAUGAUAAUCUCUAAUUUGCUCUCAAUGUAAACCUCAAUUUAUUCUUCAUUUCCGUCCAAAAGAUGAGGGGCAAAUAAGGAAUGUGUUCAUGGUUUUUUUGUUUUAAUCUUCUUAACAGGAUCCAGCUACUUUGCGUCAGGGGUUUGGUACCCCAGUCUUUUGUCCUAUAGCGAUUAAGCCUUUAGAUUGGUUGCAAAUAUAGUUGACGGUUGAGAUUUAACAGUUUGAAAAUGGGUAACCGGGUAGAAGAAUAGUAUCAGUAAAACAAAAAAGAAAUGGUAAUGAACGUCUUUCUCCCCACCGCUGAAGUGUGCUGUAAUAUUGAAACUGUUUUCAGAAGCUUCAAUUAGUGGGUCAGUUAAUUUUCUUAGGUUGGGGUUUGGGAAAAAAAGUAUUGAUUUAGAGGGUGAGUGGGUAGAAAGUAGAUUACGGGUACUGUGGCGUAAACUGGGGAUUUAAGUGAUGAAUAAGUUACGCUGUUAGGUUAGAAGUUGUCGUCAUUUGCUGUCAUCUAGGUCAACAUACAACCAUUUGAGUGGUGCUGGAGUAAAGUGAGCAGAGCUAAACUGUAGCGAUUUCUGUGGAGAGUUAUAUUUGGAGGUCAUAUCUGCUCGCAAUUUCGUUGCAAUUAGUUGUCCGCGGGAGCCUUAAUACGACAUUGAGGUAUGUAUUAACUGUGAAAAUUUAUAUGUGGCUCUUAAUUUGAGUGCACGUGUCUAAAUAGUAAACGGUAGUUGAUUGGGUACGCAUGAACAAGUAAAAAUAGGCAUAGAAUGUUAGGUUUGGUUGUAAAAUAGCAAUUGGGAGGAAGAAGUAGAAAUUGGGAAUAUAUUAUGUUAUGAAAAUUGAUAUGUUAGUUAUUAUGCAACUGAUAGAAGGAAACCUUGAUGAGGUGAUUUAGAUUUUGAUAGAUAAAUAUAUGUGAAACAGUAGACAUCAGAUUAAUAAUUAGUGUAUAGGCAUGAAAAGGCAGGAUUAUUUGAACAAGCAAUUCUGGAAAAACCAAACAUUGGUGGUUGUUGUACAAGCAUUGCAAAAAAUGUUAAUAAUUUAUAAUGGCGUAAGUAAUGUAGAAUUUGUUUGGCUUGUACACAAGUGUGUUCAUUUAAGUUGAUGUUAAUUCGUGAGUGGAAUAGGGAUGGUUUAUUCGGUUAUGGAAUGUGAGGUUGGUUUAUUUCGAAAAGACUUUAUGAAAUGUAGUAGACACAGCUGUUGGAAAUAAUUUGCCACAUAUUUAAAUGACAUUGAGAUUUGAAUAAUUGCAUUUCAGCUGACAGGUAAAGGAAAUAAUGUUUAUUCCAUAAUGGAAAACAGUAUAAAUGAUAGAUUAUGGUUGAAAUAGGUUGCAAGAAUGGAUGGAGUGACUAGUCGCAAGCGAAAGGAAUGGGAUUCCAGCAGGUGCAAUGAAUGUGUAGAAGAUGGCAAUGGUGGAGGAAAUGAAGGUGCUCGUUGCAACAAUGGAUUCGUAACUUUUUUGUAAGUUAUGGGGUUUAAUUUAAUUUGGGUAAAAAAAUUAAAGUAAAUGACAGCCGAAGAUGGUAUUUAUGUGAACUGUGAUGAAUAAUGAGUUGUGCUUUGGUUUAUUAAUUUGAUUAGUGGGGAAGCGGUACGACGAAUGAAGGCAAUCGAUGGAAGGGCAUGCAUUACAAAAGAGGUGAGUAAGUUGAAAGUGUAGUCGAUUGUGUAAAAAAUGAAUUUGUGGUUGUUUUUUAAAAUGACUAAAGCAUAUGAGGGGAAUGACUCAGGUUCGAAAGGAAAUUGGACAAGAAUUUAAGAAUUUGCCACCUGAACGGAAAAGCAAAUAUAGAAGUCAGCAGCAUCGAGAAGACAAAUAUGUGGAAGGUGAAGCCAAAUUUCUCACUAGGUGUGCUCCUGAUAGGCUAGCAGCCCUUAUAGCAGAAUUGACAGAGGAACAAAAAGAAGCAGCAUCUGAGAUAGGAUUGGGCAGAUUGAUUCAGCUGAAUUGUGGAAGGCUGAAAAGGAAACUAUGCAGUUGGUUAGUUGAAAGGAUAGACACAGCGAGUUGCACAAUAGAUUUAAAUGAUAGUAAGGUAGAGCUUAGUGGUCCUAGUUUUAGUUACAUAAUGGGAGUUAGUGAUGGUGGAAUACUUCUUCAGUUGGAGGGUGAUAAGUCUCGAGUGGCGGAAUACUUACACAAGUUUAAUGCAACAUCCAGUGGAAUUAACAUUAAAAGAUUGUCAGAUAUUUUACGUAAUUGUAGGGAAGCCGACGAUGAUUUCAAAGUGACAUUUAUGCUAUUUACAUUAUGCACUGUUUUGUGUUCUCCAAUAGGGGUGCACAUCAGUUCGUCAUUUUUAUUUUCGUUGAUCCAUAUUAACUGUAUAAGGAAGAUGAAUUGUGCAACGUUUUGUUUCGAUAGAUUGAUGCAAGGAACAAUUAGGUACAAGGAGGACAAGCUUGCAUACGUUGGUGGUUGUGUCCUAUACCUAGAGGUAAAUAAAUAAUUAAUGUCAUUCCAUCUACCCUUAAUAUUUAACUGAUUUGGUUGUAUUGAUUCGUUGUGAAUAUACCAUUUCUAUUGAGAAGUAAUAUCUUCUAUCUAUGGUUGUAUCAUGUGUCAGUUAUUGUUCUUUAAUUCAAUUGUGUACGGAGGCCUUUAUCGAGAUAGAUUAAUCUGCCCAGUGGCACUAUGGAAUGUUGUCGAGAUAAAGAGGUUGCUGAAGUGGAUAGAGAAGAAAGGGGGUUAUAAAAGCACAAGGGUAAGUUGUUCACGUGAAGACGAACUUGUCGGUAGAGAGAAAGUUACAAUGUUAGGAGCAUUAUAUGAACUUAACUGUGUAAAUUGUGAAUGUGAUUUUACAAAGAAAAUAAUUCUGUAACAUUGAAGUAUGUGUAUACUUUUAUAGUUGGCCAUUAUUGAAAACCCGGCCGGGGGGAGGCCACCUGGUGGAGGCAGUUAUACUUGUUCAGAUGAGGAGUGUAUCAGUGGCGUUAACAGAUAUGAAUGGAGUGCAACACCUUUGAUUGUAGAGGGCAAUGCUUUUGAGGCAGUUGAUACCUGCAGCCUGUCAAAAGGAGUUGUUGGAAACAUUGAUAUUGAAGGUUCAAGUAUACUUUGUUUUGUUAAUAAUGCAUCAGCAGCUGAAAGUCGACAAUCAUGUAGGGAGCAAAACAAGCAUCUAUCACUGCAGUACAGGGCUGGUCCAUUUGUGGUUCCGAUGUCACUACACUCGGAAGAGAUAAUGUUACUGGAAUACAUAAUGGCUGAAGACCUAGACGAAUGGUAAGUAACAAUGUACAUUGACGGCAAAUAUUGGAUACGAAUUAAGAAAUUCGUCGUAAGGAACGGAAACGUACCAUUGAUUUCGGAGAUGUUUAACUUUAUAAAUGGUGCUAACUUAUGUUGUUGGAUUCAGGGAGACACUUGUGAAGACCAAAAGAAAUUGUUUGAGUAGGAAAACCAUUAUGUCAUUAGCACUUCGACAGGUUAUCAAUGCUGAGGUAUGUUUUAAGAAUAUUGUUGGAAGUGUCCUUCAUAUUUGAUGCAUAUGUUUUGUGAUGGAAAUUAUUUAUUGGCCAAACUUGUGAGGUAGUUGUACUGUAACGACUGUAUCAUGAUGGGAAAUUAUUUCGUCUUCUAGGUUAUUUCUACACUGUCCGAAAUGCUGAGUGAGUUCCAGUUGUUCAAUGGCACAACAGGCCACAUUAGUUGGUUUCUGCCGGUGCUUGACAUGGUACAUGAGUGGGCAACUAAAAAUUUCCAACAUGUUUUAUGUUUGACGGAAUGGGGAGUUUAUCGAUAUCUGACUGAUUAUAGUGUGUUAUGAUUAUUUAUGAUUGGAAGUCAGGAUAAUCGCUCGUCCAUUUUGUACGGUGCAAACCUUAUCAUUACUUGAUACAUGAAACUUAUCAAAACUUCACCCCAACUUGCAGGCACAUGUCGCGGGCGACAAUCGUUUGUUGGAGAUGUGGUUACGCAAUAUAGCAUCCAAUAAUCAAUGUUGCACUUACAAGGCCUCAUGUGAUAGGGUAGAGUAAAUAUAGAUGCUUUAUUUUUACUAUAUGAGAUUUGUUUAUAGUAGACUGCAAUAUGAUUGUUAAUGUUUGUACCGGUGGUAAGACAGAUUGUUGUCCCCAUAUGCGAUGGGAUCGGGCAUUGGUACUUGCUAGUAGUUAUUAUUACAGAGCUGCGCGCUGAGAUAUGGGAUCCACUGGCAAGCAGUAUGACGACAAACCUAUUUCUAAUGGAAGUGCAUCGCAUAGUGAGUGUAGCCUUUACUGAAACAGUAUAUGCAGGCUAUCACAACUUUGUAUCUUUUGAAUUUCAUGUUUUCAUUAAUAGCAUUUUAUACAUGGCGAUGAUUAAUGACAAUGAUUUGAUUUUACAGCUUAAAUGUUUGGAUGUGGUUCUGAAAAAUGAGCGGGCAAAUUUAUGUCCUGGUGGUAUUAUAUUUUCGAGUUGUGAAGUUUCACAUCCAUCAUUAAAGGCGAAAGAGCUGCAUGGCAUCGAUUGUGGACUAUAUGUUUGUCUGUUAAUGAAGCAACUUCAUCACAGGCAACGACCUUUGACAAAGGUACUGACAUGAGUAAUUCAUGACUUACCUUAAUAGAUAUGAGGCGUACAAAUCAAGAGAAAUUGCAUUAAUAUGUUUUUGUCUUAGAUGCGGUGCGAUUCAGAUGCAGAACGAUCAAGCCUUAUACUGCAGUUGGUACACUUUCGGGAGAACUUAGUUAAGGAUAAAAUUGUGGAGAGUGCUACCAGCUACCGUAAGCAUAGACAAGCAUUUGUUACCGUAGGAGAAGGAGAAAUAAAAAGACAGCAAAGGCGGAAUAGAUUGAAAUCAAAGAAAAUGGGGCAUGGCCAACGAAGGUAGAUGUUCUGGGAUCGAUCUGUAGAUUGUUGGUUAUUAUGUGGCUAACUAACCAAGUUUGUUGUUGCUGAUAUAUUGCUUUCCAACUGAAGACUAAUAAUUAUCCAUUUAUAUUAAUGGGGGUGGUAGGGUUGUAAUAUACGAAUUACCUUUAUAGCAUCCGGUAAUUACAAUUACAACUAUGUACAUAUGAACUUCUGUUAAUUAAUGAUUGAAAUGUUGUUAUAGCACUGACCAUUUUACACAUACACCUGCAAGAGUAUUAUUAUGGAUUACAGUUUAACCAACAAUUCGUCAGGACAUGUACGGUGUAAGUGGCUGUGGAUUAUUUUAUCAAUAAUGUGGUGCUUGUUAAACUAACAAAGACAACGAAAGUAUAUUGGCAAUGUGUGUACAUUGUGUUACAAAUAUGAUAGUAAUUUCCAGAAGCUACCGUUAUAUCCCCUGUAAUCCACACACUGUGGCCCUGCGUUGUACAAUUGUGAAGGCCGUGCAACAGAUAUUAAUUUUGCCUGCAUAUGGCUAUCAGUAACAUCAUUCAAACUAUUAGUUAAUUACACACAUUUGCAGUGUGAUGGUUAAUGCAGUUUAUCUGUUACCGUUACUGUAAAAGUUGCUUCAUUUUACUAAUUGUAAACCCUUUGACUUAGGAAGAAGUUUGGUUGUUAAAUUAAUAACAUUGACUCACUGUAAACGGAGGUAAGGGUUACUCCAUACUUUCAGAAACCAGGAUUACAUGGUUGAUUCAUAUUCGAUUCCCACCCCAAAUAUUAGCAUACGUACUGGCAAAAGUUGAUGCACUUGCGUUAUGGACAACAUAAUCUGGUAACAAGUGCUGCAGCAUUGUGUCCUCCGUCGAAUCGUUAUCUGUACUCAUUGCAUACGGCUGGGACCACGAAUUUGAACUGGUAGCACGGCUGUUGCGACUUUGCUGUGAGCAAUGUUGGUCGUAUUCGUUGGUCCUGUUAUGUUCUUUUCCCUUGUCUGUAAUUCCUGAACGUCUCGUUGCAGGCAAUGCAGUGUUCUCACCCAUGAACUGACUGCUUUGGUUUGGAUUGUCAUUAUGGUCCCCAUCCGGCUGUAUAAUAAUUUUGCACUUUCGUACGGUAUGUCCUCCAUUCCCACAUCGGCUGCAUUUUCUCUGUUGUGAAGGACCCAUUUUUGGCUUCUUCUCACAUCCUUUUGUCAGUACAACCACGGGGUCAUUAACGUCAAAUCUUCUCCCCAAAUUCCCCUUUGGUCUUUCUUUAGCUAUUUCACAUGACAUGGGCUCCAAUUGCAUGGACAAUUUAUGUAUUCCUGCAAUAGCUAACUCAUAUGCCUCACAACGUUUUGCUGCAACCUUCUGAAGGGUCCGACAAGCAGCAUGAAGGGAGCCCAUGCGUGCGUCAACACUCAUGUAAUGUUGCCUCAAUGUACAUUGGACCUCUGAACUGAGGCCAAGUUUGGCUUUUUUAGUCCAUCGAGCUAAAAUCAUGGAAUGCGGAAUUGAGUCUACAUUUUCUACCUUCAUGACAGCAAACAUAUGCGAACAAGGUAUUCCUAGUGUCUCUAUCAUCAGACAGUCACAAGACACAUUAUCCCAUUUCCCUUGUAUGUUAACCCGCCAUUCCUCAUUUGAAACUUUCCACUUCUUCACUGUGAAUGAUUUAGAUUUUUCUUCGCACGACACUUGUACGGCUAUAUGCAUCCCUUCUUGCAGUAUUUGAUCCCUCACCAGUCGAAAUAUUGGUCUGGUAUAAACAUCGGCAGCCGCUCACUCAAACGGCUUCAUAUGCGUCAUAAGCACAGGCUGGUCGUCUGCACUGUCAAAAUCAUCCUUCCCUUCAACCUCUCGUUGCCUAUCUAUUAGCCUAUCCAUUUGCUUCACAAAUGCUAUGAGCCGUAGUUUGAUGCUCACAUAAUGGUUAAGAUAUGCAUUCAAUCCUUCUGAUCGUUGAGUGCUUCUCAUUCCACCGAAGAAUUCCCCCCUCAAAUAUGCUUCAGCCCACAUAGUCUUCUCCCUAUACAUCUUCAAAACCCAUUCAUGGGUUUCAACAUUGUGGCGUUCAACCAUUUCUUUCCACUUUUGUUCAUGGGUUUCAACAUUGUGGCGUUCAACCAUUUCUUUCCACUUUUGCUCAAACCGAUCUUUGGUAUAUGCUCGCAACAUGCAUCGACUAAAAAAGUCUGAUGUGAACUCUUUGUUCACAUUAGCUUGUGCAUUUCGGCCAAGAUGCCAACAACAAAGCCUGUGAUGAGAAUGUGGAAACUUCUUCGAUAUAGCAUUCCGCAUGGCCUUAUCACCAUCGGUGAUAACUGUUUUUGGUUGUUUCCCCUCCAUUGCUGAUAAGAACGUGUGCAAUAACCAAGUGUACGUGUGUUCAGUCUCAUCUGACAACAAUGCAAACCUGAAAACAAUGGUCCUCCUAUGGUGAUUUACACCUAACAACACAACAAACGGCUUACGAUAGGCAUUUGUGCGGUAUGUCGCAUCAAAUGCAAUAACAUCACCAAAAAUGGCAUAAUCUGCACGUGCUCCACCAUCACACCAAAAUAGAUCCCCUAAUCUGUUAUUCUCAGUAACUGUGAAGUCAUGAUAGAAUGCGUGAUCCGCACUCUUCUUCCCUUCUAGAUAUGACAAACAUGUCUCCGCGUCAGAUUCCUUCAACUGUCGCCAUUUGUGAUCGUCCAAUCGAUUUUGGACAUCUCUCCUCAAAUAUCCAACCUCCCUGUACCCACCACACCUCUCCACCAUAUAUUCGUGUAUCUGUGAAGGCCUUACUCCCACUUUAUUCAACGAAGAUGCAGCUGCUAGAUCUGGCUCCGUUAUCCUUCUGUGAGAUCUGAUGUAGUGUACUUGCUGUGGAGGUGUUAAGGGGUGAUUAUGUUUGCCAUUAAAAUGAGUACAUACCCAUCCACUUUCCCCCUGUUUGGCCCCAAUUCGAAACUCAACCUCGCACCCUGUUCUUGUUAUAGGUCUUGCCUCUCGUUUUCGAUUAUCUCGAGCUAAAAACUUAUGACUCCUAAACCCCUGCUUACUGCAUACCCAAAUCCUUCCAAUUAACAUACCUUUUGUGUUCCAUCUCUUAUUGUGCCUUCUGACCCCAAAUCCUAUGGCCCUUGCAUAUUCAGUGAAAAAUAAUUCAGUUUUUUCUUCUGAUGCAAACUCCUUCCCAACAACAUCCAUUGAUUUCAGGACCUCGUAAUUAGUUGUCUGUCCCUCGGUAGUGCCUAUCUCCCCAUGUAAAUGGCUUUGUGAUGGAUUGUUUUCAGAUGGGAUUGGUGCUUGUUCAUUUGCUCCCCCAGUAAGUGUUGGAAGUUCAUCGCCUGACUCAUCCGGGCAGCCGUCUUCACUAUCUGAAUAGCUUCCAGUUUCAACGACGUCAACAAUUUCAUAUGCAAUGUCGCUGUCCGCUUCACUAUCUACAUCAGAAGACAUAAUAUCUCCAGCGUCUGCAAGAACAACGAAAACUCAGAAAUUGUGCUUAAGCAUUAGCCUCCAUCGGUAUGCAUUACAGGUAACGGGACUAACCUAUUAUAUAAUUAUUCAUAUGUAAUACAAAAUUCUGAAAUUCAAAUCAUAGAUGAAAGUGACAAAUUAACAAGGCAUCAAUGUAAACGGGAUUAGCAACGAAAAUAAGCUAUUUAAUUAUAAGUGAAAUUUACUUUAAGCAAGCAUGAAAACUACAAUAAAAACAGCGUUUGAUUUAGAAGACAGCAUCACAAAGCGCUCUCAAUGCCACAAUCUCAUAUCCGUAAGCCGAAAUUAAACUCCGAACUUGUCUUCUAAAUUGGUUGGUUAUACAUGCAGUAGCUAAUUUUUUUCUCUCGUUUUAAACAGAAUCAUAACAGCAUAAAAUUACCAAAAUUACAAAAUUACAGAAAAAUAACAUAGAAACCACAGAACCUGCGUAAUUUAUUCCAUGAUAACUGUUUGGUAAAACAAAACUAGGACAUAAAAUUGAGAGUUACCUCAAGCUUUUAACUAAAAAAGAUUUGCAAAAGUUACGACGGAAAGAUGAGAUUAAUUUAAAAAUACACAUAAUAUAUGAAUUAUGAAAGAGUGCGGAGGAAUAUGUGCGUGUGUAUUUCAUAUAUAUAACUGUGGGUACCCGCGUUCAAUUGUAAACUAAUUGUGGACAGGGUAGUAUUUUCCACUCAAUUGAGAUAGCCGAUAAAUUGCGCGGAGAUGACACAAACUUCCUGUUCUUAUCGGAUUUUGAAAGUAUGCUCGUUGCACUACGACGCUACCUCAAUGCAGUUACUUGGUGGUGUUUAAAUGUUAUCUUCGGCGGGAAAGUUACUGGUAAUUCCCGCUAUUAAGUUAUUUAAUUUUAGUGGUUCGGUACCUGGACAACUACGAUUGUCCACGUGACAACUUUAAACAAAAUAUUGAUGAUUUUGUCAUUAAUUUUGACAUGGGUCAAACCCGAACAGCGUUAAACGACGCCAUUUCGGGUAAAAAAUAUAAUUUCUUUUCUUCGCUUUCGAACGAUGCCGUUUACAGAAUAAUGAAACACAAAUCAAAAUAACUAUCGUCGAACCCAUUGCCCUUCAUCUACGAAACAACCCCCCUUUCCCUUGAACAAUGUUAUCAACAGUAAAUUUUUAAGCAGCACACGGAACCAAAAACACUUGGUUCACAGGAAAUCACAACAAACAAAACCAAAUGCAUUAACACAUCAAUGUCUACAUGCCAGAAAACAAUUCCAUACAUGACAACGAAAACUUAUCGGUAAACAUCCACAAGGUGGCCAUGACAAUUAUAGGGUAAACAGCCACAAGUGGUACUAAUGAAACAUCCAUAAAAAACUCAUACAAAAACCAAAAUUCCCCCAGGACCCACAUCAUUGCAGCGGAACCACCAACACAUCUUACCUGGAUGCUUUCAUUUAAUUUCAAUUGUAGUCUUCAUGGAUGCUCUCGGCAACUGCAAAAUUGACUCCCGAAGGUUGGCCCGGUUUUCUUUUGGUACGGAGGCCUUCGCCCACAUCAGCAUCUUCUCCAUCGUUGCUGCAAACUGUAAUAAGUACUUCAGCAGGGGCCUUUCAUCCUCGUCACCCUGAACGCCCUUGAUUUCAAUGUUCUUCACAGUGUGCACCAAACAGUGUGGCACAUCAAAAUCACUUUCAAGCCAUCCAAACUAUUCUUCGAUGAAUUGAAACCAACAUUCCUGAUGUCAAAGACGACAACGUAUUAACUUUUAAUGUGUUCACUGAACUCAUUAUCAUUGCAACUCAAUAAGAUACUGACCUUGUGCAGGACAAGACUUUCCAAGUUCGGUGAGCUUCUUAGCACGAUCGGCAGUACUCGCCAUCUGAUGGGUCCUACCCCCAUUUCUAUGUAGUUCAACUGACUAAAACUGGGGAAGCAACUAUCACAAGCAUGGUCAACAGCCUGCACAUGACAAAACUAAUAUCAGACUAUGUUUAAUUAUCAUCAAAUCUUAUAAGCAUUUACUAAAUUCUAUAGCUACUAAAGUUGAACAUAAGUCGAGAUAAUUUUGCUUUAUCAAUGCUGAAUCAGAGAUACGACCAUGCUAAACCAUGCCUGUAUAAAGAUACUAGGGGACGAUAAGUAGUAACUGUGAUUACUUACAGACAUAAUGCCCGCAGAUAAAUGGAGAUACUUGCAGCUAUUGAUCCCGGCGAGCAAUUGAAUUGCCCGGUAAGGAUCAACCUGUGCCCAUUCCGCAUGCAUAAUAUCUAAUUUUACUUUUUUCAGUGAAUGCAGGUCAUGCAUUACAAACGAUCCUAAAAGGUCAGAAUAAAUUUCCAGGCUUUCCAGUUUCGGAGCAGUAAUUGUUAACAUAUAGUCCACUUCCCGAAAUAACAUAUCCUCUGAUCGAACUAUCAAUUUGCAGGUUUUCAGUGUCGCCGACGAGAUGAUCAAAUUUGGAGGAGGAGUAUCAUCAUGCAAUUCACACGUUACCGACAACUCUUCCAACGAAGGGCAGCUGCAAAAAAGAUUCUCAGUGACACUCUUUUCUGGGUUUUCCAGCCGAACACUUAGGAUUUUGACACUUGGAAAACAUGUCCCACUAUAAGGAACUUGGAUGGAAAAAUCUGAGUCCAGUGUAAGUACUUUAAGACAGGCUGCACUGUAAAUGGCUUCCGGUAACUCCACGGGCUCUGCUGGCCAAGGUAAAGUUGAAUCUCCCCAACUUCACGCAUAAGGGCGGUCGCAAUCCAAUCAUAGAACCUUGCCAAAUUUGUAGGUCUGGAGCAAUACAAAGAAAACUUGCCAAUCUUGGCGGGGUUUGUCCGAAGUAGGACUGUAUGCACAAAGUCUGCAAACCCACGCAGUGGAACAUAAGUCGAUGCAGGGGGCCGUAGGCAUAAUCUAUCAUCAAAGGACAAAUUGGGCACUGCAGUCCAGACAUUUUGCCACCGUUUAGCGAUAACGGAUGUGGCCACAGCGUGUUUUGUGGGUAUAUACGAAAGAAUAUGGCAAAGGACCGAAUCAGGUAAUGCACUGAUCCUGUCUGCAUUACCACGAUUUGUUUUUGGCCUCCCUCUCUUGCGUUUAGUCACAUUAUUCUGUCUGUCAUGCGCCAUUACUGGAAAAAACAAAACCUGCCGAUUACAAACACAUACAAUGUUCGGUAAUUAAAUAGCACAAAUAGUCAUAUAAAUUUUAUCAUACUCUUGAACUAGGGGCAGAGCUCUACUAUCUGCCCUUAUAGUGAUUUAAAUCAGUACUUUGGUUAAUGCACAGGCACAGCAAUUACAGCCACGACGCAAAUAUGCCUUACGGUGUUAACACUAAAUUUGAGACAUUCACGGCCGACGUUAAUCGCGAUUCCAUCAUAUAAGUUCAUAGUUUUACAAAUGACGGUUCCGAUAAACUAUUGUGUUGAAAUGACGAAAUUAAACUACAAAUUCAAUAACACAAAAAAAUAAAGCAGAUUCAACAGUCCACCUUCACAAGAUACCCCAUAAACUGACCUUCGGUUAAUUGGGGCCAACCCUGGAGACAAAGUCCACGUCGCUUCCUUACCAGCAAACACGCAAAUCGACUGGGUAUUACUUUCAUUCAACGGCCACAGGGACUAUGUUCUGUCGAUUGCUUAAAAAUGACUAUCCACCACAUUCGAUCGUCUUAAAUUCUAAAAAACGGUUUGUAGUAGCAGAGGGGGUGGUGCAGAUAAACGCAUUAACCGUUUCGAAUCUCGUCAAAUCAUUUUAAAUUUUAAAUCCUCCUUUGAAGUCUUAACCCGACGUCGUUCCUGUUAUAUCUGGGCCUGUUCGAAAUUGCCUUACACAACGUGGCCCACCAACCUCGAGCCCCCAACAUCGAAAGUCUAUGAUAUGCCAACGUUCAGGCUUCCACGAAGACUAUCUUCAUUCCUAAGGCACAGUCUUCUGUUCCCGGUAGGAAGGUUAGGAAAAUGAACCUGCUUCACUAUGAGACAUAUGCACAGGUUUUGCUUAUAAAUAUUGAACUGCUGUAAUUUCAAUGAGAUUACGUUUGACACAAUUACUUUGGUGUUGAUGCCGGGUUUCUUAUUCAAAUUAUUAUUAUGAUACAUAAAUGCUUUGUCAGAGGACUUUAUUUCACAUAAUAUCCACCUUAUAGAUAGUUGUUAAAUUGGUUGGUUAUAAUUUACAUGGCUGACCGUUGAUUAAAUAAUCAACAAUGUUAUUAACUUGAAUAUAUUACUUUUUUAAGUACUAACAACUACAUACUGAUUCACCUAUAUUGUCUUGGGACGUCAAGGGGGUUAGGAACAUGACAAUCUCAUUUUCGUUUCUUACUGAAACAUAUUCCAUUUACAAUACCACGGCUCCGAACAACGCAACCUGGAAUAUAUUAAGUUACAACACGUGUGUUCUUACGCCAGUAUCUUAAUCAACACCGCACACACAAGUACAAUGCAACCGAUGAAUAAUGCCAAAUUGCCUGCUUCUUUUAACCUAUCACCUGAAGUGGUUGCUUCUUCCAUCUGACCCUUGAAGGCCCCUGAUAAGUUCCCCCUUUCGGCUUCUUGUUCAACACCCGUGACACAUAUGGCCCCCUGUGCACGAUGAAAUGCUUGAAAUACCUCCUCAGCCUCUGCUCUGGUGGGGUAAGAUUGGUAAGAAUUUCUGGGAAAACCAAUCACUUGUCUCUGGCAUUCCGACCAUGAACCAUAAAUUCCAGGCACCCGACCCAGAAACAUCACAUAGUGUUUCCCCCGAGGCAUUGUCUACAAACAAUCAAUAUGAUUAGUACUGUUAUUGGGCAUAAUUUAUGAAAUUAAAUAUUAAUAAUAUGAAUAUAGGAUCGUUACACAAGACUUGUCAGACCAGGGAUAUAAGAUUAAUGCAUACAAAGGAUCCUGGAAAAACCCACAAUAAGCUUGGCCGGUUCAAUACGAUGUGCAUCAUAGACCAUAUGUCUACGAGGAGACAUAUAUUUGAGAAUGAGUACGAAUCCACGGAUGCGCCGGUCGGACAGAAAACAGAAUAACUUAAAAAAACUGACCUUCCUUCGCUGUUGCGUGGCGUUUGCUUUGGCGACCGUGGACCGCUGGGUAACGGCAACGUUUGGGGCUUCAAAUCUUGAUUUGAGAUAUCCAGAACAAGAUAUCACACGAGGCAAAAAGCUCCAAAGAUAUCAGUGGACGGCAGAGUAACCUUUAUUUCCAAGUUUCAACUAAGUGUUUGCGUCCAUUGACUGCUUCCUUAGGAACUGGCUGACGCUUAUAUAGUACUCCAGUGUUACUCACGUGCCAAACUCUAUGUUAUGAACGUGUGCGCCAACUAAGUUGGUGUAGUUAUCACCUGAAGGCCUCAUUUGCUUUAACUAUAAAUGCAUGAGAUUGCUUAAAUAAUCCUACUGCAUUGAUAGCCUUAAAAUAUUCAUUGUGGCAUCAAAUAAGUGGAGUUACUAUUUAGUACAAUCAAGUUAAAAACUUUAUGUCAAUGGAGGUGUGCCGUGAGCUAAAAUUUAGACAUAGGAUUGGAUAUGGAAUGAAGUUAAAAAUUCGUCCCUAUUACUCUGAUAAUUAAUGUUAUGUUUAUAAUGAAAUGAUUUAGUAAAAUAUAACAUUAAAACUAUAUCAUGUUAUAUAUAAGAAAUUAACGGAAGAAUUAACAUCUUUUAACAAAUGAUGUUAAUUAUUUAGUAAUUUAUUUAAGUUAUAUUUCAUGUCAUUUUAAAAUAAAGGUAACGUCAUGUUCAUAAAUGAAUAUAUAACACAUAUUAGUAGUUAAUAGCCAAUAUCAUGUCACACUAAACAUUAACCUAAAUUAUUUCUAUCCCAAUAGAACUUUGCAUGAAACAUAAUAUAGUAUUAUAAAUAGUUAUAAUUUAUUGCAAUUUUUUGUAAUAUAUUUAUAAUUUUCUAUACAAUAUAGAAAAAGAAAAAAAUAUAUUAUGAAUUAUAUAAUUUUUCAAUACAUUUCGACAUAUAACACAAAUGCGGCACCUCAUCGCAUGCACAAGCACUUAUGCUGUUAAACACAUACAAUGUUAUUGUAAAUAUACUUUGUACCUACAGUUUGAUAUAUGUCAUUCGAAUUAACCUAUCAUAUUAAUAAUUUAUGGCUUCGGUAUUAUUAUAACGACUACCCAUUGGUUAAAGCUGAUAAAUGUACUUACAAUAAGUUAUAUUAUUUGUACAGACAUAUGCAAUGGGUGGUCAAAUUUCACAGUGAAAUAGAUGUCAAUGGUAUUGUCAGUACUGCUUCUGCGUAGUUGCAUUUACAAUGGCUCACCCAACAAUUCAGCCAACAAUACUCCAGUUAUUGUUUGUGGGGGAAGGGAAAUCAUGACUGUAUGUGCAUGCAUUAUGGUUUGCCCCCAUUGACAGUUAUAUAUUUCCAACACUAUACAGAAUAUAAAUAACAAUGUGCUCAAUUAAUGGUUAUUAAUUGUACCAAUGUUUAUGUUUGAGCAGGACAAAGAAUAGUCUUUUGAUUAAUGACGUAGUUAUCCGCUAAGCAUCGUUAUAAUUAUUAGUUAUGCUAUUGGUGUUGUUAUUAGUAUAAUUGGGAUUUUCAUGGACAAUUGUGUUAUUCUUACCACCAGUAUUAUGCAAAUUUAUAAAGCAAUUAUUACUAUAGGGUAGGGUAUAACACCAUAACUCCUCGCAUAGUAAACAUGGAGGAGGGCACAUGGCACAGGUAAUGUGGCGGCAGGAACUAUAUACAACUGCAUGUUCGCAUAAAUACAAAAAACAAAAACAAAAAACCCCACCACAAAAGCUGAAGUUGGGUGCGACACCAACAAAAGGAGAUAAUCCAGGUCGGGUGGUGACACGUAGGUAAGAAAGGAAGAAAAGGACAAAAAAACCCCACAUUACAUUAUCACUAUCAAUUAACUAGUCAAACAACUUGGUCUGGAAUCGCUGUCGGAACUUCUGCAUCUCCACUUGGCCCUCCAGUGCGUCGUUGCUCAGAUGACUGGAAUGCAAAUAACAAAAUGUCAAUUACUAUACACAAAACGUAUUAACCCAUUUUAUAAUUAUAAACAUAUGUGAAGUUACACACGAUGCACCCUGUGGAUAUAGUGUGGGUAGAGUUCAAUGUAUUUAUACCUCCCCUUCAUUCCUUGCACAUGCCUUGGUUAGAAUAGGGUUAACGAGCUUGCAUGUACAUUUGCUAUGGCCCACACGACCACAAUUUUGGCACUUGUACUUGCGACGUUCAUUGGACUGCUCGUUUCCACCCGGAGGCAACUUCAGCAUGAGGAGGAACAACUGUACGAAUCUGAGAAGCAAUAGCAUUGUUUGGUUCACCAGAUGCAACUGCGGGUCUUGGGGUGUUUAUAGGAACAGCAACUGGAGGAGCAGCGGUCUGGGAUGCACUUUCAACUACAACUACCUCAACUGGGUUAGAAACGACCGAACGUAAAGAUUGGCCGUCAUGGCCGUGUACAAGGUUGGAUACAGGAGGAGGCAGCGGCUGUGAUUCACGUGAGUGAUCGUGGUUGGAAACAAUUGGACUCACAUGCUGUACUUCAUGGCCCUGUGGCAGACCACCCAAGUCAUGAAUAGCGGGGAACUCAGACGAAUUAACCACCAUUCCAGGAAGGUGCUGAAGGCUCCCAUGUGCAAUAAAGUACAACCAAAUGUACAGUCUAAAUUCUCCCCUGGAAAUGCAUUGGUGGACGAUAACCCUGAGCAGAGCAUCGUUGUGCACCCUAACCAUUCGACCCAGCCACCGGGGUGCCACCAUUGGCCUGAAGAUAUGGUUAGGUGGGGAAAACUCGUUAUGCAAGGCAGAUGAAGCCACAUUACACAGGUACAGUAUUUGGAAUCGAGUGGGUUGAUCUGUGUGAAUUGCAAUUCUGUCACCAAUAUAUUCCAGAACGAAUGUGAAUUCAAGGACCGCGGGGUGAUUGAGGUUUGGAGGGUUAAAAAUUUGGUGUUGCAUUUGUUGUCGAGGGACCCCAGUAGGAAUCGGUGCAUGGUGGAUGAAUCCUACUGGGGGAUUUAAAGUUAUUUCAUGCACAAGGGGGUGGUUGAGUGGGAGGGGACUCAUUCGGGGGGCGCGGUGCAGGGGUGGUUGAUUUCGUAGUGGGUUCAUGAAAGAUGGUGGAUUCAGUGAUGGGAUGUUGAGAGUUUGUGGAUUCCUCGGUCCGGGGAGCGAAGGUGGUGGAUUCAGUUGUGGCAGGUUGGGAGGAGGUGGAGGAUAAUCCAUGGUGUUAACGGAAUACAGAUGGGACAUUUGGGGAAUGCAAUGUGAAUGUUGGUUGUCGUCCAGACGCGGGAAUGACGCCAUUUCCUCCCUGCAUCAACGGUCGUAGUGGGUUAGUUUGACUUAAAUAAACGGCCAUUUAGUUGAACAAUAAAAUCAGGAUCAAUGUCUACGUGCUGGGAAAUAACAAUCGUCCGCUGUAAAAGCAUAUAGGUGAAAAACAUGAUGAUAAAGCACAGGAAGUUCAGCUUCGUGACAAGGUGGUGCAUUUUGACUUUGUGAUGACCUUUUAAAAGACAGCACACGGCUUGUCUGCUCUUGGUUUCAAAGAUACACUGACAGUAACCAUCAUAGGAAAUUGACAUUCAGUAAGGCGUAAAUAUUCGUUAAAUUUAUCCAAUUGGUCGAAAACCCCAUCCAUGAGUCAUCCAUAAAUGCAAGGCAUUAAACAUAUGGGGAAAAUUAAUUAAGGCAAAAUUUCGCAUACACCGGGUUUUUUUGUUUAGUAAAUUAGAAGACUAUUGAAAGUAAAAGGAGACACAGUUGAAAUACAGUACUGACAACAACAAUGUCAUGCAAAUUUUAAAUAGCAAUUUGAAGGCAACCCGUAUACGAAGGCACAUAGCACCAAAACACCAGAUCCAUAGUUGGUAACGCACAAGCAUUGAAAAAAGGAGCGUAGAACAAAUUGAAAAAGUGAGGAGAAAACGCACCUGCGCUUAUGUCAAAGAAGAAUGGAUUUGUUGCAAAACUCGGCAGCAAAGCACGAGAUUUAUUGCAAUUUUUGGGUGGUACUAUGAUUGAUCACGUGGAGAUUGAAUGCAACUUUUUCCCAUUGUCCAGUCUUUGCAGGAGGAUUGACAGUCUUAUUGUCAAUUCCUGUAUAUGAUGUGACCCAUGCUCACGGGGAGUCAUAAAGAUAAACGGCAUUUUGAGAAGUAAAGGCGACAACAAGCAAAACUUUCGUUGGAUAUUUGGGUGUACCCCAUUGUAAUGUUGUAGCCAUAACAUCUGGUGGGUCACGUUAACAUUGUUGAAAGUGUUUUUCCACCAACCACACAAUCUCGUGCAAACAAGGUUAAUGGGGUACGUGGUCCCUGCCAUAUCUAACUACUGCAAUAGUUGCAACACUUAGUACCAAUAUAUUUGAACAUGUGAUAAAUUGACUCUGAAUCUUGGCAUCAGUCUGCCUAGGCCAUAGUGGGUUAUUCCUGCGAUCUUGGCUAGCAUUAUCUAAAUCUUCGGAAUAUUAUUAGUACUUCAUCCACUUUUACUUAUUCUGCACCGCAUGGACGGCGUAUCCCUUCUUUGGUGUAGUAAGUUUACUAUUACUACAUAAAUAACUAUAACGAAUAUAUUGGCUGUAUCGGUACAAUAAUAAAUAUUAAUUUCUUCAUUCAUCAAUUUGAAGUACUUAGUUGGUUGAACUAGUAUUUAAUAAUUGGUUCGAUUUGAUAUGAAUUAUUAAAUAAACAGUGGUAACCAUUAAAUACUAUCAGUACUGAGGGUUCAAAUGUUAAGGGGGAAACGAGACAAAAUAGUAUUACUUAUAUUGUUAAUCUAACUAAUUUUAUCAUUGUAUAGUCACCACGAUAAUAAUAAUAUUAUCGUUGUUAUUAUCGUUAUCAUACUGUAAUAUUAUUACCAAUGAACUGAACAAAGAAUUGGGGUUUUGUAUAUUGCACGGCUUAUAACUUCACAUUUGCAAACCUUUGGCCUUGACAAAAUUGAAGCAACUUACGUUCUUUGUGUUAUAUGUAGUUUAUCCCUUUACGCUGAACUCUGACCAAAACAAACAAUCGUUAUCAAUUUUAUUGGUCCGACAGGUUUCAACUAAAGGCAGGGACUGUUGAAUGAAGACUAAGUGCAGCAUUGGCCAAUAAAGUCAAUGAAGAGGACCCACUACAUCAAGUACAAAGGCUGCAGCGAACAAUAUACACAAAUCCCAAUAUUGUUACCUUUAAAGGGCAACUGACAGUGCAGCCAAAAAUAAUAACGCUAAAAGUUGGCCGUGGACAUUUUUUUGUAUACCAUUUUCACAUCUGUAACAAACAUAAGGCGUAAUACGACCGUCCGAUCUUCUAUUCUUUGUUUGUUCACUCCACAUCGAACCACUUCCAACGGCUGAUGCUGCAGCCUGUAGCUUACAGAUUAUAUAAGCUAGUCAAUUCCCAGUUUGACAGGUGACCAACGACGCCAACUAUGGCAACAUAGAGAUUGAUUGCUUGGAGCUUACGUGGUUGUAGAUUUCAAAUAACGUGUGGUAUGUUAUAUAUUCAAUUGUUCUUUAGGUCAUUAAAUCGGAGUGACACUCCUGACCACGCACAAUACAUGUUCUGAACCUGCUGUUGAAGGGCCAAAAAUGGGUCACCAGUCUGUAACAGUACGCAAUAAUGAAAUGGUAUACUUUGAAAACCUCGCCACUAUAAUGACAAAAAAACGCGGCUAUUUAUUACAGACGACCUUAGUAAUGACUGACUGAACGACAUGCAAAUUAAGGCACGUGUUUUUAGUAACAGUGCGAGUAUAUUAAAUCUCUGACAGCAAAAGCAUCGACCACAACAUUUACCCACGUGGAUGUUAUUGCCCGUAUACAUAAAAUUUAAUUAUCUAUAAAUAAAUCGUUAAUUAUCGAAAAUACAAGGCAGAAGGUUGCAGUGCCAAUAUGUAUAUUUCAGCAGGAGCUGGCUAAGUUACAGAUUCUAUAACAUACAGAACCCACGUAGGCAGCUCGUGAUUGGUUAGCUAGCUACCAAACUAAAACAAUUGCAUGCUUUUAGUCCAUAUGCAGGACAGGUGUGGUGCAUGCAUUGGCCAUAGUAAUGUGUGGGACAAAAUUGUUGAGUAUCCAUUGACAAUAUCGGCUGUACUCACAGUGGGUCAUACGCAGGCUGGUGCCAUAAGAAUGAUCAAAUUAUUCAAUGGUUAUAGAUGUAGUCAUCUGCACAUUACAUGGCCGAUGUAAUGCGACUAACAACAACAAUCGCAAUAAGAUAAAACCUGAGUACAAAUGAAGCAUUAGUAAACAACAAUCGUUAACUAAAGUAAUAUUAUUAUUGACCAGUGAGUAAAUUAAUCCAAAUAUAUAGAUGCGUAGUUCUUAAAUUAAGCGUUAAUUUCUUACCAUAGAGGUGGAAAAUUCAUAAACAAGCCAACAUAUUAAAUGAAUAUAUUGCAGGGACAAUAAAUUCCGGCAUAUUCACAAAACUUCCUGCGAAUAAUGAUAUGCAACGAAGCUAUGAUCAGUUAGUAUGGUAAGACCAUUAAUGUAGUAACUGGAUAUCAACUGCAAUCGUUGCAAGUAGGGGUGAGCAGUAAUUCAAUCUGAUCCGCUCAAUCUUUCCGAUCUGCUGAAUCUGAUCUGUAUAAAUUCGCUCCGUGGAUUGGUGGAUUAGAUAUGGAUUUAAUUCUGUAAAUCCGCAUAAAUUCAUGAAUAAGAUAAAUAAAUAAAUAUAUAUAUAUAUAUAUAUAUCUAAUUAGUAAAGAUUUAUAAAUAUAAAUUAAAAAUUUAUAAAUGUGACAUUGAAUAGUUACUAAGCACUAGAACAUAUCUUAGCUAUUACCCAUUAAUAAUAUGAAAUGAAAAAUAAUUAAAUAAUCAAACACGACGCAUAUAUAACUUGUUAAAAAUUGUUACACAAAUUUUAAACAAUUAAAUUUUGCGCACUAACAAAAGCAAAGUAACAUACUGCCAAGUUUCCAAUAAUAUGAAAACAACAAACCCUAAGCUUCCCCACCGUUACACACACUAGCAACACUCAAUACUGGUUUGAUACAGUAUCGACACGAAUUUAAAGGACAUCGUGCGCGUGAUUCCGGCGAGAGCAAGUCAUCUUCAUUCGCAAGUCCAUCGAGCCACUUGACAUUCACUGGUUCCAGCGGAACAAUUUCAUUAUCACAACGUUCAAGAUCGCCACCCGUACGGCUUCUGUUGUUUCGCAUCGGAUGGCUCCGCAAUCACAACUUUUCGACAGACGCAACAGCCCUGGUGAAGGAUCAAAUUGUGCAAAACACUAAUUUGUCGCUUUCAAUGUAGGCUUUUAGGUGCGGCCUCACCAGGCGGAGAUCAAUCCGAGCAUCCGGACUUCCGUAUGUAUGUCCCCACGUGCAUGGUUAAAUUUUGAUGUCCUAUGUUUUGUAACUAUUUUCAAUGUCACAUUUAACAUAAAACAUGGAUCAGAUGUGCAGUUUUUACUCACCUUUCAGGAUAACUUCUCUUACCUACUUCGCUUGCUCGCUGCGUAUGGAGAUGUUUUUAUUCCCGUAAAAACCAUUGCUAUUUGCAAUACCAUAUAAUAAAGUAUAUCUUAUUCACGUGUUACAUUAUUGUCUCUAUUGCCGCUUAUUAGUAAAACUACAAAUCGUUAUGUAAAUGUGGCCACACCUUUGGGGUUUUCCACAUGUUUCCUACAAUUUUUCAGCAUGUAGGGAUCUUCUUAUAUCUAAUAAUAUUUCACAAACCUGUUGCCUCAAACCAUGAAAUGUAAUUUUUGACUUUCCAUGUAAUUUGUCUCUUCAGAAUUAAUUGAACAAUGGAAAUUCAUAUCUUAGCAAAUGCAUCAAACAUUCCAUGUAAUUAUCUCUGCCGGCAUAUCUUUGUUUUCGUUGCUGUACGCAUUGCCCAAUUCAAUACCCAUGGUCUUUAAUUAGUCGUAUUUGCUGCACCUGGAGGCAAGUACUACUUUAUACGCAACCAACACAACCUUACCUAACUGGCCCAAGGCAGAAUGUAAUUAACAACACCUACAAAUUUACUUUCCAACCUGAUUUUACAUCAUUUGACAGCAAAUUUCUAUCGUAAUUUGGAGAUAAGUGAUGAUAAUACUAUAUUUAUGAAGAUAGUCCAUAAUUGCUCGACUAAAACUACAAAUUAGUUCUUUCUCAAGGGCCAACUGAGUUAAUAAGGUCCAUUUGCUAUUGUAUACACGCUUCUUUAUUUGACUUUGCAUUUUCAAGCCCAUAAUCUCACUAACACAGAAAUAUUUAAUUUCACAUAAGGUCCAUUCUUCAUUGCAGUUCAUUAUGCCAUCAACUUACAUUACCUUAUAAAAAACCUUCACUUACAAGAUAAUACCGCCUAUUAUAAUUGAGGGUCCAGCAAAAAUACAUGUAUUAAAACAAAUAUUGCAAGUUAAUUCAACUGCAUCGCGAUGUUGACAGCCAUUAUCCCACAAAACUCAAAAUUCCCACUAUCAAUAACAGUACCAACCUACUGACGUUGAAAUUUAAGUUAUUCAUGUCAAUUAUGCUACCACGAAGCAAUCAAAACACAAGCUAUGACGGUUUCUUUCUUCGUCAAUAACCACGCUAUCAACUCCAACUCAUACACUUAAAAUGGUAAUAGAUUUACCCUCGAAUAUGGCAGAACGUUAAAGGCCUUCAUAUCCACUUCUUAUGAAGGCCUCACGAUGGAUUGGAACUAACCAAAGCCCAAAUUAACAUGUACCAAUUUUUCCUUUUUCCAAUUGAAUAUUGCAUUAAUAAAUGCUUUGGUACCAAUGUAAAGCAUGUCCUCAUACUAUCGUCAUCUUCUUUCUUCAAACUAAUUAACUCUAACAUGUAAUUUCAUUCCUGUAAAUUUACUUUAUUCUCAUCGCAUACAUUACAUUAUUUAUUUUUAAUACAUAAUUUUUGCUAUAUUUAUCCUAUUACUUAAUUUUUAAAUUGUCAACAAUGAAUAUUCACCUGCAUUAAUAGAUUAUGGGACAUUCUCCUAUCAAGUUACUGUUUUCUAAGGAACUAUCUUUUAUGCCUUCUAACGUAACCCUUUUAUCUUCCCUGAUGAACAUAAGAUUCGAAAGUCCUGUAAUAUUUUUAGGUACGAGUCAUCUUUCACCUUCUAAUUUAGUAUACCGAAACUAUAUUAUUCUUACUUUAAAUAACCCUUCAUAACUUAUUGGUGGGUAGAGAGACAUUUUGCAUCCCGUGCCUAACAAUUUUCUUAUUGAUGCCGACAUUCGUGCGAUUGACAUCUUGGUGUCCGAUUGAUAUUGUUUAUCGCCUCCGGGGGGGGUGCAUCUAUCACUAUACUACUUAAUCAGGCCUUCAUUCUUCUCAUCCGCCGCCAAUAUCGUUCAUCUUUGUUCGUUACCACAUGUUCUUGUUCAUUUAAUUUGGAUAUGUUGGUCCACAUCCCCCUCCACACGAAGGUUCACUUUUACGGGUGUUCGCGUCUUAGAUUUUGCGGAUUGCACAUCAAUCCAUAUUUGAUCCACAAUUUUACGGAUUUUAAUGUGUUCAAUCAAAUCAAAUCCACUUAUGACUUAAACUGAAUCGAAAUCCAAUUCAUAUUUUUUCGGAUCGGAUGCAAAUCAUAUCCAAUCCAUAAGUAAUCCAUAGUUUGCCGGAUUGAUUUGUAGAUGCAAUUUUUUUUUUCAUCCAAUCUACGCAAUAUUUAUAUAAACAAAUAUCUCAUUCAUAUUGUUUUUUUAAAUUAAAUUUUCUAAUGCAAAAUUUACUUUACUAUCAGUUAAAAUCAUAAUUGAACAACAUAUUAAUUCAUAUUAAGCUACGAUAAUACAUUCAUAAUUUCCAAUUUUAACACACCGAUAUAAAAAUUUUCAUUCGUUUUCAUCAGUACAUCAAAUGUAACUAAAAUUAACAAUUUCUAAGUUCAAACUUCAAAGUUUCGGUGUAACAGCAAUAAAUUAUGAAACUCGAGAUGCUUCAAAAGAAAGUAAGCAAUUAAAUUUUAUUUCUUUAACUGCUGAAGUGAAAUAAUUAUGCGUUGUGCAUGCCGUCAGGGAUAGCUUUGGUGUUAUAUGAUAAAAUUUUUUGUUUUGCUUUUUAUUUCUUAAUGUUUACGAAGCUAUAUUUACUUAUUUAUUUAUUUUUUUUUCAAAUUGUUAUCGAAUAAGAUAUAAUAUUGUGUUACUUUAGCUAUAUCUAAAUUUUACAUUUUUUUGUACAGUACUCACUACCAUUGCUAUAUUUUUUAUUCAAUAUUUACUAUUUCUCCUGAUUUAACGAAAUUUGCCGCAUUUACUGACUUAAAUCCUUUUCCAAUCCAUCUAAUACGGAUUUUUUUAUUAUUAUAUUUUAUUUGGGUCUUUUUCUGUAACAAACUAUAAAACUCAUAGUUUCUAUUACUUACAAUAAACAAUUUAGACUGUCAACAAAAAUACUUAAAAUAGAGUGUCGAAGAUAUUUUUUUCUUUCUUGUUUCCUCUUUUAAUUGCUCCAUCAUCUCAAAAAUACCUCCAUUUCUUGGUUGAUCAUUUACUAUUUUCCAAAUUAUUAUUAUUACGCAAAUUAUCAUUGUCGUCGUCAUAAUUAUAAUAUUAAGCAUUAUUAGUUUUAUUAUUAUUGUUGGUGUUGUUCAAAUUUGGAAAUGACAUGGCCUAUUAUAUAAACUCUAGCGAUAAAAUUAAAAUUACAUAUUAUUCAGGUUAAAGGGGAAUUUUCCCCUUUUUUCCCCACCACUUACUUUUGCAAUGCAUUGCCUGAUCAUUUUAUUAUUAUUAUUAUUAUUAUUAUUAUUAUUAUUACACGCUACAUAAUUUUUCGUCACUAUUUUCGAACAUUUCAAAUCAUUAUUACCCCAACCCAUACUUGCACGCUUCCAACUUCUUGUUUUUAACCAAUACUUGCAUGCACCCCUUUUUCUCUUGUUUUACAUGCGUUACUUUAACAUCGUCCAACCCACUACAGCACUUUUUUUGGUCAAAAAGUGAUUUCCUGCAGUGUUACCGGCACAUUACCUUUAUUUCAGGUUACUCCCUUGCGUCUGUGUGUCUCUUCUGCAGCCAAUAGAUGAAAUCUAACGGUGCCCAUGCUACAAGACAAAUGACUUGGGUACGAAACCCAUGACGCAAAGUAGCUGCGGCCCUAAAAACAAUAAAUGGGGUAACUUGAUAUUUUUAUACUUUUAGGUGAUAAAUUAAAGAUUUUCAUUUUAAAUUGGGGGCAAAUUAAAAUCUAUCCUAUUUCUAAAGGCACCACGUGAUUUGGCAAAAUAACUAUAAAGAUAUUUUAUUUUUAGAAAAUAUCACACAUGUCUCUUUUGAGAUACACAGACUCUUUUUUAGCUAAAAGAUUGGGAUUUGUGUGAUUAUUUCUGAACCAAAAGGUUUGUGUUUUAAAAAAAAAUGAUUAUGUGACUGUUUUGCCUAACCGAGAGGGUCAUUAUUCAAACACCAAUCACAUUUUUGUUUUAAAACACCCUUUCAUUUAUUCUUUAAGCUUCUUCUUUUUUCCCAAAAAAUGAUGAAUAGAUAUUGAAAAUUUUGUUUUCAUUUUUUUAUUGAAAAAAAUGAAAAACACCAAAUAUUACUGCUUCCUUGUCCAUACUGUUUUUCGUCCUAUAUUACCUUAAUUUUAUAUCGUUUCUCUAUUUCUAUUUUUAUAGUCCAAUUCUGAAAAUACACUAUUAGACACAUUUUUAAAUUGAAAAACACCAAACAUAGUGCAUCAUUUUCAUUAUAAGCAUUAACACCAGACGUACACAUUCUCCAAAUGGGACUAAAAAUGGUGACUCCUUCAGAAAUGAAGUUGUACAAUUAGUUUGAAUUGAGUCGAUACAGAGACGUCUCCAUUGCGUCAUCUAUUCAACUGUCUUGUGCAACCUUAUUCUGUACUAGUAGGAUUCCUCAUUGGCCAAGUAUAUGCAUAGUUGCUGGUUUAUUAACCCCAAAACACCCUCCACUUAAUUCAAGGUCUUAAAGAGAAGUCCAAUCUUACAGGUUCGUUAACAUUUUAAAGGUAAGUUUUAUCUUGUAACAUUCACACAAAAUUUAUAAUCAACUAGGGAGGAAAUUUUGAAAAUACUAUGAUUAGCACAAGUAUUUCAACAAUAAAGGAUGUAAUAAAAGCUCAUUAAGUUUAAACUUGAAAGGAAAAUUAGGGCAAGGUCAUUUCUUUAAAAAGAAUAAGGCAAGAUGAUGCACGGCAUGAAAUACCUAUGACCAAGCCUCAAAAGAUUCAUCAAGCCCAGUAUUUUGCUUGCCCUCGGCAUAAUUACACUUGGCUUCCCAAACAAACAAUUGCUGGAGCUCGGACAAUGGAAGUAUUCAAUUUAACUACAUAAAUAUCAGCCGGAGCAUAAUUACACUUGGCUCCCUAACGAAUAAUGCUGGAGCUCGGACAAUACGAGUAUUCAAUUUAACUGUACAUAGAUGUGCGGGGUUUUGAUGGUAAGUAAAAAGACGUGCCACUAUCAGUUGAGGAGUGCAUAAGAGGAUUACAUCUAUCAAAUACUAUCCGCACUCCUCGGCCAAUUCUUCCAUGAAAUUUGUGAGUUCGUGCUAUAGUGCCAUUCCUCGUAGAAGAAUCUGACGGCGGAACAAUACCUGCAGCGUCCAAUUUUUCUGGCACAAGGGGUUUUGUGAACAACAAAACUGGCACAAGGGGUUUUGUGAACAACAAAACUGGCUCAAGAGGAUCCUGAAACCCCACAGUUACAUUUUCAAAAUGAUGCACUGCUGAUAUUCAGAAAUAAAACAAGGAUAAAACAUUUUCUAAAGUUUACUUAAAUCAUUUUUCUUUCCAACCACAGAUAGGUCAAUAAGUCAAAUAUGUGAGGAAAAAUACUAAAGAAACUGAAGCUGACAGAGGGCAGGCAGAAUUAACUACAAAACCACCAGAUUUAUCGUGUUUUGUCCCGUUGAUUAAUUGUUUUCAAUUAACACGGUAACCCGGCUCGGGUGUUAACUCUGUUUCUGUAAGUCUCUGUUGAAUAUUUAUGUUUAAAAAUCAGCACUCGCAUGUAAGUUGUAUGGCAGCAGCAAAAUAUCAUGUGUAAUAAUUAGGCUAUAUUAGUUCUGGGUCCAGGAAUCGAGAUAAUCAGAGUAGGUGCAAAAGCUAUAUUUACCAAUUUAUGUAGCCAUGCAUAAUAUAUUCAUUUUUUACUUGCAAAUUCUUCCUUUUCACAACUUUAGGUACAACUUUUCCUUUCCUUUUGAAGGCCCACUCCACUAGCAUAGAGAGUAAAAAGAGUUUCUUAUAAAUAAUUUUAGGAGGAUGGUUCUGCCACGACAAGUAAUACCAUAAACAAAUGAUUUCACCACAUUUCAAGAAAGCAUUUAACUUAUGCCUCAUUUUCAUUCUAGCAAUUUGCUUGCCAUUGGCUGAUUGGAAAAAGUGCAUUUAAGUGAUAGAAUAUUGUCAACCUAUAGCACGAAUAGGGGUUAAACAAAGUAAAUCCCUACCUUUACAUGUCAAAUAAAAGACUUUCAUAAUAUCAAAUAUCAAAACUCAUGUCUAGUAAACGAUUCCCCAAUGCUGGCUCUCACAAUUGCUUUUGUUUCAUGGAUGAGAUGAUCGAUUUUGUGGAUAUUCUGCUCAACUUGGAUUAUGACUUGGGUCAGAUCCCAACUUGCUGCAUAGCUCACCUGACUAAAUCUUAGUUGAUUUGCUUUUCCAUACUAAAUCCAAGCAAGUAAGUACAAGAGAUAAAAGCAAAAGUUCAAGCAUCUCAUUUGAGCCUGUCACUAACAAAUGGUCAACGAGCAAUGUCUAGCUAUGACUGAGCAACAGAAUCAAUAAACAGACAGACAAAAAAUAAUAAUCAAGUCAUCUGUCAAAUGCUAGUCCAUGAAAAUCAUAUAUAUAUAUAUAUAUAUAUAUAUAUAUUUCCUUCUGGUAUCAGAGCCAAGGGGAGGAUAGUGUAAAGCAGUUUAGAAUUUCGUGUUUAAAAUCUUGUGUUUUAUUUUGAAGUUUUGUUUUUGUGGUGAAUCUUUACUGGUUGUAAGUCCCGUUUUAGGAUAAGGAUUCCGCUGAGGGCUGUAAAUCCAUACCUGUAGCCAUUUUGACCAAACCAAAAAUAGACCAUAAGGUCUUAUUCAUGGAUCCUCCGAUCUGUAGAACAUCGUCCUUUUCUAGCUCUUCUUCCGGGAAGACUAGUGAUUCAAAGCAUGUUGUGAGUUCAGAAGAAUUCUUUAUUGAGAACUUUGAUAAAGCAAUUGAUUGUUGGGAACUUCCAAAAAUUUCUAAAGAAAAGAUUUACAAAACAAAAAAGCUUGAUUUUUUAAAGAAUGAUUAUAUCAUAAAGACUGAAGAACGUGAUAUAACUCUUUCAAAUCCUUUUGAAACAAUCCACUUGUUUUCUGAGCAUUCUUUAAAGAAAUUAAAAAAGAAUUUCAAUUAUGUUCACAUAGGUCUUAUUCAAGUCGGUAUAAAACCCUUAACCAAAGAAGGCUUGGAUACUUCUAUCCUUGCUGUCCUAAGAGAUGGACGAUUCAUCUCUUUUGAUGAUUCUUUGCUAAGUAGCAUCGAAUCCAGUCUCUGUAAAGGUCCAAUCUCAUUUGAUUGUUAUCCAAACAUAACAAUUUCUCUUAAAGAUAAGAAUAUUUUGAAAAGCAUGAUUUUACAAAUCAAAACCCAUAAUUAUAAUAUGAUUGAGGGAUCCAUCCCAGUUGCCUUAAUUUUUAAAAUCUCAUAUAAGGCAAUGAUCACUGCAUUCAGUACACAACAUAAAUUCCAGUCAAAAAGAGAUGAGACUCUUCUCUUGCAGACUGAUUUGUCUAGAGCCAACACUGUCAUUCCAAAACCUAUUCAAUGGAAAGAUGUCCAUCUUCCAGAAGAAUGGAUUCUUGAAGGAGCCGCUCCACCAGCGAUUCCGAAACAACUUGAGCCCAAUACAGAGUUGCAGAAUGUGACUCAGUAUUCCGAUGGUAAAGUCAAACUAUCAUUCAGAAGAUCUAACUCAUCUAGAUUUUCUGAUAAAGCUUCGUGCUCAAGCAUUCCUUCAUUAGAAAGGAAAUUCACAAAAGUCCCUUCUGUUAUAAAUCUCCCUUUUCAAAGUCAACCUAGGUUUUCAACUUCAGAUAUACCUAGUACCUCCAUUAGAUCAGUUGAUUACACCACUAGUGUUCCACAUCCGAUCUACACUAGCAAUCAACAUAUUCAAAGUCAGGAAGAGAAAGAACCUUCUCCUCCAACUUCCCCUACGUUUUCUGCAGUCACAGAAAAUGUUAUCAAUGUCAUUGAAAAAGAAUUUGAAGUAGAUAAGGCAUUCUUGCAUGAAGAUUUUUAUUCUAAUUCAAACAAAGAAAAAAGACUUUGGUUUUUCAAACACUUUUUAAACCAAAGAAAAGAAAUCCAACAAACUUACUAUGAUUUUGUGAAUCUUCAUAAAGCUCAUAUAUUGUUUUUUGAUUGGUUCGAAAUAUAUUCUUCUGAGAAUAACAUCUCUUAUCCUUUUAAAGAGUCAAACCCUAUUACUAUUAGGAAGAAAGUUCCUGAAUGGAAACUUCUCGAUAGUAAUAGAACUAUAGAAUCAGAACACCCACCUCUUCGGAGUUUAACCAUUGAUCAUGGUGAACCUCCUGUCGAGAUUCGAGCUUCACCUUACAAAAUUCCAAAGCCAAAUGAUUCCGAGGCAAAUUUAAGUAGUGUUAUCCAACAGAACAAUUUCUGUAAUACUAACUUAAAUACAAUCGGAAAGCAGUUGACUAGGAUAGAGAACCAAAUCCAGAAGUCAACCAUUACUGUUCCAUCGAUUUCUCCUAUUCCAACAAAAUCGGAUUCUGACAAAAAGCUUAAGGAACCUAUUUUCAAACCCUUUCAGGUUUCGAAAACUAGCCAAAAGCUUGUUCAAGAGUCAAAAUCAGAUUUUGCUAAAGCCAUUAGAGAACAAUUAGAUAGGAUAGAAGCUGCUUCUUCCUCAUCUAGCAAAGCCCAAAUAGCCCCUGAUACUCCUCAAUCUAGCAAGAUUGGAGUAUUAGAAAAAGAUGACCAAACCUCUAUAGCCUCUUCGGAUGUUGAAGCCUUCCAAGAGGAACCCAUUCCUAAAGCAAACAAAAUCCAUUGGGAAUUAGCCCUUCCCACUGUCAAGACUCCACCGGAUCUAGCAAUAGAUAAUAGACCAAGUGCAUUAAAUCAGUCUAGGUAUAAUGCAUCUUCAGUCUAUGAGUGGAAUAUUGACGGCAUGUCAGAAUACAAUAUCCUAGGAUUGUUGCAACAGAUGACAAUGGCAGCUAAUGCCUAUAAAACCCAAGCAGGAACCUCUGAUCGUGCUAUAUCAGAGAUCCUAAUUGCCGGUUUUACUGGUCAACUGAAAGGUUGGUGGGAUCAUCUUCUCACUAAUCAGCAACAAUUAGACAUCCUAAAUUCCAUCCAAGUCGAUGAAAAUGGAGUCCCUAUUCUUGAUGAGUUCAACAAUCCUAUCCAGGAUGCUGUUGCUACUCUUAUUUUGACCAUUUCCCUCCAUUUCAUUGGUGACCCUUCACACCUUCGUGAUAAAAACGCUGAGUUAUUACAUAACUUGAGAUGUAAGAAACUUAGUGAAUUCCAAAGCUACAAAACCGCAUUUUUUACCAGAUUAUUUCUAAGAGAUGAUGCAAAUCAUACAACUUGGAAAGAAAAAUUUCUUGCUGGUUUACCUACCCUUCUAGGUGAAAAGGUAAGAAAUUCCAUUAAAGCACUUUAUGAUAAUCGUAUCCCUUAUGACGAGCUUACCUAUGGUGAACUUGUCAGUUUCGUCAAUAAAGAAGGUUUAAAGAUUUGUCAAGAUUUGAAAUUACAGAAACGUCUUAAGUGGGAGCUUAAGAAGUCUAAACAAGAGUUAGGCGGUUUCUGUAAACAAUUCAAUUAUGACCCCUUUAAAGCUUCUUAUUCCAGAGAUUGUAAUGGUGAGUGUUCUAAACCUCGCAAGAAACAUUACAAAUCAAAGAGUUUUAGAAAACCUUUUCGAAAUUUUAGAGAACUUCCUUAUAAGAAACCCUCGAGGCCUUAUAAGAAACCCAAAUUCUCUAAAAAGAAAGAAUUCAAAGCCAAACCUAAGACCCCUUUCAACUUCAAAGAUGCUACGUGUUUUAAAUGUGGUAUGAAAGGCCAUACUGCAAGAUUUUGUAAAAUGAACAAAAGGCUCCAAGAACUUGAACUCGAUGAGGACAUCCUUUCCAAAUUAGCCCCACUCCUUGUCGAUUCUUCUGAUUCUGAAUCUUCCAUGUCGGGAGAUAGUAAUCCUUAUCAAAUUGAUGAGCUUUUUGACUCAGAUGACUCUGCAUCUAGCAGUAGUGAAUCUGAAUCUGAUUUUGGUUUAAAUAAGAUCAAUGUUUUGACAAAAGACCAAGAGACUUACCUUGAACUUGUAAAGCAUAUUUCUGAUCCAAAUCUUCAAAAAGAGUAUCUUGAUAAACUUUUGAAAACCUUGGAUUUUAAUAAAGCCGAGACUUCUAAAGUCCCAAUUGUCAAAAAGAGUUCUUAUGAUCUUACACAAAUCUUGGAUAAAAAGAAAUCAAAAAAGGCAGUUCCUAGCAUCCAAGAUCUUCAAAAAGAGAUUAAAGAAAUCAAAACCGAAAUCAGGGAUUUAAAAGAAAAACAAAAAUGUGAUUCUGAUACUAUCCAACUUCUUUUGCAAAAACAAUUGCAGGAUAAUUCAGACAAUGAAUCUAAUCCUGAUGUUGGUGAUGAUAUCAAAAUAGAAAACAUUGAGUCUGUACCCAAUGAUUUUCUAUUCGUUUUAAAGCAAAUCACCACAAGAAAGUAUUUGAUUAAAGUCACUUUAAUCUUCUCUGAUGAUUUUGCAAUGGAUGCCAUUGCCCUUUUUGACACUGGUGCCGAUUUAAAUUGCAUUAGAGAAGAAAUCGUCCCCAAAAGAUUUCAUGAAAAGACAAAAGAAAGACUUUCUGCCGCUAAUAAUUCAAAAUUGAAUGUUAGCUCCAAAGUUGAAGCCUCGAUUUAUAAUAAUAAAAUUGAAUUUAAAACUUCUUUUGUUCUUACAAAUGAUAUACACCAUGCUAUCAUUUUGGGAUCCCCUUUUAUAAAUCUUAUAACCCCAUAUGCUGUCGAUUAUAAUGGUAUAUAUUUCAAAGCAAAAUCCAAAGACCUUGUUUUUUCAUUUAUUGAAAAACCAAAAACUAGGAAUUUAAACAUUAUCAAAGCUUGUUCUGUUUACCAAAAAAGAAUCAAUGCCAUUCUUAAAUCCAAACAAGAUGAUUUGUUUUGUUUGCAAAAAGAUUUAAGUUUUCAAAGAAUUGAAAGCCAACUACAAAGCAAUUUCAUACAAAGAAAAAUUUCUGAUUUUAAAAGCCUUGUUGAAAGAGAAAUAUGUGCUGAUUUACCAUCUGCUUUUUGGAAUAGAAAACAACAUCUGGUAGAUUUGCCAUAUGAAAAUUCGUUUGAUGAAAAACAAAUACCCACCAGAGCACGUCCAAUCCAAAUGAACAUGGAUUUGGAACAGCAUUGCAAAAAUGAAAUCAAAGAUUUAGAGUCAAAAGGACUCAUUGUUAAGUCAAGGUCCCCAUGGUCUUGUGCCGCCUUUUAUGUUAACAAAAAUUCUGAGAUUGAAAGAGGUGUUCCUAGACUUGUGAUAAAUUACAAACCUUUGAAUAAAGCUUUGAAAUGGAUUAGGUACCCAAUACCUAAUAAAAAAGAUUUGCUCCAAAAACUUUGUUCAUCUUUCAUCUUUUCUAAAUUUGAUAUGAAGUCUGGUUUUUGGCAAAUUCAAAUCCAUCCAAAAGAUCGUUACAAAACAGCUUUUACUGUUCCUUUCGGGCAAUACGAAUGGACAGUAAUGCCCUUUGGUUUAAAAAAUGCACCCUCAGAAUUUCAAAGAAUCAUGAACGAUAUUUAUAAUCCAUAUUCUGAGUUUUGCAUAGUCUAUAUUGAUGAUGUGUUGAUUUUUUCUCAAAGUAUUGAUCAACAUUUCAAACAUUUAAAGACUUUCCAUCUUGUUACUAAAAAAGCUGGGUUAGCCCUUUCUAGUUCAAAGAUUUCUUUAUUCCAAACAAAAAUCCGAUUUUUAGGACAUCAUAUUUCUAAAGGAACCAUCACUCCUAUAGAAAGAUCACUCUUGUUUGCGGAUAAAUUUCCAGACAAGAUUUUGGACAAAACCCAAUUACAAAGAUUCCUUGGUAGCUUAAAUUAUGUUCUUGAUUUUUGCCCAAAUAUCAAUAGGAUGUCUAAACCUUUGCAUGAUAGGUUAAAAAAGAAUCCUGUUGCAUGGUCGGAAGAACAUACUAAAGUAGUUAGAUUAAUAAAGCAGUCUGUUAAAAAUAUCCCAUGUUUAUUUCUUGCAAAUCCUGCAUUACCUAAAGUUGUUGAAACUGAUGCAUCUGAUAUAGGUUAUGGAGGAAUUUUGAAACAAAAAGAGAAUGACAAAGAACAGAUAGUCCAAUAUGUUUCUGCACACUGGAAUGAUUGCCAGAAAAACUAUUCUACUAUCAAAAAAGAAAUUCUUUCCAUCGUUUUAUGCAUUACAAAAUUUCAAAGUGAUUUACUAAAUCAAAAAUUUUUACUUAGAAUUGAUUGCAAAGCUGCAAAACAUGUUUUAGAAAAGGAUGUUCAAAACAUUGCAUCAAAACAGAUUUUUGCACGAUGGCAAGCUAUAUUAAGUGUUUUUGAUUUUGAUAUUGAAUUUAUUAAAGGUGACAAAAAUUCUGUUCCUGAUUUUCUAACUCGGGAAUUUCUUCAAAACAGAUAAUGCCUCCAAAGAAGAAAGAUAAAGGUAAAGCAGUUGUCAAAGUUACUGGAUCUCAAGAACCUUCCAAAGAAUCCUUUUCUACCCCUUCCAAAGAAAAAUUACUUUCUUCAGCCUUACCCAUCAAAUCCUGGAUUGAAGUGGUUGAAGAACAUGGCUCCCAAUAUAAAUCUAUUUCUUCUGAUGACCAAGUAAAGCAAUGGAUGAAUUCCAUUACAAAGUCUCCUGAGCUCAUGAUCGCCCUCCAAAACCUUUCUCAAAGCCAAAUUUCUCCUAAAAAAGAAAUUGAAAUUUCAAAGCCCUCUUCCCAAAAUGUUGUUGUCUCUGCUGAAAGCUCAUCUUCCCAAAUUGUGCUUUCUCAGCCAACACCUCCAAAGAAACCCUCCGAUUGGUUUGAUAAAACCCAUUUUCAAAACAUUAUUUCUAUGGAAGAUGGAUUUUACCAUACUGAUCCUUUUCAAAGUAUUUCAAAGUUUUUCCCCAAAGGCUGGUUUUUUAAACCAUGGGAUUUAACAAAACCCCAGUCUUAUUAUCAAAGCAUUUUGGAAAUAACUGAAUCAGUUAAAUUCAAACAUUUCUUUCUUGAUAAAGCCCAUUCGGAACCAGCUUAUUCCACGGCCACAAUCCUAAAAGUAUUGAGCCCAAAUCAGUGGGGUGACCUACUCCACAGUUAUAAAACCUUCCCUUUAAAUUUUGAGACCCGUUUACCACAUUGUAGGACCUUCUCCUAUUGGGAUUACCAACAAGCGUGGUACAACACCUUUUUUAUCCAGAACCCUAAAAAGUCCCAUUCUUGGUUAUUUUUCUUCAAUACGAAGAUAACCGUCCAAAGUCUCCCAAAUUGGUUUCAUCACUGGUGGAAUCUUUUUGGCCCAGUUCCUCAAAUCCUAACCCUAAACGCCACAAACUGUCUAAGCCUUUUCAAAGCCCAUUAUCUUCCUUCCGAUUCAGAAAAAAGAUUUCCCCCCUUUCUUUGCUUUUGUGCAAAUUUCUUUCUUCCUUGGGUUUGUUCAUGGAACCUCCGUUUCCAUACCCAAGAUUCCCAAGUCAUUCUUCAAAGAACCUUUAAAGUCAAAUGGUGGUCAAAGUUUGAUGAACAGUCCAAAUUGACUGUUGAUAUGAUCAAAGACUGGCUCUCUUCUAAAGGCCUCCUUCAACCUACCAUAACCACCUCUAAAGCCCAACAAACUUUCUUGACCCAAAAAUCCAAAGCCCAGUCACUGUUGGCAGGUGCCAAGACUGAAGAUGAGUAUUUCAAAGCCAUGGAACAGCUCCUCGCCUCGCGUUCAAAGUCCUCAGUUGCAGCCUCCUCUGAAGAUGAAGACGAAGAGGAUGAUGAUGACGAAGAGCCUUUCAUUUCUCUCGGAGAUGAUAAUGAAGAUGACUGUUUCGGCAUUUUCUCUCCGAUAAAGCAUUGUAAAUAAUUAUUUGAUUAUUUACUUAAAAAAAAAAAAAAAAAAAAAAAAAAAAAAAAUCAGAAAAGUUAUUUACUUUCGGGUGGUCCUUUGGACACAAGUGAGAGCGCACAUGUCUCUUCACCCGUAUCAUACUAUUCAAAGCUACGAUCAGUUUACUAUUCAAAGCUACGAUCCAUUUGUUACUGUGCACUUAAAACCCCGCUACAGUGAACAGUGCAGUUUGCCAGUUGUUACUGUGCACUUAAAGUCCCGCUACAGUGAACAGUUUAAAGAUUUUUGUAUAUAAACCGAGAGGAAGACUUAGACUCCUCAGGUUUUUCAUUUCUCUUCUUCUCUUCCUUCUCUCUAAAAAAUCUCUCUCCCUCUCUCUCUAAAGCCCGAAGAGUUCAAAGAAAUUUUCUGUUUACACAAUAGUUCUAUCACAGAGCUUUGGGUGAUCAGACUAGUUCUUUAUCUUCAAUCUUCCCGUCUUUCAAUCUUCCCUUCUGGAAAGAUUUGAAAAUUUGUAAAGACCAGAAAGCAAAAAUGUAUGUUUAAAUUUCAGUUAUUUAAAUUUUUAAAGUUCAAUGUAAUUUACAUUUUCGCAAUUUACUUUAAAGCAUUUACUUUUCUGCAAUUUAAUUUUAUGCACAUUUAAAUUCCAGCAAUUUAUUUUAAAGCACUUUUCUUUUCAAAAGCAUGCUUGCAGACUGAUCUGUAUCAGAUCUGCCAUAUAAAUUCUACAUUCCUCUGAGGCAAAGAGACCGGAUCUCGAUCCUCAGUUGUAAAUCUUCUCUUCUCCCUCCAUUCCUUCAGAGCACCAUUUCCGGGAUCCGGAUCUGGUACUGUGUAUGUACCUAGGCCCUUAAAAGAACCUAAUCUAAAGUUGAUAAAAGCCCAAUAAAAAGAAUCAACCACGUUUAAAGCAAAUUAAUUAUUAUUUGGUAAAGCAAAAUUAAGUUGGUAUAUCGGCUGGAAACCAGAACGUGCGGAUUAUUGAUCUGUUCUAAGUCAGAUCUGGAUCCAAAGGCUUGACUACGGUCGCAUCGUUCCGGUAGAACAACGCCACGUACUAAUUUAAUAUAAAAAUUGACCAACCGCGUUCAAAUUUGUUUGAACAUUGUAUGAUCUAAAGCAAAUCUACUUAUAUUCAAAGCUGGUAAUUUAUUUUAAAAUUUGGAAAAGCCGAUCCAUUAAUUGUUUAAUUUAAAGUUUUAAUACUGAGAUCCGACGAAAACACAUCCAUCCUUCGAUGGAUGUAUAUGUAUAUGUAUAUGUAUGAUCAUUCAUUUCUCAAUCAACCACCAAAUUGAUGUCAACAAAGCCAGGAUUGUCUCACAAGUCUUUCAAUUUCCCUCUCUUUAGGCCAGAGACCAGUAAACCAUUUGAAAUAUGGAUGUGCAAACCAGUAAAUAAAUCAUGAAGUUACACACUACUCUGCUUUCGCACUCAUUCAGAACUAUCAAUGAUACUUACUGCAGGUACGGUGUAUACAUUAUACUAAAGUGAAGGCUGGAUCAAUAAGAAAUUCAAAAUGUUUCAUCACAUUUGGGGCUUGAUGAUGCCAAAAAAAGACCAUACCAAUUAUGAUGAACAGUAAAAUGUGAACAAGAACAAGCAUACAUUUAAGAAAGCAGAGAAGCAUCAUUAAAAUAAAGUAUUCUUCUUACUAUUCUAUGUUGUUGGAAAAUGGACCAAAAUAAAAAAGAAACCAUAUAUGGUUAACGUCACAACAAGAGUAUUUGUGCUUUUGUACAUCAUAGGAUAUUGGGAAGACAUCAGCAGAGAAGUGCAAAUUUUUUUUUUUUUUUUUGAGGAAAGGAACAGAGAAGUGCAAGUCAAAAAGGAGAAAAAAUGAAAAGAGAGAGAUCAAAAGGAAUGCAAUCUAAUUAAUCGUCUAAGGAGACUACUAUGCUACAUUUAGCCAUUGGUUGAAUAGGCAGCUUGUUUUCUAGUACAACUUUAAAUUUUCCAAGAUUUAGAAUUUUCCUACUGAAGAAAACUAAUUUCUAAAGCUGCUAUUACCAUCUUCAUCCCAACGGUAAGCAGCUCCAUACUAAGGAAAGAGUGAAAUAAGUGUGCUUUACUUAUAGAAGCCCAUUCCUGUCCAGAGUGAUUAGUAAGUUGUUUCACUAUGACCCCCAUUAUGGUGACUGAAAAAAGAAAAAAAAUAUAUAUUUGCCGAACAGAAUAAUAGCACCCAAGAAGUCCUACUUAAGAGGCUUCAUACCCUGCACAAAUCAGAAAGUUUUUUAAAAUUUUCAUGUUUCAAAUGAAGAUUGUCCAUUAAAAAAUUACACACAUAAUGUAUGUAAAGCAAUUAAAACAAAAAAAAAAAAAACAAGGAUAACCCAGAAACAAUCCAACCAUCAAUGAAAGUGAGCAAUGUUAUUGUUUUAUUAUUUUUGAACUCGUGGUGGCUCCGUAUUAUUUGCAAAUUAUUUGCAAAAUACUCGUAUAAGGAGAGGGACAUAUUUUAUGAUGGAAUAUUUUCAAUAUAAAUGGUGCUCUAAAAAUGUGUCCGACUGUAAAGAUAUGUCUAAUUAAACAGUGUCAUAUGUAAUAAAAAUGUAUCCUUUUAUUUAAAGAUGCAUCCUUUCACGGUUUCAUGCUUCAAUUUGAAAUGACGAUAGUUUAUUUUGGACCAGUGAUGAUCUAAUUCAAAUUUUGAUUUAAUAACCAUGAAUGAGAUAACCACUUUCUGUUAGUUCUCUUAAAAUUAUUAAGAAAUCUAUAUUGAAGGCUAUUUCAUCCUUUAGUGUUGUAGAAAAUACACUUUACAUUUUGAAAUUUAAAAUGACCUUCUUUUAAAUAAAAUUUUAAAACAAAUGUCUCUAACUAAAGAAGAAAUUUUAGAAUACAUUAGAAGUACCAUGUUAGCCAUGCAACAAGUGAAUCAUGCUACGAUACAUGUGCACUUAUUUUAAAAAACUAUUAUUCAAAUGGUGGUUAUAUUGAAUAUAAAUAUGUACAUAUCAUACAUGACACAAACCGCGUCAACCCUUCUGUUGGAUCUUGGGUGAAUCAUGCAAUUUUAUAUCUAAAGCUCAUAACAUAAACUUAAUUCAUGAAUAUAUAACACUAGCCUUGGGCUUUUUUAUAAACUUAUAAUAAUCUAUGUGCCUCAUUCAAAAAUUUAUUAAAAACUUACAUAGUUCAUAUCUCAUUGUACGUACAUUCACUUCGAAAAUAUACAUAUAAACAUAAACGUGGUCAAAAUGUAAGUCGUGCAGUAAUGCGUGUUGUGGUCCAACCUCAAUUGAUCAGAAAUUGAACUACACGAAAUCCUAUGGAAACCUUAGAGAAAUGGGGUAAAUAGGAAAAUAGUAAGCUUGCAGCUCAAUGAAUGAAUAUAAUUAUAUAUAAAAAUAAAUUAGUGUUUUAGUGCUCGUCAUAAUUGUAUGACAUAACUUUACACUGAACGCUUUACAAAAGCAAACAUGAACUCGUAUAUACACACAUGACAAAAUUGCACCAAAUAAUAUACAAGGAAAAUAACUCUCAAUACUCACUGGGAUCAUCAUUGCACGAGUAAAAAGAGGGAAAAACCUCUCAAUACUCAGUAGAAUUAACAACUUCACAAGGGUCGAGUAAUUUAACUCUCAAUACGCAUGCGUAGAGCCUAUGGAGAAAUGUACACAUAUGGUGCCUGUCAAUUACAUCUCAUGACUCAAUCAAUCAUAUAAUGUACAUACAUUUAAUCAUAACAUUAUACUAAAUCAAACUAUUAAACAUAAAUGCUUUGUAAAAUACAUAAUAGUAAUAAUAAUCCACUCACAGAUCCUAUUGAUGAAGCACGCACGUGCUUUGCUUUAAGCUAACAGCUUGCUAUUGCUUUGACAAUUAACCACAUGUGCCUCCUUUUAGCUUGCACGUGCAUCACAAUACAUGCAUUAGAAUUGGUUGUAUUCUCAUGGGUGAAGCAUGAAUGUGCUUUGCUUUAAGCUAACAGCUUGCUAUUGCUUUGACAAUUAGCCACAUGUGACCCGUUUAUAGUUUAGGAAAUAACAAUAUUGAAUAGAAAUAUUCUUCGAAUAUACUAUUUAUUUUCCAUUCAAACAUUUUCUCAUUUAGGUAAAGGUCACAAAAAAAAAUUAUUUUUUUAAUUUAAAUAUAAAUAUUUUAAAAUCAUAUAUAAGUUAUAAAAAAUAAAUAAUUAAUAUUUUUUUUAAAGUUAGACUUUAUAUGCUUAACAGUCAACCCUAAGGAACAUGGAUAAGAGCUACUAAAAAAAAAAGAAUAAUUUUGAAACUAAAUACAAUUAAUUGAGAGAUGAGGACGGAUAAGACAAAUUCAGAGAUAAAAAUUAGGGAAAUUAUCACCGGUAUACCCUUAAAUGUCACCGGUAUCAAACGUACUAUAACACUUUUUUCUUAUAUCACUCGUAUACCCUAAGUUGACAAAAGAGUUCUGGCAUCCACCUUUCCGUUAACUACUGUUAAGAACUUAACAUAAUUUGAGCAAAAUGACUAUUUUACCCUUUAAACUCAAAAUGAGGUAAAAAACAAAUUUGCCUUGAAAAUUAAUGUAAAUUUUAAUACACAAUUUUUUUAUUUUGUUAUUAACAAUAUAUUUUUUAUUAAAAAAAUGAAUUAUUAAUGGUACAUAUUAUUAACAAUUAUCCAUAAAAAAUAUCCAUCUUAUACCAUAAAAAAUUAUUAACAACAUAUUAUUUAUAAUUAUACAUAUUAUACCAUAAAAAAUUCAAGUUGGACCUUGGAGGAGUAGAUCUUCAAUAAUUUAGGUUAAAUUUUGAAGGAGUAGAUUCGGUUGUAAAGUAAUUUUUUUUAGCAAUUAUUAACAAUUAUCCGAUAAAUAGGAUGACAUGUCAUUUGUAUCAAAAUAUAUCAUAUGAUAUGUCGUUUUUUACUAGGUAAAUGGGAUGACAUAUCAUUUUUAAAAAAAGACUAAAUUACUCUUAUGAUGUCAGCGCUCGCAAACGGUAGUUAACGGAUCGGUGGACGGCAGAAGUGUUUUGUCAACUUAGGGUAUACGAGUGAUAAACUUAAAAAGUAUUGUAACACGUUUGAUAUUGGUGUCAUUUAAGGGUAUAUGACUGAUAAUUUCCUUUAAAAUUAAAAUAUCACCCUACUUAUUGCUGGCAGUUAUGAGCAUUAAAGCACAGAAGCACGUGUGUUGAAAAGUAUGGUGCUCGUGUGGAAUUUUCAGCUAAAAGUCUACAAGGCAGUUGAAUUAAUCAAUCAUCGUGGAGUGCACGGUGGUUGGACAAUGAGAUGAAAUUGAAAAACUAUCACGGAACUUGAAGGAAGGUUCAUAGCAUCGAUUUAUUCUACGGAGUCACGCACAUUUGGUUCAAUAAUUGUUUUCAUCCGAAUCAAAAUCUCUCUCUCAUCAAUUCAACUGUUUCUGUUGAUUAUGGCUUCUUCUUCUCGAAACAACAGGAAGUAUGAUGUUUUUGUUAGUUUCAGAGGAGAGGACACCCGCGACAACUUUACUAGCCAUCUCUAUUCUGCUCUGUGUCGACAAAAUAUCCAGACUUUCAUUGAUGACCAACUUAACAGAGGAGAUGAAAUUUCGGAGUCAGUUGUGAAUGCAAUUGAAGCAUCAGCCAUUUCAGUUAUCGUCUUCUCAGAAGGGUAUGCAUCUUCCAGAUGGUGUCUCGAUGAAGUUGUAAAGAUCCUCAAGUGCAAGAAGGAGUAUGCACAGAUUGUGAUUCCGGUUUUCUAUCGGGUUGAUCCAUCGGACGUGAGAAACCAAACUGGGAGUUUUGGGGAUUCAUUUUCGAAGCUUGAAGAAAGAUUAAAGGAGAAUUCAAAGAAGCUGCUGACUUGGAGGAAUGCUUUGAAGGAAGCAGCCAGUUUGUCCGGCUUUAAUUCUCUUAACAUCAGGUGAAAAGUUAGCUUUAAUUUCUCAUACUAAUAUUCAACACUGUAAAUAAAAUUCACGCAGCACUCUUAGUUAAAUUUUCCAGAUGAUAAACUACACUUUUAAAUUUUUUCAUGCAUCAAAUUCUAGACUUCUUGAACUUCCCCACUUUUGAACUCCUAUAAAAGAAUUUUUGCAGAAUUAAUAAUAAAAGCUCCAGAGGUUUACAAUAUAUUUUAACAAAAUUAAUGGUGUUCUGUCGUUUUUUAAUCAAUUUCAAUCUCUUACUCAUAUACCAUUAGGAAAAAAAAAAUCUCUUCCACAUAUAACAUAUUCCUGUAAUUAAAGAGUUAUUAAUUUAUAGGGAAAUUAGAAAUUUCCUUACUCAAAUCAAUAUAUACCACUUAUUUUGACUAUUUUUACAAUAUUUAAUAACUCUCCUGGAGUCCUGGUACCAUCACUUUGCAAUAUUAUCCUUAUGAAAAAAAAUAAGUGGUAUAUAUUAAUUUCAAUAGGAAAACUAGCAAUCUCCUUUAUUUCAAAUUUUAUGCAAAUCCCUUCUAUUUGAAGUUACCGCUGCUAAUUUUAUGUAUUUGGUAGGCCUGAAUCGGAACUUAUAAACGAAGUUGUUCAUCACAUUUUGAAGAGACUGCUGGAUCACGUUUUUCGGCGGAAUGAUAACAAAAACCAUCUGGUUGGAGUAGAAUCAAGAGUUGAGGAAAUUGAGUCUCUACUAGGUGCUCAGUCGAAAGAUGUUUACGCUUUAGGGAUUUGGGGCAUUGGUGGUAUAGGCAAAACAACAAUCGUUAGAGCUAUUUUUCACAAAAUCUCUAGCGGUUUUGAAGGUUCUUGCUUCCUUGAAAAUGUUAGAGAAGAGUCACAAAAACCGGGAGGAUUAGCUUGCUUGCGACAAAAACUUCUUUCAAAUUUAUUGAAAGAUAAAAAUGUGAGUCUUGUUAUUGGUCUUAAUUUUAGAAGGCUCAGCCGCAUGAAGGUUCUGAUUGUUUUUGAUGAUGUGACUUGCUUCAGCCAAUUAGAAUCUAUAAUUGGAAGUCUUGAUUGUUUGACGCCUGUGAGUCGAAUCAUAAUAACCACAAGAAAUAAACAAGUGCUUAGAAAUUGGGGGGUGAGGAAAAUAUAUGAGAUGGAGGCAUUAGAAUAUCAUCACGCUCUUGAGCUUUUCAGUCGACAUGCCUUCAAACAAAACCAUCCUGACGUUGGUUACGAGGAAUUUUCAAGCAAGGUAAUGAAAUAUGCUCAAGGUGUUCCUUUAGCUAUUAAAGUUUUGGGUUGCUUUCUAUAUGAAAGAGAAAAGGAAGUCUGGGAAAGUGCAAUAAAUAAAUUGCAAAGAAUCCUCCAUCCAAGUAUCCUAGAGGUAUUAAAAAUAAGUUAUGAUAGUUUGGAUGAUAAGGAGAAAAAUAUUUUCCUUGAUGUUGCUUGUUUCUUUCAAGGCGAGGAUGUAAAUCUAGUAAUGAAAUUCCAUAAUGCAAGCGGUUUCUACCCAGAAAUAGGAAUAAGUGUUCUUGUUGAUAAAUCUCUCAUUGCUAUUGGUUCGUACAACAAGAUAAGAAUGCAUGAUUUACUACAAGAGCUGGGUAGGGAAAUUGUUCGACAAGAAUCAAUUAAUCCUGGAAACCGCAGUAGGUUGUGGCAUCAUGAGGAUAUCUAUGAAGUUCUUACAUAUAACACGGUAAGCAGUUUGUUGUGUAUAAUUAUUUUGAAAUAUUCUAGCAUUUACAAACUUGAUAUGAAUAUAUUUAUAUCUGCUCGAACUGAUGAGUCUUAGAAUUAUUAGAAGAGCAACAAUGAUUGGAAAAAACCAUAGCGGUUAAAUGACGUAGCAAUAAAUUAUAAAUGCCAUGACAACUUGCAUAAUCGUUUGCAAGCAUAAUUGAUAUGCCAAUUUGUAUAGUACACAGACGGAAUUUUUCUUUGUGCAUUUGCAAUUAAAAGUUUAACUGCCGAGCAAUAACUACAAGCUACCUCUAAUUGUGAAUUAGUGAGAAAAUUGCCCCAAAAAUUAUCCCUAUGUAUUGUUGAAGGGCGAUUCAUUGGUGGAAUACAAAUAUCUUUCAUUUGAUUUUAACUUUAUUGCUUUUUCAUUUAUUUUUAGGGGACAGAAAAAAUUGAGGGCAUAUGUUUGGAUAUGUCAAAAGUAAAAGAGCUCUGUCUUAAUCCCAAUACUUUCACACAGAUGCCUAAAUUGAGAUUUUUAAAGUUCUAUAGUUCAUCAGUCAAUGGAGAGAACAAAUGUAAGAUAUCUUAUUUGCAAGAUUCCGGAUUUGCUGAAGUGAAAUAUCUUCACUGGUAUGGAUAUCCGUUGAAGUCAUUGCCGUCAAACCUCGGUGCAGAGAAACUUGUGUUACUUGAAGUGCCUGAUAGUGACAUUGAACGACUUUGGGAUUGUGUGAAGGUAUGCAUAUCUUAUUAUAUAUGUGCAAUCUUUCAAUAACAACCUUAAAUUAUUAUACGUGGUAACGAUUUUGUCUUGGCCUCUUUUUUGACCGAGCAGCAUUAUAGUAAGUUAAACCAGAUAAUCCAUGCUGCCUGCCAUAAGCUAAUUGCCAAAAUUCCAAAUCCCACGUUGAUGCCACGUCUGAACAAGCUAGUUACGUUGAAUCUAAGAGGUAGCAAAAGCCUGAAAAGUCUUCCAUCUGGAAUAUUUAACUUAGAAUUUCUUACCAAACUUGAUCUUGCGGGCUGCCCAAAACUGAAAAGGCUUCCAGAGAUCUCAUCAGGUAAUAUAAGCUGGUUAUUUUUAAGGGGGACCGCAAUUGACGAACUGCCCUCAUCAAUUGAGCGUCUUCUUAGGCUCGGAUACUUAGACCUUUCAGAUUGUAAAAGGCUUAAGAGUCUCCCAAGCAGCCUCUAUAGAUUGAAAUCUCUUGGAAUUCUUGAUCUCCAAGGUUGCUCAAAUCUUCAGAGAUUGCCCGAAUGUCUUGGCCAAUUAUCCUCGCCAAUAACAUUUAAUCUAACGAAAACCAAUAUUGAGAGAAUACCAGAAAGCAUUAUCCAACUUUUCGUGUCGGGAUACCUCCUCUUAAGUUAUGGUGAGAGGUUCCAAUUCGUACAAAAGUCUCCAUUCCUUGAACGAGGUUGCUUGGCACUGCAACCAUUUUUAGGUUUGUUCUCUAAGUUAUGAAUCUUACAGGCAAUUUUUUUUUACCGGAGCAAUAAUUUUAAAUUGGAAGGUAAUUCUACUGCAGGAAUUGUUGAAGAUACCCUGAGAAUUCAGCUGAAUGUGUGUCUUUAACUCUCUCUACUUACAAUUUCUACAAUCUUUGUUUUUUUUUGGGUUUAAAAUUAUGUUUUUUUGGUACAGAGAGGUUUUUCCUUGGGCAAAGGUCAUAUAGUACUACCUGGGAAUGAAAUUCCAAAGUGGUUUGAGUUUCAAAGUGUGGGAUCUUUUAUAACCUUGGAGAUGCCCCUAGAUUUCUUCAAUAAUAGCAGAGUGCAGGGCAUUGCAUUUAGUGCUAUUUUAGCAUUUUCAGACCGUCAUGUAGCUUGUGGCAGAUGGUUUUCAUUUUCUUUUGAGCUCAAAGUGAAAACCACCAAAGAUUGUGGUACGCAUGGCACACUAUUAUCUCAGAGCAGAGUUAAUUAUGUAGAAUCAUAUCACUUACAUUUGGGGCACUAUUUGUUCUGUGAAGAGGAUUUUAAUGGUUUUUGGAAAUGCAAUUGCAUUCUUGAGGCAGUCCACUUUAAUGUUUUUCCACCUUUGGAGUGCCAGUGCUGCGGGGUGAAAAAAUGUGGGAUCCAUUUACUUCACACCCCAGAUCCUACGUCAAUGGAAGACCCAAGCACAUGUUUCAACUGUAACGAAGAAGACUGAGAUAGGUGUCAUUUUCACUCAACUCACCUGAGUUGUGAAUCCAUUUGCUUAAACAUGUAUGCACUUUUUCAAGUAUCUCUACCAAUUCCAUAUUUGGAAUGGUGCAUUUGAUUCCAUAGUUGAUGUGGUAUCGUCUAUGGUUAGAAUUUAUAUUUACAAAAAGGACUUGUAAGGAAAGGAUUGAAGAUGCCCGUGUACUUAUAUUUCGAUUUAGAUUAUUAUAUCUUUUUCAUGUAUAAAAUUGGAUCCUAUCAUUCACAUAUCAUUGACAUGAGCAAUAUGGAUUACUAAAUCAUUAUUCUUUAUUAUUGUGCUGAAUUUGAUUUUUUAUUGAAUAAUUUGAUAUAUUUCUUGAAUCAAUUUAGAGCUUCUACAACAUGUCAGAGAUCAGUUUCUCCAACAUUCCUUUCGGCGCCAAAAGAUAACCAAUCGGUUGAAUAAGAAUUGAUAUAUACAACAUAAAUACAGGAGUUGUUUUGUCUUUUUACAAUAGGAAUAAUAUAUAAUGCUCGUUAAAACUUGCUGAUGAGAAAGUAAAUUCCUCAGAAAUUAAAUGUUUCAGCCAACCAAGGAAGCAGCUUUUCGUGGACCAAUUCAGGCCUGUCGUCAUGGGGGCAAUGUCCUACUCCUUUCAAUACAGUUAACUUCACGUUUGAGAGUUUAGAAAGCAGAGAUGAGAAGUAUUUACCAACAGGUCCAUCGAGGGGUGUGAAUGGAUCCUCAUCACCCCAUAAAACUAGUAGAGGUAUAGAGAUCGAUGGCAUCAAUUCAACUGGGUUCGGCCCUGGUGGGCCGGUUACAAUCGAAACAAAUGCAUCAAGUGCCCCUUCCUCAUUGGCAGGCUCUCGUAUGAUCUGCAGUUUUGAG